CCACAACUUCCUAUCACUCUGUAAGCUGUAACUGCUUCAUAUCAUGCCUAAUCACCUCCCUCUAAUUUUUCUUUGGCCUAACUCUACCCUGCCUAAAACCAUCCAUAGCCAGUGUCUCACACCUCCGCACUAGAGAAUCAGUGCCUCUCCUUAUCACGUACCCUAACCAACGUAACCUCACUUCUCGCAUCUUAUCCUCUAUCGAAGUACUCCCACCUUCUUCCGAAUAACCUCAUUUUUCACCCUAUCUUUCCUGAUAUGGCCACACAUCAAUUACAAUAUCCUCAUCUCCAUCACCUUCAACUUUUGGAUGUGUACACUCCCAAUCAUUCAAACAUAUUAAAAUGGGAAAUCAAGAAAAGAAAAGCUACACCUUGGAUAUGGACAAAUAUUACGGCUUGUAAUUACUAUUUUCACAAUGACAAGAUUAUAAAAACACCAUACCCAUACCCACUGUUAUUUCAAUACAUGGACAAGAGAAAAAAAAUUCAAAAAGAGGGGCGGUGUUUACGCAAGCGCAGAACUUAAUUUAAAGUAAACCAAAUAUGUAGACACACACAACUGAACUUGAACUACUCUUCCUUUUCGUCAACAUGAUAUAAAGAUCAAAGAUGGACACCAUAUAUAACUUCCAACAAGGCCGGAGCAUAUAAAAAAUCUCAUAUCAACGACAUUCGUGACAACAGUAAUAUUUACAUCUUUUUUUUUUUACACACAAACACAGAAAAAAUGAAAAAAUUCAAUAGAGAUGAAGUGUUCACCUUUUUUGGAGCAGCGAACUUAGGACAACGAGACUUGACUACGAACUUCCACCACAAAAGUUUAAAUUUAAACUUGUCGGAAUUCAAUCUUUCGGCGAAAUUGAUUUUUCCGAGUGUGUUCUUUGAGAAUAUUGUUGCCUGAGGUUACACGCAUGCACCUCCAAAACCCUGAAAUUUUUCCCCAAAGUCCUCCUCCUUCACCCCUAUCCCUCACUAUCUAUUUAUAGGAGAAUUUGGGGGGAAAAGAAUUAGGGUUUUGGAUUUAAAUCCGAAUUUUAAAUUGAUUUUCUUGGAGAAUUUCAAACCCACAGACAGAGAGGGCAUGUAUUUGUUGGCUUCUUGCCAAAAGGGAGGUGAACAUGAGUUGAGCAAGAAAAAGUCGAUGAAACUUUAGCCAAAAUUGGUUUUACGACGGGGUAAAAGAGUAAAAUUGAUGGCAAUGGCUAGGUUGACUAGGGUUUAUGGAUUUGACGAUGUUGUCAUUGAAGCUAUUAUUGUCGAAUUGGGGUCUGAUUUUUGUUGUUGUUGCUUGGACGGCGUUGUCGUUGUUGACGUUGUUGCUGGCUGUUUGUUAUUAACGGUGGUGUUAAGGGUUAUACACCAUUGUUGUUGGGUUGUUGUUGUUACUAUUAAGGGAGAAGAGGCUUGGCUCGGGUCGGGUCGGGUCGGGUCGGCGGCUGGUGUGGGCUGCUGGGGGUAAGCUGUUAUCGUUGGGCCGGUUGGGUGCAGAAUUGGGCUGGGAUGGUUGAUUUUGGACUGGGUUAAAAUUAAAAGAGAUGUGGAUUUGGGCUGGUUUAGUUAAAUUAGGAAUGGGUAGAUUAAGCUAAUCAAGGAAGUUCAAUUUAAAAAUUGUAACCUCUUAAUAUUAAAAAACUAGAGUUGCAUGGCCCGUGUCAGCACGGGCCCAAUAUUAUAGAUAUCUUUUAGCACCAAUAUUCAAUAUUGAUGAGAUACAAACAUAAAUGUACAUUGAUUUAAAACGAUAAUUUUUUAAAUAAUAACUAUUUGACGGUACUCCCUAAGAAGUGAAGUUUUAUAAAAUACUUUUUUUCCACAUGAUAAAAAAGUGUGAUGUGUCAUGUAGUUAGGUUAUUUUAAUUGUUUGAUGGUAAGAUUGAGACCUGUUACAAAAUAUAGAAAAGAUAAAGAACUAAUAUUCAUAGGAUUAUUUCAUAUAAAAACUUGAACAAAAGAUACUUCAAUUAACAACAAAGUCUUGGAUCAUCUUCUCAAAAAUGAUUAUGGUUGAAGCAACUACAACAAACAUGUCAUAAACACAUAUUUUUCUUGUUUUAAUUAAAUACUAUUAUUUUUCUAAUACAUAAAUGACUUAUAAUAAUUAAUUAGGGGUGAUAUAGUAAAAUCACGGCACAGCUCUUGAAGCAACCAUGUCGAAACCAUUGUUUUAAUUAAGUAUUAUGGAUUUUUUAAUACAUAAAUGACUUAUAAUAAUUAAUUAGGGGUGAUAUAGUAAAAUCACGGUUGAAGAAGGUCAACUUAAUUUAAUACAUCAAGAGUUAAUUUAUCAUUUUAUGUCUAUUUUAUUUUUUUUAAAAUAUGAUUAAUUCGGGGUAAUAUAGUAAAAAAAAUUUAUUAAUUAUACUAUAUAAAUGACUUAUAAUAAUUAAUUUAGGGUAAUAUAGUAAAUCAGGGAGCAAUUAGGGAUAAUAUAGGCAGACAUGUCAUCUAUUUUUUUAAUUAAAUAUUAUUAAUUUUUAAUACAUAAAUAACUUAUAAUAAUUAAUUAGCGAUGAUAUAGUAAAAUCACGGUUAAAACAGCUAAAAAAAUAUCAUAAAUAUCUAUUUUUUAAUUAAAUAUUAUUAAUUCUAAUAUAUAAAUGACUUAUAUUAAUCAAUUAGGGGUAAUAUAAUAAAAAAAUAUUAUUAAUUCUAAUAGAUAAAUAAAUUAUAAUAAUUAAUUAGGGGUAAUAGAAUAAAUCACUGAGUAAUUAGGGUAAUAUAGUAAAUGACGAAGCAGGUGAUUUUUUUAAUUAAAUACUAUUAAUUUUUAAUACAUAAAUGACUUAUAAUAAUUAAUUGGGGAUGAUAUAGUAAAUUUAUGAUUAAAGCAGCUGAAACAAACGUCAUAAAUAUCUAUUUUUUAAUUAAAUAUUAUUAAUUUUAAUAUAUAAAUGACUUAUAAUAAUUAAUUAUGGGUAAUAUAGUAAAUCACGAAAUAAUUAGGGGUAGUAUAGUAAUUGAUGAAGCACCGGUCGAAACUAGUGCUUCUAUUAUAUUGAAUAAUGACCACAAUUGAAUUAAUUGAACAAAAUUGAGACGAAAUUAACUUUUAAUUAAUUUGAAGAGUUUCUCAAAUUCGAUAAUUUCAAAAUAAAUAUUAAAUAAAACACAAUUUUUUCCAAAAAUAAUAAUUAAAAAAAAUUAAGAAACUAAUUAUGUCAUCAAUUUCUUAUUUUCAAUCGAUCUUGAGAAAAGUAAAAUAUUUGCAAUUUAAUCAAACUUUUCACUCUGAAUAAAUUAUAAAGUAUUUUCAUUAACUGAUAAUUAUAUAAUCAUGUAUACUUAAACACUAAAUAUAUUAAUUUCACCUAAAUUCAAAAGGCAGUGUUGAAAUUAAUUUCAAAAUAACUUAAACUAAAUAUUUUAAAGCUAUUUAAAAUUGAGAAAUUCAAAAACUAAUUUUGAAUGUGGAGGACAAAAAUUAGGUGUCAACAACUGCCCCCUCCCAUUGGGUUGAGUGGAUGCAAGUAACUCUAGACAAAGGGAGCUUGACGUUUCUAAUUUUGUCCCACCGCAAAUUCAUUUCUCGAAAUGGGUUAGUUUUCCCACGAAUUUUAAGGGGUUAUGGCCCGACCCCGGUAUCAGAUUUCCUACAUAUCUUAGGAUGCAUGAGAAUUCAGGCCACUUGUAGUUCAUAAAGCUUGACUAAAAGCACGAUUUUCAAAGAAUUCACAAGGUAUUCCGACUUUUUAAUUUUGAUAAAACCGAAAAGCUGAGGAAUAAGAGGAUUGGGGGGAGGGGGUUGGAAUACAAUCGAGGUUUCAACACGGAGCCCAGCCUACAUAUCCCAAUGAUUCAAGAAAUCAGACUGCUUGUAGUUUGACUUUAUCGGUGGAAAAGAUAAUCUUUUAUUUUAGACGAUCUUUGGCUCGGGAUGAGUGAUAAGUUAUUUGAGCUUAUGAAAAAGAGGCUUGUAACCUCUCAACCAUGAUUGUGGGAUCCUUCACAUCUAUAUACAAGAAUUUACCUGGACAUAAUUUCCAAAAAUCUGAGCGUGUUAUCACUUGAAUUUGAAGGAAAGAGAAGGUUACUUCCAGUAUGAGUUUAAAAGUAUCUUGAAAGUGAAACUGAAACCACAAUAUCACAAAAUAUCCCACGUGCCUUCUAAUAGGGGUGUGGUUUGAUGGUGGUGGAAGUCGUCCUUUAGCUUGCGUUUAAAGAGUUUGAUAUUCCUCUUUUAAGUAUAUCCCAGUUCACUGCUAAGAAAAUAUUUCACAUUGUGUUGCGUCCUUUUUUUUAGUCAUCAACACCUGUGGUUUUGAUUUGAGAAUUUCAUCAUUUUGGAUGCUCUCUACAACAACUCAAACAAAUGAUUAGUUUCAAAUAUAGCAUUACACAAACGUAAAUUGGUGCAAACCUAUUUGAACAUGCUAUGCUGAGAUAGUUGAACCAAUUUGCACGACAACUUUGAAUGGAAUGACGGUCCAAUUGAAAGGUGAAAGACCUAUUUUGAAUGUAAUAUACCACUAUUUUGAAUGUAAUAUGUCACUUUGAACGGGCUGAUGACCUGUAAUGCCCCGAGAGUACACAAUGAGCAUCACACAAUGCUUACAGUCCCGAGGGACCACAAGCUAACCCAUGAGCUGGUACCUGCUAUGAGCACUAAAUAACAUAAUCAUGAAUACAGAAGAAUAACUGAUAUGCCAUAAGGUUUUAAUAAUUGUAACAAGCACUAAAUUAUGAAUCUGAAGAAGUAACUAUCUGAGUUUGAAUAAAUAUUAAAAUCUGAGAUAAAUUGAAUAACUAACUGACAUGUCAAAUAAAGUCUGAAUACUGAAUAACUGACUGUAGUAUCUGAAAGCCUCUAAACUGAAUAACGGUGAGUUGAUGGGACAGGCCCCAACUAACUCCAACUAACUACUAGACUGAAAGCAUGAAAUAACAUAAUCCGUCCUCGAAAUAUAAGGACUCACCACUGCUACUUUUGAGAGUCUGAGAAGUCUAAGAGUGAUCCAGAAACUGAGCAUCAACGCCUAUGAUAUAAUACAUUAUAGCACAAAAGAAAGGUAUGCGAUCAGUACUUUGAAUGUACUGGUAUGCUAAAUGAGGUAGGCUGACAUGCAUAGUUUCAUGAACAGGAAUAACAACUAUCUAAAUAUACUUGUAAAAUUUGGUGUACUGAAUAGAGAGCAUGAAAUCUGUAGAUAAUAAAAAUAUGUGAAAUCUGUAAAUACUGUGUACACAUGAAAGUCUAAAAAUACUAAAGGUACGUGAAAUCUGUAGAUACUGGGGAUGCAUGACUAAACAUAUAACAUAAAAUGAAUAAAAGUCUGUAAACUGAAAUACAAAAAUAACUGAUAUUUGUAUGCCUUGGUCAAACAACACUGAGACUGAACUACUGAUCUGAUUAUUGGACUAAGACUGUAGGAGCUAUCAUCUAACCAAUAAGCCUCAAUCUCAGCUAAUCGAGGUCCAACCUUUAACCUAGUUGGAAGGGUGUUAAUACCGUGCCACGGGUACUAACGCUGGCUGUGUGGAUCCACUAUAUUGAGGUGCAGUCCCGAAGGACUAAGGGUGUCAAGCCUGAAUUGACGGGUGACCCCUGCGAGAUAGUCAAGCCUAAUCUGACGGGUGACUUCUUAUAUCCUACGCUGGCUACGUAGUUCUGGAGUUUAGGGAAUACUACUAGCAACUCUGCCUAUCUGACGGGGAAGCCACCAUCCCUACACUCACUCGAUGCUAAAUCCUACUCCCAACUAAAUGACACUGAGUUACUGACUAUUCUGGGUUUAACUAACUGUCUUAGUAAUGCUCAUAAAUAUAAUCUGAAGUUAUUCUAAAGAUACUGAGACAAGACUAAGUAGAACAACUAUGGUUUUCAGGUAUUCAAUAACCCCAGGACUCAAAACGAUAAUAGUAAAAUGACACUAAAGCUUGAAGGACAUAGCAUGAAGGCUUUUAUUAAAUAUUCAUUCUUGUAAGCAUUUUAUCAAACACUUGAUAUGCAUGAUGUACAUUAAGCAUGAAAAAUAGACCAAAACUUAUAGUAAAGCACAAUUUCAACACAAAUCAUGAAUUAAAUCAGUGGACAACAACAUUUAAUCAUAUGGAGUGUAGUAAUAAACAUCAAUUUCGCUAAAACAUGGUAUAGAUAAAGAUUCAUGAAAAUUCAUGGUUUAAUCAUAAUUUAAAAUCAAUAUAACUUGAAAAGAUCAUGCUUUUGUAAUUUAAAAUGGAUACUUAGACUCCAUGGGUGAAAGAAACUCAUGGAUGAACAUUUAACAUACCUGGGUUAAUGAAUUUGAAAGGAUUGAUGGUGUGUUCUUGAGAUUUGAUCUUGAAUUUGAGAGCUAGGGUUUUUGUGUUCUUGAAGAGAAUGGAUCCCUUUUUGAGUAAUUUGAGAAUAAUGAGCAUGUAAUUCCCUAUUAGGCUUUAAUUUUGUGUUUAGGAUGAGUUUAGGGCUUAGGAAAAUGACCAAACAGCCCUUUGAAAAUUAAAAAAGCAAAACUGGAAAACUAAAAUUCCAAAUUUUUUGCCAUGGUGCAACGCGCCACUAUCGCGCCAAUCCACUGGAAAGGGGACAAUUCGAAAACUGGAUGAUGGUGCGACACGAUAAGAUUGCAUUCCUUCACUGGAAUGCUAUUUUGGCCACCUCCGCGACGCGCCAUAAUCGCGGAGGCUCACUGGAAAUUGCCAAACAUGAACUGGGUCCUUGCUGCGAUGCGCCAACAUUGCGGUACCACACUGGAAACUAACAAUUGUUAUUUAGACUGGCUCCGCGACGCGCUAAGGGUUAAAAUGAUGGUGUUUAAUGAUUGAAACUUAAAAUCACCAUAACUUCUUACCCGGUUAUCGAAUUUGGGUAAAUUUUAUAUCGUUGGAAAACUAAUUGAAUUUCCUACGCAAUGGCAGGCUGUAAGCUGAAAAUUAUUGAGUAUUUCAAAAAUUUAUAUAUGAAUACUCAUCUAUUGGGACUUAGAUUAUGCUAGGAAAAUAUGGGCUAUUACAAUAUCUCCCCCUUGGGAUCAUUCGUCCUCGAAUGAGACUGGUUAAGGUGAGGAAAACUGAUGGAUUGAGCUUACACACUGAACAUGCAUAUCUGAUGCAUGGAAUGCAUGACUGAACUGAUUUAUAAAUGCACUGCUGACAUGAAUAUGAUAUGCAACUGAAACUGAGCAUGAUAGAGAGAAAUCUUAAAAAGAUCAGUACCUGAAACCGAAUCUGAAUUCGCAGAGAAAAGACGAGGGUACUUGGUUCGUAUAUAUGCUUCUGAUUCCCAAGUAGCUCCCUCAACGGACUGAUUCCGCCAAACAACUUUGACUAGUGGAACCUCUUUGUUCCUUAGUCUACGAACUUGAUGAUCAAGAAUUUCGACUGGAACUUCCUCAUAGGAAAGACUAUUUUGAACAUCUACACUUUCUGAGGGAACAACUACAGCUGGAUCACUAAUACACUUCUUCAACAACGAGACAUGGAACAUAGGUGUACUAAAGCUAGAUAUGAAAGUAACUCAAGCUCGUAAGCUACCUUUCUGAAAUGACUAACAAUUCUGAAGGGACCUACAUAUCGGGGACUGAGUUUCCCUUUCUUGCCAAAUCUUUUCACUCCCUUCAUGGGAGAGAUUUUCAAAUAUACCAAAUCACCGACCUCAAACUCGAGAUCAUUUCUCCUCAUAUCUGUAUAUGAUUUAUGUCGGCUCUGGGCUAUUCUAAGCCUCUCUCUGAUCAACUAAACCUUCUCUAAGGCAUCAAACACCAAGUCAAGCCCUACUACUGCGGCCUCACCUACUUUAAACCAACGAAUUGGAGAUCUACAUCUCUUACCAUAGAGAGCUUCAAACUGAGCCAUCCGGCUAUUGGAAUAAUAUUUAUUAUUAUAUGUGAAUUAAUUAAAGGUAAGUGGUCAUCCCAAUUACUCUUGAAAUCAACUACGCAUGCUCUCAGCAUAUCCUUAAGAGUCUGAAUGGUUCUUUUUUCUUGACCAUCUGUCUGAGGGUGGAAAGCUGUACAGAGGUGGACUUGGGUACCAAGACCCUUUUGGAAUGCCUUCCAGAAGUAAGAGGUAAACUGGAUACCUCUAUCUGAGAUGAUAGAUAAUGGAACACCGUGUAAUCUAACCAACUCCCUGAGAUACAGUUUGGCGUAGUCCUCGACUGAGUAAGAGGUAUGGACUAGCAAGAAAUGAUCUUAUUUGGUCAUCCUAUCUAUGAUAACCCAAAUAGAAUCAUGCUGAUAAUGGGUACGAGGCAAACCUGUCAUAAAAUCCAUGUUCACUUCUUCGCAUUUCCAUGUGGGAAUACUGAACUCCUGCAUGGGCCUACUAGGAUUUUGGUGCUCAAUCUUAACUUGCUGACAUAUAGAGCAUUUAGCUACAAACUCCGCAAUAUUCCUCUUCAUCCCACUCUAUCAAUAGAUCUCCCGCAAAUCACGAUACAUCUUAGUAGCCCCUGGAUGAAUAGAGUAACACACAUCAUGCGCUUCUACAAGAAUUCUUUACCUCAAAUCUUCUACAUCAGGCACACACAAUCUACCCUGACAACGCAAAAUGCCAUCUCCCCCUUGGGAGAAAACCUCCACUUGCUGAUCUUUGACUGAUUCUUUCAAGUUAACUAGACUGGAAUCUCUAUCCUAUUUUUCCUUUACCUCAUAAAUUAGAGAUGAUUCAGCACUACUCUGCACCCCCACACUACCUUCUGCUGAGUCGACUAAGCGGACACCUAGUCGGGUAAGCUAACGAGCUUCCUAAGCUAACUUUUUCUUACCAUCCUCAACAUUAGCAACACUAUCCUUAGACAUUUUACUAAGCGCAUCAGCUACUAUAUUGGCAUUGCCCGGAUGAUACAGAAUAUUCAUGUCAUAAUCUUUUAACAACUCUAACCACCUUCUCUAACACAAAUUUAAAUCUUUUUGAGAGAACGCAUACUCCAGGCUCUUUGGUCAGUGAACGUAUCUACAUGCAUCCCAUACAAGUAAUUCCUUCAAAUCUUAAAGGUAAACACUCAGCUUCUAGCUCGAGAUCAUGAGUUGGAUAAUUCUUCUCACUGGGCUUAAGUUGUCUGGAGGCAUAGGCUAUAACCUUGCCUCUAUAUAUAAGGAUAUAACCCAAACGUACUUUGGAUGCAUCCCAGUACACAACAAACCCAUCUGAACCAUCUGGCAAAGUAAGAACUGGGGAUGAGGUGAGUCAAGUCUUCAACUCUUGAAAACUCUUCUGGCAUGAAUCUGACCACUAAAAAUUAACUUUCUUCUGAGUCAAUCUGGACAUAGGGGAUGCAAUAGAUGAAAAACCUUCAAUAAACCAACGAUAAUAGCCAGCUAAAACCAAGAAACUCCUAAUGUCUGAUAGAGAGAUGGGUCUAAGAUAGCUUCUCAAUGCCUCGAUCUUUUGAGGAUUAACUCUAAUGCCAUUACCAGAAAUAAUAUGAUCAAGGAAUGCUACUGACCUUAGCUAAAAUUUGCACUUACUGAAUUUGGCUAACAACUGAUGAGUUCUAAGAGUCUGCAAUACUAUUCUGAGGUGGUCUGUAUGAUCACUUUCGCUACGGAAGUAAACAAAAAUGUCAUCAAUGAAGACUAUAACGAACAUGUCCAAGUACUGCUUGAACAUUCGGUUUAUCAUGUCUAUGAAAGCUACUGGGGCAAUCGUGAGAUCAAAGGAUAUGACUAGAAACUCGAAAUGACCAUACCAGGUUCGAAAAACUAUUUUUAGAAUGUCACAUUCCCUGACUCUAAGCUGAUGAUAGCCUGAUCUGAGAUCUAUCUUUGAAAAGUAGCUGACACCUUGAAGUUGGUCAAACAAGUCAUUGAUUCUAGGAAGUGGAUAUCUGUUCUUGACUGUGCCUUUGUUCAACUGACGGUAAUCUAUGCAUAUUCUAAGAGAACCAUCUUUCUUAUGCACGAAUAAAAUAGGUGCGCUCUACGGAGAGACAUUGGGUCUAAUAAAUCCCUUAUCUAGGAGAUCCUUUAACAAUUCUUUUAAAUCCUUGAGUUCUGCUGGAUCUAUUAUGUAAGGAGGAAUAGUUAUGGGUUGAGUUUCUGGGAGACGGUCUAUUUUGAAGUCGAUUUCCCUUUUAGGAGAAACUUCAGAAAGAUCUUCAGUAAACACAUCUGGAAAUUCCCUUACUACUGAAAUUGACUUAAGAGUUGGAGUUUCUGAAUUUGAGUCUUUGACUCAAACAAGAUGGUAAAUACAACCCUUGGAUAUCAUCUUUCUCGCUAUAAGGUAUGAAAUCAACUGACCUCUAAAAGCUAUAGUACUACCUCUCUAUUCAAGGACUGGUUCAUUUGGGAACUAAAAAUGAACUAUUCUGCUUCUACAAUCAACUGAGGCAUAGCAUGAAUGGAGCCAAUCCAUGUCGAGAAUGAUGUCAAAAUCCAUCAUCCCUAACCCCACGAGAUUAACUGAGGUAACUUUCUGAGAUAUUAUGACCGGACAGUUCCUGUAUACCUGUCUGGCUACAAUGGAAACAAUUACUGGGGUAGACAUUGAAAAGAGCUCUACUAGAGUUUUGGUACUAACUCCGAAAUUGACAACUAUAUAUGGAGUUACAAAAGAAGAGAAGCUCCAGGUUCUAGUAAAGCAUAAACAUAUAAGUUAAAGACCUGCAACGUACCAGUAACUAUGUCAGGAGAAUUUUCCUAAUCUUGGUGGGACUGAAGAGCAUAUAAUCUGUUCAAACACUGGCCACUAGUAGCACUGGAAGCGGUACCCUGCUGAGUUGGACAAUUGAUAGAACUGACGACUAAUUGGAAUAGCCCUGUUGGCGCAAAUCCCUACCUUUCUGAGCAGCUACCCAACACUCCCAAAUCUAAUGGCUUGGCUUGCCACACCCGAAGCACACAUCACUACCUACUCUACACUCACCUUGAUGGUGUCUGCCACACUUCUGAGAUAGAGGGUUCAUACGAGCACUGCUAACACUGCCUUGGUACUUAGAGCCUGGUGCUCUAUCCCUAUUAUCAUUUCUGAAGUUGGGUACUAGGGCACUGGCUGAAGAGGAUGCUGAGGCUAAAUACCUCUGAUGAAAUUGAGGAUGGUUACCACCUUCUGACCUUGGCUGACUGAAAUUAAAACUACUUGUUCUAGCUUUCUUGUUUCCUCUCUCCCUCUCCUUAAUCUUAUGCUCCUCAAUUUGUUGAGCAUGGACCAUCAACCUAGACAAGUCCAUCUUUCUAAUUAGCAUUGCAAUCCUACACUCCUUGACCACACUAUCAGAUACGCCAGACACAAACUUAAUCAUCUUAGACCUGCUGUCAGCUACUACAUGAGGAGCAUAUCUAGCUAACUGAGUAAACUUGAGGGAAUACUCCUUCACGCUCAUGCUACCCUGCCUAAAGUUAAUAAAUUCUAACACCUUGUACUCCCUCAACUCCAAUGGAAAGAAUCUGUCAAAGAAAGCUAUAGAAAACUCUUUCCACUCUACAGGCCCUGCAUCAGUACCCCUAUCUACCUUCUACAGCUUAAACCAUGUAUGGGCUAUAUCUUGUAACUGAUAUGUAACCAACUCAAUACUCUUACUGGAUGUUACCCCUAUGGCAGUCGUUACUUUUUAAACCAAAAUUCCUAUGGAUUCUCUUCAGACUUAGAUCCCAUGAAAGAAGAAGAAUUUAUCCGGGUGAAGUGCCAAAUUCUGGUUGCAGCAGCAUUGGCCACUGAGUUGGCCAGAACAGUAGAUGUUUGUUCAUUUGGUGUUGCUACAAAAUUCACUAGAGUGGUGAACGCAGCUCUAAAUUCUGCGUGAGAGACAUGCUCGUCCAGACGAUCUACCUAGACGGGCUGAAGUGCUGGCUAGUUUCCUACUCCUCUUCUGUUAUUCUUUUUGGGAGGCAUGUUCUGUAAAUGAAAGGAAGAAACGGAUUAGAGUAAGAGUUUAACAUGAGCUCAUGCUCACUCGUACGACAUGAAUACUGAAAGAAAGAAAACUUUUCCUAAAUGCCUUGUAUACUCUAAUCCAUAAGUGUGGCACGCUACACACCCAUGCACAAGACUCUACUUGUUUUCAGACUUCCUAGGACACUUUAAAACUUUAGGCUUUAAUACCAAGUUUGUAACGCCCCGAGAGUACACCCUGGGCGUCAUACGGUGGUUACAGUCCUGAGGAACCACAAGCUAACCCAUGAGCUAGUACCUAUUAUGAGCACUGAAUAACAUAAUCAAGAAUGCGAAAGAAUAACUAAUAUGCCAUAAGGUUUUAAUAACUAUAACAAGCAUUGAAUUAUGAAUCUGAAAAAGUAAUUAUUUGAGUCUGAGUAAAUAUUGAAAUCUGAGAUAAACUGAAUAACUAACUGACAUGUCAACUGAAGUAUGAAUACUAAAUAACUGACUUUAGUGUCUAAAAACCUCUAAACUAAAUAACUGUGAGUUGAUGGGAUAGGCCUCAACUAACUCCAACUAACUACUAGACUGAAAGUAUAAAAUAAUAUAAUCUGUCCUUGAAAUAUGAGGACUCACCAUUGCUACUGCUGGGAGUCUGAGAAGUCUAAGGACGAUCUGAAAACUAAGCGUCAGCACCUGUGAUAUAAUACAUCAUAGGGCAAAAGAAAGGUCUGCGAUCAGUACUUUAAAUAUACUGGUAUGUUAAAUGAGGUAGGCUGACAUGCAUGGUUUCAUGAAUAGGAAUAACAACAGUCUAAAUAUACAUGUAAAACAUGGAGUACUAAAUAAAGAGCAUGAAAUUUGUAGAUACUAAAAAUAUGUGAAAUCUGUAAUUACUGUGUACACAUAAAAGUCUAAAAAUACUAAAGGUACGUGAAAUUUGUAGAUACUAGGGAUGCAUGACUAAGCAUAUAACAUAAAAUGAAUAAAAGUCUGUAAACUAAAAUACAAAAAUAACUGAUAUCUGUAUGCCUUGGUCAAAUAACAUUGAGACUAAACUACUGAUCUGAUUAUUGGACUAAGAUUAUGGCUGAUACUGUGGGAGCUAUCAUCUAACCGACAUGACCCAAUCUGAGCUAAUCGGGUUCCAACCUGUAACCCUAAUUGAAAGGGUGUUAAUACCGUACCAUGGGUACUAACGUUGGCUGUGUGGAUCGACUAUACUGAGGUACUAUCUUGAAGGACUAAGGGUGUUAAGCCUGAAUUGACGGGUGACCCUUACGAGAUAGUCAAACCUAAAUUGAUGGGUGACUUUUCAUAUCCUACGCUGGCUACAUAGUUCUGGAGUUUAGGGACUGCUACUAGCAACUCUGCCUAUCUGGCGGGGAAGCCACCAUCCCUACACUCACUCGGUGCUAAAUCCUACUCCCAACUAAAUGACACUGAGUUACUGACUAUUCUGGGUUUAACUGACUAUUUUAGUAAUGCUCAUAAAUAUAAUCUGAAGUUAUUCAGAAUAUACUGAGACCAGACUAAGUAGAACAGCUAUGCUUUUGGGGUACUCAAUACCCCCAGGACUCAAAAAAAUAAUAGUAAAACGACACUAAAGCUUGAAGGACAUAGCAUGAAGGCUUUUAUUAAAUAUUCAUUCUUGUAAGCAUUUUAUCAAACACUUGAUAUGAAUGAUGUACAUUAAGCAUGAAAAAUAGACCAAAAGUUGUAGUAAAGCAUAAUUUCAACACAAAUCAUGAAUUAAAUCAGUGGACAACAAUAUUUAAUCAUAUAGAGUGUAGUAAUAAACAUCAAUUUCGUUAAAACAUGGUAUACAACAACAUUCAUGAAAAUUCAUGGUUAAAUCAUAAUUUAAAAUCAAUAUAACUUGAAAAGAUCAUGCUUUUGUAAUUUAAAAUGUAUACUUAGACUCCAUGGGUGAAAGAAACCCAUGGAUGAACAUUUAACAUACCUAGGUUAAUGAAUUUGAGAGGAUUGAUGGUGAGUUCUUGAGAUUUGGUCUUGAAUUUGAGAGCUAGGGUUUUUGUGUUCUUGAAGAGAAUGGAUCCCCUUUUGAGUAAUUUGAGAAUAAUGGGCAUAUAAUUCCCUAUUAAGCUUUAAUUUCGUGUUUAGGAUGAGUUUAGGUCUUAGAAAAAUGACCAAACACCCCCUUGGAAAUUAAAAAUGCAAAACUGGAAAACCAAAAUUCCCGAUUUUCAGCCUUGGCGCGACGUGCCACUAUCGUACCAAGCCAUUGGAAAGGGGACAAUUGGAAAACUGGAUGAUGGCGCGAAGUGGUAAGAUCGUGGUUCUUCACUGGAAUGCCAUUUUGGCUACCUCUGCGAUGUGCCAUAAUCGCAGAGGCUCACUGGAAAUUGCCAAACGUGAACUCUGGAAAGAGAAAAAUUGGAAAACUGGAUGAUUGUGAGAAGCGGUAAGAUCGCGUUCCUUCACUGGGAUGCCAUUUUGGCCACCUCCGCGAUGCACCAUAAUCGCGGAUGCUCACUAAAAAUUACCUAAUGUGAACUGGGUCCUUAGCGCGAUGCGUCAACAUCAUGGUACCAUACUAGAAACUGACAAUUGUCAUUUAGAUUGGCUCCGCGAUGCGCUAAGGGUUAGAAUGAUGGUGUUUAAUGACUGAAACUUAAAAUCGUCAUAACUUCUUACCCGGUUAUCAGAUUUGGGCGAAUUUUAUAUCAUUGGAAAGAUAAUUGAAUUUCCUACACAAUGACAGGCUCUAAACUUAAAAUUAAUGAGUAUUUAGAAUAUUUAUAUAUAUGAAUACUUAUGUAUUGGGGCUUAGAUUAUGCUAGAAAAUACGGGGUAUUACACGACCCAUCGUGUCUCAUUGAAAAUGUAAUGUACCACUUGAAUGAGGGUUAUAACCCAAUGUGUCUCAUCGAAAGGUGGAUGACCAAUAUUGAAUAUAACUUGUCACUUUGAAUGGGUGACGACCCAAUGUGUCCCAUUGAAAGACAAACAACCUAUCUUGAAUAUCUCAUAUCACUUUGAUCGAGGUGAUGAUCCAAUGUGUCUCAUCGAAAGGUGGAUGACCAAUAUUGAAUAUAACAUGUCACUUUGAAUGGGGUAAUGACCCAAUGUGUCUCAAUAAAAGGCGGACGAUCUAUCUUGAUAUAAUAUGUCACUUUGAUCGGGGUGAUGUCCCAAUGUGUCUCGUUGAAAGGCGGAUGACCUAUCUUGAAUGUAACUUGUCACUUUGAAUGGGGUGACAGCCCAAUGUGUCUCAUUAAAAGGCGAACAAUCUAUAUUGAAUAUAAUAUGUCACUUCAAUAGUGGUGAAGACCCAACGUAUCUCAUUGAAAGGCAGACGACCAAUAUUAAAUGUAACAUGUCACUUGAAUGGGGUGAUGACCCAACGCGUCUCAUUGAAAGGUAGACGACCACUAUUAAAUGUAAUAUUCACUUUGAAUGGGGUGAUGGUCUAAUGUUGUGUCUCAUCAAAAGGCGGACGACCUAUCUUGAAUGUAGCAUGUCACUUUGGUCGGGGUGACAGCCCAACGUGUCUCAUUGAAAGGCGGAUGACCUAUCUUUAAUAUAACAAAUCACUUUGAACUGGGUGACGACCCAAUGUGUCCCAUUGAAAAGUGGAAGACCUAUCUUAAAUGUAACAUGUCACUUUGAUUGGGGUGACGGCCGAACGUAUCUCAUUGAAAGACGGAUACCAAUAUUGAAUGUAACAUACCACUUUUGAAUGGGGUGACGAUCUGAUGUGUCUCUUUGAAAGGUGGACAACCUAUCUUGACUGUAACAUGUCACUUUGAACGGGGUGACAACCCAAAUAUAAUAAGAUAUGUCCUUUAGAAAGGGUGGUUGAACUAAAUAAGAUGUGUCCUUUUGAAAUGAUGGAUGACCUAAAUAUAAUGAACUUCAUUCUUUGAAUCAGGAGUCAUUCAAAUGACUUGAGCAUAUCCUGAAAUUCUAGAUUGGAUCCUCAAACUUUGAGAAGAUAUUUUUGCAUUAUUUUUUAGUGGCAAUCUUUUAUAAUGUCACUUGUAUAACUUAAACAACAGUCAUUAAUACAACAAUUUGUUAUAACUAAGCCAGGAGUGUAACAGAAGAUAUAGUUUAAAGAUAAAGAUGAUGUUGUUUGACUCAUGAUGAUUUAGAGAUAGUAGUUAGGAUAAUAUAUCCACAUCUUCGUCAUUAUGUUAGAUCGUUUCCCUAUAAAAUCAGAGAAAGUGAUAGAGAUCAUAACAAAGUAAUAGAAACAUAAAUCAAGAGAAAAAUGGAGGAGAAAAGUUAUCUAGAUUAUUAUGGCAAGACCACAAUGGAUCUGAUAAUACCCUUUGUCAUGCUUAACGGUGUCAACUUUAUGACUUCACUAUUCCUGGAUCCAAAGAAAAAUUCUUAGAUUUGAGAGACUGACUGUAUUGGCAUUGUUUCUCCCUCCUGAUGCACCUUGUUCAUCAUUGAUUUGCAAAUUUUUCUGAUCUUGAAGUACAACUUUUGUGGAAUUUUUGAGGAUCUUCCUCUAAAAUUAUGCCGCGGUCUAUAACAUAUAACUCCAGAACCUUCUUAUAACUUGUGACAUAUAUUUAAUUUGAAAUUUUUGAGACCUUUUCAAAAAUUCUUCCCCAGUUUAAAAUGUAAAAUACUUGAGUUGUAUCUGACAUAGGGUACUUUCAGCAUAGAGAAUUUCAAAAAUUAUGCCCCGAUCUUAGCUUCAGCAACAUUUGAACUUCAACUUUGUGGAAAAUGUCACGUUUUGAGAAAUUUUUUAGACCUUCUCAAAAUUUUUUACCCAAGUUGUAUACUUUAGUUUCAUCUUCAUUUAUCUUUGGAAAGGAUCUUCUGAUAACUUCUAAAAAAUUUUUGCCAUAAUUUCUAUGAAAAUCUUACGAAAAAUAUGGUCGAGCCAGUGUGGCGCCUAUGCAUUUCAUUGAGGUAGGAAAUGUAUUUCCAACAAAAGUGGCAAGGUAAUUCUUCUAAGGAAUUGAUCGAAGCCAACAUAGUCCUCCUACGUAUCCCAUUCUUGGAAAUUCAGGUCAAACGUAGUUCAUACAUAAAAUGAAAAGAUAAAUUCUCUAAGGGGUUGACCAAAGCCGAUAUAGGCCGCCUACGUAUUUCGUUGAGGUAGGAAAUUUAGUUCUAACAAAAGUGGAAAGGUAAAUCUUCUAAGGAAUUGACCAAAGCUGAUAUAGGCCGGCUACGUAUCCAAUCUUGGAAAUUCAGGUCAAACGUAGUUCAUACAUAAAAUGAAAAGAUAAAUUCUCUAAGGGGUUGGCCGAAGCCGACAUAGGCCGCUACGUAUCCCAUUCUUAGGAAUUCAGGUCAAACAUAGUUCAUAUAUACAAAAGGGAUAUUUGAUACUUUUGAUAACGUGAUUGAAGCCAAUACAGGCCGACUACGCAUUCCACAAGGGAAAUCAGGUUGAACGUAUAUUAUUACAACUAAAAGGGUGCAAUUACAAGGAAAUCAAACCAUAAAGUACGAUUACAAGGAAAUAAAACAACAGAAUGCAAGUACAAAAAAAUAAAAUGAGAAAGUACGAUUACAAGAAAACAAAAUAACAACAUCCAAAUGCAGGAUAGAAGGAUGUCAGAAGUGCAACAAACUUAGGACAACGAAACUUGACUAUGAACUUCCACCACCAGAGUUUAAAUUUAAACUUGUCGGAAUUCAACCUUUCGUUGAAAUUGAUUUUUUUUAGUGUGUUCUUUGAGAAUUUUAGUUGCGUGAGGUUAGAAGCAUUCGCCUCCAAAACCCCCAAAUUUCCCCUCAAAGCCCUUCUCCUUCACCCCUAUCCCUCACUAGCUAUUUAUAGGAGAAUUUANNNNNNNNNNNNNNGGGGGGGGGGGGGUAAAAUUAGGGUUUCGCAUUUUAAAUCCAAAUUUUAAGUUAAUUUUCUUGGAGAAUUUCAAUCCACAGGCAGAGAAGGGUACGUAUCGAUUGACUUCUUGCCAAAAGGGAGGUGAACAUGAACUAAACAAGAAAAAGUCGAUGAAACUUUAGCCAAAAUGGUUUUACGAUGGAGUAAAGAGUAAAAUUGAUGGCAAUGGCUAGGUUGACUAGGGUUUAUGGAUUUGACGGUGUUGUCGUUGAAGCUAUUAUUAUCGAAUUUGGGUCAAAUUUUUGUUGUUGUUGCUCGUACGGCAUUGCCGUUGUUGACAUUGUUGUUGUUUGUUUGUUGUUAACGGUGGUGUUAAGGGUUGUACAUCAUUGUUGUUGGGUUGUUGUUGUUACUGAUAAGGGAGAAGAGGCUUGGGUCGGGUCGGGUCGGUGGCUGGUGUGGGCUGUUGGGGGUAAGUUGUUGUUAUUGUUGGGCUGGUUAGGGUGCAGAAUUGGGCUGGGAUAGUUGAUUUUGGACUGGGUUAAAAUUAAAAGAGAUGAGGAUUUGGACUGGUUUAGUUAAAUUAGGAAUGGGUAGAUUAAGAUAAUCAAGGAAGUCCAAUUUAACAAUUGUAACCACUUUAUAUUAAAAAAAAAUGGCCACAAUUGAGUUAAUUGGACAAAAUUGAGACAAAAUUAACUUUUAAUUAAUUUGACGAGUUUCUCAAAUUCAAUAAUUUCAAAAUAAAUAUCAAAUAAAACACACUUUUAUUUUAUUUCUUUUUUUUUUCAAAAAUAAUAACAGUAUUACUUAUAAUAAUAAUAAUAAUAAUAAUUAAGAAACUAAUUAUGUCAUCAAUUUUUUAUUUUCAAUUGAUAUUGAGAAAAGUAGAAUAUUUGCAAUUUAAUCAAACUUUUCACUCUGAAUAAAUUCUAAAGCGAUUUCUUUAACCGAUAAUUAUAUAAUCAUGUAUAAUUAAACACUAAAUAUAUUAAUUUCACCUAAAUUCAAAAGGUAGGGUUGAAAUUUAUUUCAAAAUAACUUAAAAUAAAUAUUUUAAAACUAUUUAAAAUUAAAAAAUUCAAAAAACAAUUUGGAAAGCGGAGGACAAAAAUUAGGUGUCAACAAUUAUCAUUCACAAAACUUUGAGCAAUUAGAGAUGAACUUACAUGUCCCGUAGCCUAAAAAAAAUAAAAACUAAGACAUUAGUUGCUAAAAAAAUGAUUGACAUGUAUUAAUAAACAUUUUAAAAAUAUACAUUUCAAUGCUUCGUGUUUGCCUACCAUAGGUUGGUAUCCAACUUGAGCAUGUUUAGGAUUUUCAAUUAUAAAACGUGAGUGAUAGAAAUACCAUUGAUUGUGAUCUUCUUGGUUGACCAUAUAAUUGGGGUGAACACUAUUGUCAUAGCGUUCAUUCCACUUCUAUUCCGUUUCAUUUAACAACAUAACAAUCUCCCGUGUUAUUUGAAAUCGCUUAUCGUGUUCAAAAUAAAAUGAUUUGUACUCAAGUCGCACAUGUAUGUGUUGGACAUAACCAAAUUAUCUCAUAAAGCGAUCAAUCAUAUGAUAUUCAUGAUGAAUUUCAUAAAUAAGUGAAACCUUAGCCAUCCAAAUAACACGUCCUAGCCGACAUCACUCGGGCAACUCAUUAAUAAAUUACUCAGAAUAAUGUUGCCAAAUAAACUACAAAAUAAUAAAAAUAUAAUGAUUAAUGUGACUCAAAGAAUUUGUCUAAUCAUUGCUUAGUUUAGGAAACAACAGGUAUAUUUUUACUUCAUCUUUACUGGUUUAAUUAGUAACAGCUCAUAAUUUUUAAUAUAGAUUUUUUUUCAAAAUAUAAAUAUAGAAUUUUGAUCGAAGCAUAGCUUUAUUCUUAACUUCGCCAUCGAAUAACUUGGUUCUACGAAACACAUAAUAGCUUUCUCCGUAGUCCUGCUCUCAAAUAUUUUGGAUUCUAUCGAACACGUAAAUUUCUCCUAACUUUGGCCUCAAAUACGUAGCGUAAAUUUUUGCUAUAGAAUUCAACACUAUUAGGACUAUCCACAAUGAAGUGGAUGAUGUUAAGAAUUCAACUCUGGCUUCAAAUACGUAUUUUAAAAAAUGCACUAUAAUAAUAUAGCAUUUCACUGCUUUUAUAUAUAUACGAGCUUUAUUUAAUUGGUGGAGCAUUGCGUUAUAUUACUACAAAUAAAAAUUAAGGUAAAAAAAUGACUUGAUAAUACAAAAAGUACCUGCUUCUCUGUAAGGUUGUCUAAUGCAUCUCUUAUUAUGACAAGCAUACUACGAGCCUCAAUUUGAUGAGUUCUACCUCGAGACCAUUUACGUGCAUAUGCGGUCGGGACCUCCAAAUUUUCCUUGCUAGGAGGUAGUGAAAAUGGCUACAAUAAGAUAAUAUGCUCCCAUGUCCAUGCUUAUAGAAAAAUAUAAUCAACAAUAUUUAUCAUCAUAGUAAAAUUAAGUAAUACAAAAUGGGGGAAAAUAUUAUAAAGUUCACAUACCUGUAAUAACGAAACAAAAUUACUAAUGCAGCGUGACUUCUCUAUUGACGCACGACAAACAAAAUUAGAGAUACGAUAGCGCAGUGGCUCUCCAUGCAUAUGUUGACAUUACGGGUAAGUCAUGUAUGUCAAUAAAAAAGUCUGUAUUAAAUUUAUUUUUGAACUUGUCGGGAAAUAUUAUUCCGCCGCACAACCGAAAAAGAUACAACCCAACUCUUUGUUACACCUUUUCUUCCUCAGUUCAUCAUUUAUUUCAUUUAUAUUUUUCAUGUAUUCCUCUAAUCUCAAUAAAAAAACUUAUUUUCUUGAAAAAAGUCUAGAUCAGGUAUACAUCCUGUUAAUUUAACAAACAUUUGUUGCUUGUCAAUAGGUAACAUCUGAGCAACGCCUAGAUGAAGAAUGAGAAUUUCAUCUACGACUACUCCAAACAUAACUUUCAUGUCUUGUAAGGUCAUAGUCACUUCACCCGUUCUUAGGUGAAAGGUAUGUAUUUCUGGCAGUAAUAAGGGAAUAAUCGCAGGGAAUAUAUCCAACAUCUAUAACACCCCUAAAAUCAUAAAUAUUAAAAUAAUUAAGAAGACGGGAUGGAACGGAUGAUCUAACAUGUUGCAAAAAAUCAUUAUCAUCUUGUUGCACUAUCAAAUAUGCCUUUUCUCCCUUUAAUGUGCCUCUACAAAUAGCUUCGAAUCGAUGCUUACUUUGUGUGGCAUAUACAUCAUACUAUGAUGGUCCGGGAUGGACAAACUGUUGAUAUUUCAUAUCUGUACAGAAAUUAUGAUGGUCCGGGAUGGACAAACUGUUGAUAUUUCAUAUCUGUACAGAAAUUAUGAUGGUCCGGGAUGGACAAACUGUUGAUAUUUCAUAUCUGUACAGAAAGAAAAUUAAAAAUAGUUUUGAUAUGUAUUUCAUGAACAUUUAUGCCAAGUAAUAAUUUGAUAAAUUUAGCAAUUUACACAUACAUUCAACUAAGGGGGUCCGGAGCCUAAAGGGUAAGUUGUUUGCACAUGCAUGACCAAAUUUAACAUCUUUGUUAUGCAAACAACAAAUUUAAAAAAAAAAGUAGAUAUACAAUAAUGACUUAACAUAGGUUUAGGCUUAACAAGUUGGUAUGAUAAAAACAAUGUUUGGAAAAUUAGUAAGCUAAAAAGAUGAUUGAUAAUAUUAAUACUACUUGUUGUUAGAUAUUGAAAUAAUUAUAUAAAAAGGUGACCAAAAUAUAUCUUAAAGUGCAAAAUUUUUAAUGAAAUACACUUUGAACAAGAACAAGGGCAAACACCCAAGUAAUAUGAAUGAAGAGAGUGAAACGGGUAACAAACAAGUAAUGUAAUAAGAAAUGAAUGAAAUAGUUGGUUUAUAAAAGAAAAUUAAUAUGGUAGGGGACAAAUAUUACCUUGUAAGAUAAAAUAGUCUCCUUACCUUGCAUUAUAGGCGAAAUAAAUUUUUCACUAAAUACUCUCGGUUUAUAAAUACUUGUUCAUUUUUGACUUGACAUAUGCCUUAAGUAACAAAAAAUAGAUGCGCACUUUUACUAUAUCACCCUUUGAAUAUAAUAAAUUUUUUAUUUUGAAAAAUGCAAUGAGUGAAUUAUAUUUAAUACCAAGGGUAAAAUAGAUAAAAAUAAAAAAUUAUCCAUUAAUUUCAUAAAUUGGACAAGUAUUGUUGGACAUCCAAAAUAGAAAAGUGAAUAAAUAAAGAUGGACGGAGGGAGUACAUCGGUUUCAUAAAAUUCCCAACUCCUACCAACUUUUUCAGUCAAAGAAUAAAAUAAGCGGGUCCAUCUACCUUGUAAGGUAAAAUCACCAUUUACCUUGCACUUUAUCAUGUAAUCAGACAGUGUAAAUUUUUAAUGAACAAGUUAAGCACCUGUGUUUACCUUGUCUAUUUUGGUAUUUUUAAAUUUUGAUAUAUCCCUUUGGAAUUUUUGAUUAAAAAACUUUCCCUUUAAGCUCCGAACUCAUGUUUGGUUGAUAGUAUAAAUUUACCUCGAGACUAAUUUUUACCAUCAAUCAAAUCUCUCUCUCUAUAGACAUAUAUAAAAGCAAAACUAAAACAAGACAAGAUGCCAAGUGACAACAUAUUAAAAUAGCCACGUGACAGUUUUUAGGAUGAAAUUAAAAAAUAUUUUAAGAAAAAGUUAAAAAUAUUGUAAUAAAAAAUUUGAAUUGAAAGAUUAAGUAUUUGAAUUUGAAUAAAUUAUCCCUUUACAAAAAAGAUUUUCAUUAUCUUAAAGAUACAAACUCAUAAUUAAAGAGUUUUAAUAGACAUAUACCAUUUCAAACUUAUCUCUUAUAAAAUUUAAAUGUUAUAAAAUAUAUUUAAAUAUAAUUUAUUUACAUAUCAGGAAAAGAUAUAAAAUUAUAAAAACAAUAAUAAUAAUUAAUAGUAAUGAAGAAGCAAUAAUAGCAGUAAUACAUACGUAUAUGAUGAUGAUGAUGAUGAUGAUGGAGAAGAAUUAUAUAAUAUUUUAAACAAAUUAAUUUAUUUUUUAAUAAAAAGGAAUAAAAGAGAACAAAAAGGAAAAAACAUAUGAAAAGUUAAAAUAAUUUGAUACUAAUAUUUUAGAAUCAAUAUCAUUAAUUUAAAAUAUUAAUUUUUUUAUUUCAUUUAUUUCUUUUGUAGAAAAUUCCUAAUUGGUCUCAGUAAUUUCAUAUAUAUUUUUUUGCAAACUCAAAAUAUGUAAACUAUAAGAUAAUCAUGACAUUUUAGAAUCUUAUCUUUGUAGAUUCUAACAGAUUUUAGAAUCUUGAAUUUGAAAUACAUUAUCCCUUUUAAAAAAAAAUUAUUAUCUUAAAAAUAGAAACCCAUAAUUGAAGAUAUUCCAAAAUUUUCCACACACACAUAUAUAUAAGCAAAACUAAAACAAGACAAGAUGCCAAGUGGCAACAGAUUAAAAUAGCCACGUCACAGUUUUUAGGAUAAAAUUAAAAAAUAUUUUAAGACAAAGCUAAAAAUGUUGUAAUAAAAAUUUUGAAUUGAAAGAUUAAGUAUUUGAAUUUGAAUAAAUUAUCCUUUUACAAAAAAAAAUUUCAUUAUCUUAUAGACAGAAACUCAUAAUUAAAGAGUUUUAAUAGACAUAUACUAUUUUAAACUUAUCUCUUAUAAAAUUUUAAUGUUAGAAAAUAUAUUUAAAUAUAAUUUAUUUACAUAUUAAGAAACAAUAAAAAAUAUUAAAAUAAUAAUAAUAGUUAAUAAUAAUGAUAGAAACAAUAGUAGCAGUAGUACAUACGUAUAUGAUGAUGAUGAUGAUGAUGAUGAUGAUGAUCAUCAUCAUCAUCAUAAUAAUAAUAAUAAGAAGAAGAAGAAGAAGAAGAAGAAGAAGAAUUAUAUAAUAUUUAAAACAAAUUAAGUUAUUUUUUAAUAAAAAAUAAUAAAAGAGAACAAAAAGGAAAAAACAUGUGAAAAAGUUAAAAAUAAGUUGAUACUAAUAAUUUAGAAUCAAUGUCAUUAAUUUAAAAUAUUAUUUUUUUAUUUAGUUUGAAGAAAACUCCUAAUUGGUAUCAUUAAUUUCAUAUAUAUUUUUUUGCAAACUCAAAAUAUGGAAACUAUAACAUAAUGAUGACAUUUUAGAAUCUAUAAAGAUAAGAUUCUAACAACUUUUAGAAUCUUGAAUUUGAAAUACAUUAUCCCUUUUUAAAAAAAAAAUAAAAAAUUAUUAUCUUAAAAAUAGAAACCCAUAAUUGAAGAGUUCUAAAUUUAAAGGUGUUAAAAUGAACCUAAAUUGAGUUGACCUGCCCAAUAGUUAAUGGGUUGGAUUUAAGAUAAUUUACUAUUGGGUAAAUUCUUAACCCAUUAAGUAUCAACCCAUUUUUAAAUUGGGUUCAAAUGAGCUCAAUUCAAUCUCUACUUCAAUCCGUUUAAUAGAAAAAUGAUUUUCUUAAUGAAAUUAGAAAAACAAGUGACAAUGCGUCGUCCUAUUCUCAAAAUGACCCACGUCACCUCACCUCAACCCCACUACAUCUCCAACUUACCACACCCCACCCCACCCUGCCUCCAUUAAAUAUAUCAUUUCUAUUUCUUAAGAAGUUUUUUAUAAAUUUUUUUUGCCCCAUCCUACUUCAUUCCCAUCCCCUUCCCUACCUCGAACCCCCACCCCAAAAAAAAAUUCUUUUAAUUUUUUUGGAAAAAAAAAAUUCUUUUCUUACCUCACGAUCAAAAUCCAACCCUCCCUCUUCACCACAUCCCCUACCUCUCACAAAAAAGAUUUUUUUUUUAAGAAAUAUUUUUUAAAAAUAAAUAAAUAAUUAUUUUAAAAAAAAUCUUAUCCUAACCCCAUCUCCCGCUAUCCCCUGCACCCCCUAUACGACAAUAUCUCAUCCCGCCAAAAAAUGUAGUUUUCAAAUAAGUUAAAUUUCUUUUUUUUUUUAGACAAAAACUUUUACCUCAAUCCCCAUCCCUUUCUCACACCCCACACCCCACCGCUCCCAAUUUUUCUUUUUUAAAAAAUAUUUAUUUUUUUAAAAAUAAAUUCUUACCCCAUCCCCAUCACCCCCUAAACACCCCACCCCCAUGGCAUACCCCUUUCCUAAAAAUUUAUUUUUAAAAAAAUCCUUUUCUAAAAAAAAUUCUUACCUCAACCACAUCCUAACCCUCGACCCCCCACCCUACACCCCUCUACAAAAAAUGAAUUUUUGUUUUUAUAAAAAUUAAAUUUUAAAAAAUAUUCUUAUCCCAUCCCCACCCUUACCCCCACCCCCUACCCCCACGCUCUACCAACCCACCCAACUUUCUAACCCCAUUCAAAUUUAUUUUCUUGAGUUGGGUUUACAAGAGAUAAAUAUCAAUAUGUUAAUAUUUUGUAGACUAGGCGGGUCAAAUUGGGCGGGUUAAGACCCAACUCGAUUUUUACCCAUUUUAACCCAAAGUGAAUUUGGGCAGAUCAUGAUCCAACCCCCAUCACCCCCUAAACACCCCACCCCCAUGGCAUACCCUUUUCCUAAAAGGUUACUUAAAAAAAAAUUCUUACCUCAACCACAUCCUAACCCUCGACCCCCCACCCCACACCCCUCUACAAAAAAUAAAUUCUUGUUUUUAUAAAAAUUAAAUUUUAAAAAAUAUUCUUACCCCAUCCCCACCCUUACCCCCACCCCCUACCCCCACGCUCUACCAACCCACCCAACUUUCUAACCCUAUCCAAAUUUAUUUUCUUGAGUUGGGUUUACAAGGGAUAAAUAUCAAUAUGUUAAUAUUUUGUAGACUAGGCGGGUUAAAUUGGGCGGGUCAAGACCUAACUCGAUUUUUACCCAUUUCAACCCAAAGUGAAUUUGGACAGAUCAGAUAUUCAAUUCAAUCCAUUUAAUAGUUUCAGUCUCAACCCAACCCACCCAUUUAACACUCAUAGUUCUAAUACACUUUUACUAUUCAAAAUAUAUAUUUUUUAAAAUAUAAAUGCUAUAAAAUAUAUUUAAAUGUAAUUUAUUUAAAGAUUAAUGAAAGAUAAAAGUAUUAUUAAAAUAAUAAUAUUAAUUAGUAAUAGUAGUACGUUAUGUAAUAGAAGAAAUAAUAAUACAUUUGACUUAUUUAAAUUUUUAAAUGAAAGUUAAAAAUAAUAAUUAAGAAAACACAAAUAAAUAAUAGUACUAGCAGCAAUAAUACGUUGUAGUAUUGGUAAGUAGUAGUUGAGCAAUAAUAAUAAUAAUAACAAAUUGAAAAAUAUUUGAAUUAAUUUCAAAAUUUUCUCUAAUUCAGCUUUAUAUAUUAUAGGAUAAGUAUGGCUUUUAUUUGAAAAGUCUAAGGAUAAGGAAAGAAAAAUAAAAUGAUCUUCUUAUAAUAAAUUGAUAUAAUAUAAUAUUUAAAUUUAAAUUUAAAUAAAAUUUGUAUUAGAAUGAAAUUCUAACUUCUUAACCUCUCUUAUAUUUAUACUAAUAUUAUUAUUAUAAAUAUACAUUAAUAAUAAUAACAAUUUUAAAUAUCAAAUAAGAAAUAAAACAUAAUAAUAAUACAAAAUAAAUAAUCAAUAAAUAAAACAAUAAUAUUAAUCACAAUAGUAAUAAUAGUAGAAGUGGUAGUAAUAUUAAUAGUAAUAACAACAAUAAUAGCAGUAAUAAUGGCAAACUGGCAAUAACAAUAAAGUAAAACUACAUGUCCCCUUACCCAAGACAAAGGUUUUUAUUGAAUUUAAAUUAAAUAUCAAUUAUUUUGUUGUGUAUUACCUUUUAUAGCAUAUUUUGUAGCAAAAGAAUUAUAAUUCUUUGUAGGCUUCUCUUUAUUAGCAACUAUAAGUUUCUGCUCUUUUAUUUUUACUUUAUUUUUUAUAUUUAUAUUGAUUCAAAUCAAUAUCUUAAUCAAUGAGCAUUUGACUUUAAAUUUAAAUGAUAUUCGAAUUGCAAUGGAGUUCUAACUUCUUAACUUCUCCUAUAUAUACUUGAAUAGUGGUACAUAAUGUUAAGAUUUUUUUUAAUUAUUAAUUAUUAUUGAUCUUUAGCUUUACUUACUGCAUUAUUUAUAUUCUUCAUUUUCUAGAAUUGUUUAAUAUUUUUAUUUUUUAUAUGCAGAUCAGUAACAAUGAUAUUACAUUCUAAUUUAUUUUUCUAUCAUAUUCAAGACUGAAUUCAAGUAAUUAAUGUUAGGUGACUGCUAACCUGCGCCCUUCUGAUGGCAAGAGGGCGACCGUGAAAAGCUAAGAUCCAGGCGCAAGAGCGGCCGGUGGGAUCGAAGUCUAAAACUCAGAACCAAUACGUGGUAAAGGGGAAAGCAGUUUGCGAACAGGUAGAAUCAGAGUUGGGUGAAGAAGAUGAGCUCCAAUGGCUAGAUCUGUCAAUUCGCCCAGAGACCGUCACCCCUCACCUAUAAAGCUCUGAUACAAAGCAUUGGAAACCUCAACAAAACUUGUUGAUGAAGCCGACCACUGUUAAGGGGGUAGCAAGCAAAGAUACGCCAUGGUCUUCUACUAAGCAGCCUAUAGAAGUGGUUAAGUCAACAGAAAGACCAAUUGAAACAAGUGUGAAGGUGAAUCCAGAGGGGAAUGAAUAAAUAACAUGGGCAGGGAUCUUUACACGAAAUAAAUUGCCGUCAAAGGGUAUGAAUUUGAGUUAUGUUCCCCUGAUACUGGUAGAAGGAGAAGCUAUGGUGCAAUUAGCUAACGAGGACAUUGAAUAUGAAAGCCUCAAGUGGAAUAAGGCCCUAAUCUUGUACAUAGUUGGGAACACACCGUCCAUUGGAUCCAUUGAACGAUUUAUUGCCAAUCAAUGGAAUUUUAUCACUGAACCAAAGGUCCUAUAUCAUAGUGAAGGUUAUUUUGUUAUCCGUAUGAGCAACACAAAAGAACGAGAUGAGGUAAUUUUUUAGGGCCAUACACACUCAAUAAUCGACCUAUAAUACUUAAGGCCUGGGCAGCAGAUUUUAAUUUCAAUGAGGAGGUGCUUAAAACUAUUCCUCUUUGGGCCAAAUUGCCAAACCUUGCGUUGAAUUGUUGGAGUAAAGAGGCUCUUAGUAAGAUUGGCAGUGGUCUUGGCAGGCCACUCUAUGCAGAUAAUUGCACGACAACAACGGAGAGAAUAUCCUAUGCACGGAUUUUAGUAGAAAUUGAUGUGACUAGGCCAAUUCCAUAUUCUAUUAAAAUUUGUGAUCCCAAAGGAAAAGUAAUUGAUCUACCAGUAAUGUAUGAUUGGGAACCUGUUUACUAUCAAGAAUAUUGCCAAAUUGGACAUUCUUGCAAAGAGAAGAGGGUGCAACUAGCUGAGGCGAAGAACGAAAAUGCCCAAGAGGCCAGACCAAAGAAGGAAUAGAGAUUCAAUAGAACGUUGUACCUGAGGGUGGACACAAUGAUUGAUGAACGUGGUUGCUGGAAAGACCAAUUGCUACCAAAGGAAGUUAGUCCCAAUCGAGAGAAUGAGAUACCAACUCAAAAUAGAACUGAUGAUUGGUCAGUGGCCCAAGGAAAAUCUAGUGCUAGGCUCCUAAAGGAAAGACCUUCACAGGUCAUUUCUAGAAAUGAUAAUACUUUUAAUAUUUUAAAUUUUAGCCUAGAUGAGGUCAAAAAUUUGACAAGUACUAGUGAUAUUGUGGUUAAAGUAAGAGAAGCAAGGGGAAAUGGGUCAGCCAUACCUCUUUCGUGGCCAUGAAUCUAGUGACAUGGAAUAUGCGGGGGAUGAAUAAGGUGUAUAAACACUAGGAUUUUAAGAAGUUUUGUCGCAGUAAUCAUGUAGUUCUAAUUGCAGUCAUAGAGAAUAGAGUCAAGGAAAAUAAAGUUCCAAGACUAAUCAUAAAGUUAGUGGGCAAAUGACAAUAGGUUGCAAACUACCAGGAAGCUCCAGGGGGACAUAUUUUGAUAUUAUGGGAUUUAGAUCAAAUUAGUUUUACUAUCACAGGCAUGCAUAAGUAGUACAUACAUGGGCAAGUGAUCUGUCUCUGAGUUAACCUUAAAUUCAAUUUGGCGGUAGUAUAUGGUCUUCACUCCAUACAGGAAAGAAAGUCGUUAUGAGAAGGUUUAACAGUAUGGAUAAAAGGUGUUCAAGGCCCUAGUUUGAUUAAGAGAGAUUUUAAUGCUAUUAGUUCCAUGGAUGAUCUCCUCUAUGGGAAUAUAGUUUAGGAAAUAGAAGUAAGGGAUUUUAAAGAUUUCAUUUAGGAAACUGGGUUGGUGGAAUUAAAAUCUAUUGGGAGGAAAUACUCUUGGUCAAAUAAUCACAUUCUGAGUAGGAUUGAUUGGAUGUUUGUUAACUCUACCUGGAUGCAGCUCUACUUUCAUUUAGAAGGAAUAAUCAUGGACCCUCUUUCCUCGGACCAUAACCCUCUCAGUGUUACAUUAGCGGAACCAGUAGGGGUAAGAACUAAGUCAUUUAAGUUUUAUAAUUAUCUCUUAGACCAUCCUGAGUUUCAGCAAACUAUUGCAGAUCAUUGGAGGAAACCUGUGGCAGGUUUUCGUAUGCUAGCAAUUUAGAAUAAGCUUAAACAGACUAAAUAGAGUAUUAAGAGUUUGGUGACUGCUAAUUAUCAAGGGGUUGAAGAUAAAGUUCGAACAGCUAGAACAGAGUUAAUUACUAUUCACUAUGAAAUGAGAGAUGCUACCAAAUUUACAGAGCUUAUCUCAGCUGAAAUAGAGGCAAAGAAGCAACUAAAAAAGUGGAUACUGGUGGAGGAAAGCAUUGUGAGGCAGAAGUCCAGGGUCUCCUGGCUAAGGUUAGGAGAUGAUAAUACUAAAUAUUUUCAUUCUUGCUUGAGAAGUCGACAAUCUCAAAAUCAAAUAAGAAGACUCAUUUCCUUAGAGGGACACACAAUUUUAACUGAACAGGAGAUUGAAAAUGAAGUGGUGCAUUUUUAUAAGGAGUUACUAGGAACUUCAGCCCAACAAUUGCUUAUGGUUAAUGUUGAUGUUAUGGCACAUGGUCCUUCCUUGGAUAGGGCUGAAUAACUUGAAUUAAUUAAGCUAGUUACUAAAUAUGAAGUGUAUGAGGCGUUACAAAGUAUUAAUGAUAAUAAAGCACUGAGGAGUGAUGGCUUCAAUGCACACUUUUUCAAAAAAGCCUGGCCAACUAUAUGACAUGAGAUCACUAAUGCUGUAUUGGAUUUUUUUCAAUCUAGUAGAAUAUGCCCUGCUAUAAACUGUGCAUCCAUUACAUUAAUUCUAAAAUUCAAACACCCUUCUACUAUUCGAGAAUGUAGACCCAUUUCAUGUUGUACAGUCUUUUAUAAGAUUAUUUCAAAGAUUCUAACUAAUAAAAUGUAACCAGUGAUGAACGAGCUAGUGGAUAACUGUCAGACUGCCUUUGUUCCUGGUAGAUUGAUUGUGGAUAAUAUUGUGAUGAGCCACGAGCUAGUGAAGGGGUAUAGUAGAAAACACAUCACUCCUCGAUGCAUAAUAAAAGUGGAUAUGCAGAAGGCCUACGACUCAUUAGAGUGGCCCUUUAUCAAGCAAGUUUUGAGGCUUUUAGGAUUUCCUGAGGUCUUUGUCAACUGGAUAAUGAAUUUUCUGAAUAAUGUUAGCUACUCAAUUAUCCUAAAUGGUAAAGGCACUGUUCCAUUCCCUACCAAAAAGGGCUUCGACAAGGGGAUCCCAUAUCUCUUUUCCUAUUCGUUUUAUCUAUGGAAUAUCUAAAUAGGUUGUUGCAAGAACUUAAACAGUCCCCCAAUUUUAGAUUUCAUCCUAGAUGUGCGAAGGUUGGGAUUAUACAUUUGGGCUUUGCGGAUGAUCUCUUAUUAUUUUGUAGAGGUAAUGUGAGGUCAGUGACUAUAUAAAAUGAUCAAUUUCAGCAGUUCUCACUUGCCUCCGGCCUUAAGGCAAACCUCCAGAAGAGUGCAGUCUACUUUGGUGGAGUACCCAUCCUUGUUCAACAACAAAUCUCAGAUUUGUUAGGCUACUCAAAGGGGGAGUUGCCAUUUUGGUACUUAGGUAUUCCUCUAAGUACGAAACAUUUAAAUAUAGUUCAAUGCAAACCUCUUCUGGAGAGAAUAUUAGGAAGGAUUACCAUGUGGACUUCUCGAUUCCUUUCGUAUGCUGGGAGAGCUACACUAGUCAAAAGUGUAUUAUUUUCAAUUCAAACGUACUGGGAUCAGAUUUUUAUCUUACCAAAAAAGAUCAUUCAACUUAUUGAGGCAAUAUGCAGGCGAUACUUAUGGAUGGGUACAACCGAAUUCUCACAGAAAAGACUGUUUGCAUGGGAAAAACUUUGUUAUCCUAAAGUGGUAGGAGGAAUUAAUUUGAUUAAUAUGGAGAUCUGGAAUAAAGAAGAUAUCUAUAAGCUGUUGUGGCAUUUAUGUAUGGAUAAAGAACGACUAUGGGUGAGAUGGGUCCAUGCCUAUUAUAUUAAAAGCAAGUCAAUAUGAGAUACAAAUACUAAAACUGCUUCCUCGGUGGUGCAGAAGAUCUUCAAGGCUAAAAAUUACUUAGUAAAUGCGGGGUGUAGCUUGGAGGAGUUCCACCAGACACCUACUUUCUCAACUCGUAAGUUGUAUAGCAUAUUCCAUGGUGUAUUUCCAAAGGUUAACUAGAGAAAACUGGUAUGCAACAAUAUUGGCUGUACAAAAUGGAUUUUUAUGUUGUGUCUAGCCAUAAUGGGUAGGUUGGCGACUAAGGAUAGGCUGGCAAAAUGGGGAAUUAAUGUUGAUAAGUUGUGUGGAUUAAAUAAUCAAACAGAGGAGUCUCUGAAUCACCUCUUUUUUCAAUGCCCAGUAGCUAAGCAGAUGUGGCAAUCACUGUUGAGCUAGCAAGGAAUUCAGCGGAGGGCUAUGAGAUGGGAGGAAGAGCUAAAAUAGGGGGUUCGGUUUGGCAAAGGGAAAACUAGAGGUGCGAGUAUAUAUAGAAUGGUGCUUUCAGCAGCCAUAUAUCACUUGUGGAUGGAAAGAAAUACCAGAAUUUUUCAGAAGCAACACAAAGUUGCCCAUAUACUGAUCAGAAUAAUCAUCCAGGAGGUUCAUAUUAAAGCUAGUUUAUGGCCUAAAUUAGAUAGCUACAUGCAAGCCUUAACUUUUAUCCUUAGCCACCAGGGUGCUCCCUGAUACAUAGAUAUCUCAGUGAUUUGGUGGAAAUGAGUAAAUUGAACGCAACUGGAUGUAUCAGUUGAUUGCUCACUUAACAAUAGAGUUUUAACUCCUUACUUGGUAUAUAAAUACAAUGUUUAUUUACCAAAAAAAUGUUAUUCAUUAUGAUUUUGUUCCUUUAAUUUUUUUAUAAAGACAAAUACAUUCAAUUAUGUAAAUAAGCUUCAGAAUUAUGCUGAAUAUACAAAUUUUUGAAAUGUAUAUUUUAUUUGCUUACUCUAAUAUAUUUCUUAUAAAUUGUUGAUUUGAAAAGGGUUGAAAAUAAUGUUUUAUCCUAAAUUAUAAUACUUUAGAAAUGUAUUCAGUUAUACAAAUUGAAGUAGAGAUACGAGGACACUGAGACAUAAUAAUGAUUUUUAAUUUCAAAAUAAGGCUAUUAAAGAAGAGGAGAAUUUCAAAAGAGGGAAGUAUAUGAAUACACAAUUAAUAAUAAUAAAAAAGCUGACAAUUUCAGAACAUAUUAAUGAAAUGAAUCUAUUUAAUUCUAAAAGUUCAUCAAAAUAUGAAGAAAGUGAAUAAAAUAUAGAUAACCAUGCAGAUAGACUUAUAACUGACUGUCCACUUCUACUCAAAAUCUAAAAUUGCACUAAAAAAAUAAAGAUCACAAAAAAAAUAAUUUUAAUAAAGUAGGAGUGCUUGGACAGAAGUGGGGGCCUUUGUGUGAGAAGGGGGGGGGGGGGGGGAGGGAGGGGGUGGUGAGUGACAAAGAAGUUUUAAAAAAUAAAUGAAUUACGGGCAUGGGUAGGUUGAAGGUGGUUGAUGGAAGAAAAAAAAUGAGAUUAGAAAUUUAAAAUUGUUCAAUUCUGUAAGAGUUGUUUGAUUGGGGACAUGUUAUCAUCGGAUUAGCUAUUUCGGAAUAAGUUAUCUUAUCAUGUAUAUGAGAUAACUUAUUUUAUCACUAUCGUAUAAAUGAUGGGAUAAAUAAUCUUGAGACUAACUAAUACCUCUAACCAAACACAUGAUAAAUAAACUUGAUAUCCUCAUAUUAUUAUACCUUAUAUCUCACACGAAACAACUCUUAAGGGUAAAAUAUAGGUAAGCUCAUAUCCAAUUUAUUCAUUAAUCACCCAAUUCAUAUUUUACCGACACUUAAUAUGGGCAAAAGUGAUGAUUAUGUAACAUAUUAAACUAUUUGAGUCUUCUUCCAAUCUAUAUUUCAAUUAUUUUGUUAUGCAUAGCAAUACUUAUCUAUUUUAAUAUUAUGAAUUAAAAGAAAAGAAAACUUAACUGCUUAUACGUGUAACACCAAUUUUAUUAAUUCAAAUUCAAAUUAAAAAGUAAAGUAAUUAAAAUAUAUUAGAAAAAAAUGUACACCAAGGAUUGAGGUGAGGGCGAGGGUGAGGAAAAUUUAAACUAAUUUUGAGAAUAUCACAAAGUAAUUAGAUCAUAGACAUAUUACUAUUUAUAAGUUUUAAACGGAACAAACGAAAGAGAAUAGAAUAAAAAAUUAAGUAUAAAACAAUCAAUAUUAACAAUUUGAAAAUUUUAAAUUGUAAACGUAAAUAUGUAACAUAAAAGUUUUUUAUAAUCAUAUGCUUGUUUUUACUCAUAUAGAUUCUAUUAGGAGUCGGAGAGAGAAAAUAUUAGUAAUCUAAUAUUUUUAAAUUGUAAAUAACAUAAUCAAAUAAAAAAUAAAGCAUAAAAUUAUUUAAAAAAUCACAUGACUGUUUUUCUUCGUAGAUUUGGUUAGAGAUAGGUGAAAGGGGGUUUUGGUUGGGGGAAGAGGGGAGGGAGGGGUAAAAAAAAUAGGGUGGAGUAGGGGGUAUGGAGGUUUAGGUAGGUGGUGUGGAUGUAGAACUUUUAAAUUUUAUUUUCACAUUUUAUGGAGAAAUAGUAUGAUAGUUAUAUUUUUUAAGGUAAUAUGAUUGAACAUGAUUUAAACAAGACAUCUUAAUAUGAAAUUAUUAAUAGAUUUUUUUAAUAUUAUCCGCGCAUCGCGCGGGUAUGUAUACUAGUAUUGUAUAAAUCUAAUACCAAAUUUAGACUUGGAAUAUUCCACCUUAUCCCAUCUAAUAUGCUAAUAUGGGGGCUUUGAGCUGUAGGUGACAAAAGAGUUUUAAGAUGAGGUGUAGGUGACAUAAGUUUUAAUAAUUGAGUGGAGGUGACAAUUACUUUAUUAUGGAUUAAGAAAAUUGAGAAAGUUUGAAAAUAACCCACAAGUUUUUUAAUUUACACUUUGAUUCAAAUGUUAGUUAAUAGAACAGGAAACAAAGGAAAAAAAGGCUCGUUUCUCUCUCUUCUCACCCGUUGUUGUUUUCUCUCUCUUCACGAUUAUUGUUGUUCAUUGUUUCUGCUGCUUUAUUCAUCAUCUUCUGCUUCAUUAUCAUUAUCUUCUACUUCAUUAUCAUCUUCAUCUUCUUCUUGUCGACUAUUGUUGUUGUUGUUACCAAUACUGCUGCUAUCUGACCAAUUUCUUAGGUCAGAUUUUGUUUUCUACAUCAUUUUUCACUUUGGCAUUACUUCAUAGGUAACUUUGGUAAGUAAAAUUAUGAUUUCUAUUCGAUUUUGUCAUUUGGGUACACAGUUACUGCUUUUUUUUCAACGAUGGAUAGAAUCCGAUCAUGAAUCCAACAUAAGUGCCCAUAAUUUAAACAGAUCACUCAUCUGGUGCAUCAAAUGAGUAAUCUGUUGCAACAGAAGACUCAUACGUUGGAUUCAUGUUUAUGCUUCUAUAGUGCCCAUAACAUGAAUCGAACAGACGGGUAAUCUGUUGCAACAUAAGAUUUAUCUGUUACAACAGACUAGUUAUCUAUUGCAACAGACUUAUUAUCUGUUGCAUCAGGCUGAUUAUUUGUUCCAUCAGACUGAUUAUCUAUUGCAUCAGACUUCUUAUCAGUUGCAACAGAUGAGUAAUCUGUUGCAACAGAUGAGUAAUAUGUUUGGAACAACACAAAUCAGCCCCUGCCACAAAUCCAACAGAUAACCAAUAUGUUUCAACUCUUGCUAUUGCUACUGGAUUCAAAAUUAUUCCUUACGUCUAAUCGUCGACAUGUUUGUUGAGAAGCUAAUAGAUAGAAUGAAAAUUAAAUACUCCCUACGUCUCAAAUUACCCAUCCCAAAUUUCUUAAUUUGAUUUCUCAUUUUACUUGUCUUUCUUCAUUAAUCAAGAAGAGACAAAAAAAUUUUCAUGUUUUACCCUUUGCAUUAAUUACUUUUUCUUCAAAUUAAAAUGUAAACUUAAUUUAAUAGGGGUAUCAUGGUAAACUAGGCAUGUUAUUAAUUAUUUUUCUCAAUCAAUGUGCCAUCUCAAUUUGGGACGGGUAAUUUGAGAUGGAGGGAAUAUGAAUUAAAAUGUCAAAGGCGUGCAACAGACUAGUUUUCUGUCGCAACAGACUAGUUAUCUGUUGCAAUAGACUUAUUAUCUGUUGCAUCAGACUGAUAUCUGUUACAUUAGACUGAUUAUCUAUUGCAUCAGACUACUUAUCUGUUGCAACAUAUGAGUAAUCUAUUGCAAUAAAUGAAUAAUCUGUUUGGAACAACAUAAAUCAUCCUCUGCCACAAACCCAAUAGAUAACCAAUAUAUUUCAACUCUUGCUAUUGCUACUGGAUUUAAAAAUUUUCCUUACGUCCAAUCGUCGACAUGUUUGUUGAGAAGAUAAUAGAAAAAAUAAAAAUUAAAUAUAAAUUAAAAUGUCAAAGUUGAUCAAACAUAAUUUUUUUACUAAACAAAAAUAAAUAAAAAUACAUAUACAUAGACUAAAAGAAAAAAAUAAUCUAAUUAUUAUUAUUAUUAUUAUUGUUAUUAUUAUUAUUAUUAUUAUUAUUAUUAUUAUUAUUGCCAGUCUGCCAAUCUUCAACCGAUAGCAGUAAGGACCUCCUUAGCCUACGAUCUCACGGAGCAUCCUUGCUCUAACUGCUCCCAAUUCCCAUUGCAAGUCACGAACCUGCAUCUGAAGUUCAUUCAUGGCGUCUUGUAGAAAACCAACGUCCCACAUUGGAUCAGCCAUAUCUAAGACACAUAUGAAUUGACCAAAAACGUAAAAACAAAAGUAAAGAAAAGAAUAUCCAAAUGUAAUACAACGUAUACUACAAAUUGGCAAGAAAAAAAUUUACCUGAGUUAGGGAAGAGAAAGUGGUGGAAGGUGUAAUAUGAAAGACAAGAUGCAAUAAAUAAAUAGAUUGCAGUUGAAUGGACGAUUGAGUAAGAAGGGACCUAUUUAUAGAGGAUUGAAUUUGAAUGGGUUAGGCAAAAAGGUACGACUGUUCACCUCCAUUUAUUAAUUACAUUUUUUGUUACUAUGAAAAGUUAUGACUUAAUUAAAUUAAGAAAUAUAGUGAUAAGUCAUGAUUUUUCAGCUUAUUAUUAUUAAUUAGUUCUUUUCAAGAACCGUUUUUAUUGAGUUGUGACAACAUUCUAUAGCUGUUGCAUUAGAUAACUCAUCUGUGACAACAGAUAUAUCAUCUGUUGCAACAAAUAGAAAACUUGUUGCAUCAGAUAAUCUAUCUGUUGCAACAUAACAUAUAAUCUAUCUUUUUUAAAAAAAAUUAUCAUUUUAUUAUUAAUUCAAAUUUGCUGACUUUUUUACUAUAUAAAUUAAAAAAAUAAAUUUAAAAACAAAAAUGUUUUUUGUGAAAAGAAAUGGCUCCUAUUUAAUAUUAACGUCAAUUAUUCAAAUUAAAUAAUUAUUUUCUAUGGUUAUAAAUUGUGUUUAUCAUUUAUUUCCUUAUUGCUUUCUGUGAAAAGAAAUGACUUAAUUAAAUCAAGCUGGUGAGUUUUUUAUUAUUGUGACAAGUCAUGACUUUUCAGCUUAUUAUUAUUAAAUAAUCUUUUUCCCAAUUUAAAAAUCAAAGAAACCUUUCCAAUAACCGUUUAUUUAAUAAAAUAAUAACCAUUUUUAUUGAGUUAUGGCAACUGAUUGUAUAUCUGUUGCAUCAGAUAACUCAUCCAUUGCAACAAAUCGACCAUGUGUUUAAUAGCUUUUUGUUGCAACAAAUCGACCAUGUGUUUAGUAGCUUUUUUUAUUUCUGUUAACAGCUGAUACAUCAGUCGCAAUAGAUGGGGAAUUAGAUGCAUCGACAACAUUGUUGAAUGUGUUUUAGACAAAAAGUCACGACUGUUCACCCUUUUCUUAACAAUCAUCAUAUAAGUUGAUUAAUUCAAUACUGUGACUUUUUUUAUUAUAUAAUAAAUAAAUAAUUUUAAAAAAUAAAUUUAAAAAUAAAAAUGGUGAAAAGUCACGAUCAGUUAUUAAAAUUAAAUAAUCGUUCUUUUAUGGUUAUAAAUUGUGUUUAUCAUUUAUUUCUUUAUUAUUUAUUUACGAACCAUUUUUCAUAUUAAAUAAUCAAAAAAUCAUGACUUUUCACCCUCUCAAUAACAACAAUAACCUUUUUUUAUUAAUAACAACAUUUUGUUUGAGAAAUUUUGACUUUUUGAAGAGUCGUCACUUAAUUUUGAAAAGGAAUAAAGAAACCUUUGUUAGAUACUUUAAACGAUCCAAAAUAGAAAAAUCAUUUAAAAUUUAAAGAUCCCGAGUACGCGGUUCCUAUUAACAUUUUAGGAAGGUUUAAGACACCUAAAACUUUCACUAACUUGCGGUUAUCUAGACUGUUUAAAAAUAUGUUUUGACUACAAAAAGAUUGAUUGUUGAAAAAUGAUCGAUUUUUUAGCAAAGACUUGUGUAGAAAGAUUUAGGCGACUUAGUAGCGAUUUUAACUAAGUCUAAAUAAAACUAAUAAGAAAAUAAACACAUAAAAGGGGAAAGGGAGGAAAAAGUAAAAGAUUUAGACCUUUGGGCCCAAAUCGAUAAACCCUGUCCUAAUCUAGUUGGGCUUUCAGCCCAUAACUUGUCCUAAACUAUUUUUCAAACCCAUUGGCCCAAAAUAUGUUCCACCUCUAUUAAAUUUACAACUUUGGUUUCAAGGCUCAAAUGAAUAAAUAAAUAAGUAACUAAAUAAAUAAAGAUAUAAAUAAAUAAAUAAAGGCAACAGUGAAUAAGUAAACUAAAAAUGAGACUUUCAAGUCCCCUUUGCCGCUUCAAGGAUGAGAUUGCAACCCAUUCUUCUUGCAUUAUAUACCAUACGAUCGACUUUUAGUUUUGAGGAUAUAGGCCUCAUUAGCCCCUUCGAAAAUGCAACGGGAGGAAGGCUCUUGUGGACUCCAAAUAGAUUACAUGCAAACGAAAAAGAGAAAGAAGGAUGAGAGUCUAUUCGAUACCCGAAUCACUAAUUUAGUACACAGACAGAACCAAACGGAAUCAGGAAAUUUCUAUUUUUUUUAUCAAUGGUUAAUCUUAAACCGACUAAAUUAGACUUUUAUUCGAGAAGGGACCCAACUAAAAGGAGAACAACAUAAUAUCAAAUCACCUUUGGGGCAAACUUGAAUUUAUUAGACUAGCUGGGGUACAAACAAUCACACAUCUUGAACUUCUCAAAUCAAGCAUCUUUAGACAGGAAAGAGUAAGUUUAUAGACCAAGUCAUAUCACUAAACAAAAAAACAAGUAUCCAUAGCCUUCUUUCAUAAAACAAAACACUUAAAGGGCUCCAUUGAACUCACACUCCCAGUGUUUUCAUGGUCCUACAUAGAGGCUUAGAGAAAAUAAAGAGGAUAAAUAUUACAGGGGAAGGAAACAUAAAAAGGGGAAACUAGGAAGAAGGCCCAACCAACAAGAAUAUUUCCUAAUUCGCAUAGAUAUGGACAAUAUUCCUACACAGAAGACAACCUAAAAGGAUAACAAUCACUCCAAAGUAAUGCUAGAUGGAAUCUGGAAAUAUGAUUUCUGAAUCAAACAUGCAAAUAAACUAAACUUCAGAGAGCAAUAAGUAACAAAUAUUCAAAUGAAAGCUCUUUAGACCAACAUAUCCCUCUCUUUGGCAAGUCACAAAGAAUCGUAAGCCAAGAGUCUAUCAGAGAAUUUUGACAAUACUUUACUCAAAAUAACGACCAGAGAAACCCCACAAAUUCUAAGUAAAACAGGUAAACAGGAAUAUUAACUAGAAAUCUAGCAAAAAAACUUUUGCCCAACAAAUUCAAUGCAUGAAAUCUUGAAUAGGAUAGUCAAAUAGAAGAGAUAGCAAUUAAUAGAGCCUCUAAUAAGACAAGGAGUUCAACAACAAAGCUAGGAUUAACACAUAUUCAAUUGACGAACAGUAAAUCAGAUGGCAUUCAAAUUAAAGAAAACCCAAGGCAGCAUAAUGAGUUAACAUGGAAAAUCUUGAAACCAAAAGAAACAACAAUGCUACUAAAAUUAGUAUAACAAUUCUCUUGUAAGAAAAAUCAUAAUAAAGUCAUGAACUUUUUGCGUAAAUAGCCCAGACAAUGAAUUAAACAUGGCCAGAAUAUCGACACCACAUAAUGACGGACAUAAACAUCAUCACAAGAAUCCAAAGUCCUUCAAGGAUCACAACAAAGAAUUCCCAAGCAUCUCUAUAUCUACUAACUCCACUAAUAGAUCGAUGACAAGAAGAAAACAUCGAAACUAAAACUGACGUAUUGAUGACGAGAAGAAAACGUCGAAACUAAAAAAGGAUGAUGUAUUUACCUUUUUUGGGGCAGCAAAAUGAGACUCGAUCUUUGUCGGAAUCCGCCCACCACCGGAAAGUACUGUCGUCAACUUGGGAACUUCGGUUAACCGAUAAAUUUUACGGAGCAAAACUUUUAUACUAAGAAAAUGAGACUUCUUUGCUCAAAGUUUUUUAUCAACCUUCCAAACUUCCUAUUUUGCUCCAACAAUGGGCCUUAUAUUGGAAAAAUUUAAAAUGAAUCCUCUUUUUGGUGAUUUGGGAGCAACAACUUAAAGGGCGAUUUAGGAAUAUUGACAAAAAUGAUAAGAGAGAGAUGAGCUGUAAUUCGUACUAUUUAGUACGAGUUUUUUGAGAUUUGAAUUUGAACAUCGAAUAAGGUUGAGAUUUUAAGGGAAUUCGUGGUUGUUGUAUGCUGUGCUGGUCGAUGAGUUGAGUUCGCUGGGUAUGGGUGCUGAUGGAUUUGGGUUGACGGGUCAGAUAUGGUCGGGUUGGUGGUGGGUCAGUUCUUCGUCGUUUUUUGCUGGCUGUUGUUGUCGAUGAAAUUUUUGUUAUACCCGUAUUAUUUUAUGGUGUUAUGUCGGGUAAAAGAUGAAGAGAGGGGUUAGGGAGGUUGGGCUGGGUAAGGGCUGUUGGAGUAGGCUGAAAUUGUGAAAAAUUGUAAGGGUUGUUGGGCUGUUAAUUUAGAAAUAGGAAUUGGGUUGGUGGGUUUUAAUUUGUUGUUAAAUUUGGGUUAAAAAUUUGGGUUUUAAUUGGGAUUAUUUAAUAACCCCAAUUAAAUUUAAUUGGGGUUGAAAUAACCCUAAUUAGAUUUAAUUGGGUUACAAUAACCCUAAUUAAAUUAGAAAAUUGGUAGUCUUCAAAAUUAUUUAGAAAAAAUAAUCUCGGUUAGACUAAAGGUUACAAAAAUAAUUCCAAUUACGAUCUAGCCUCUUUUAUUUAAAUUUUGACCGAAUUAAAAGUUAAUUGACCAAUUGCAUUGCAAUUGUAGCCAAUUUAGUUUCAAUUAUGAUCAAAUUUAAAUAGAUUGGUUAUAUUGAAUUGAAAUUCGAUACGAAUUAAUACCUUGUUUAAUCCCAACCUUUUUGAUUUAAUAACAUCGACUAAAUAUUUUUAAAUAAAUUAUUUUCAAUAAUAAAUUAUAUUUAAAUCAAGAUUUUAAUCAUUUAAAUUAUUUUCCAAAUAAUCUUUAAUUUAAAGUCCAAUUUUGAUGAAAAUGUUCAUUUAAAUGAAAUCAUUUAUACAAUCUCGUAUAUGUAAAUAUGAAAAUAGAUGAUUAUCACUUAAAUGACAAAUUUAUCCCAAAUAACUAUUUUAAAAAUGCAUUUAUUUGGAAAAAAUAUUUGUUAUGAUUUUAUUUGAAAAUCGAUGAAACAUGAGAUUAAACAUAGUUGUGGAGGGAAAAAAUUAGGUGUCAACAACUACCCCCUCCCUUUGGGUAGGAUGGAUGCAAGUAAUCCUGGGCAAAAGGAGGUUGACAUUCCUAAUUUUUGUUCAACCACAAAUUUGAAUCUGAAAGAGGUUAAUUUUUGCAUAAGUUUUGGAGUUAUGGUCGGACCUUGGUAUUAGGUUUCCUACAUAUCUCAGGUUACAUGAGAAUUUAGGCCACUUGUAGUUCAUAAAGCUUGAUUCAAAGCACGAUUUUAAAAAAUUCACACGCUAUCUUGGUUUUGGAGUUUUUUGGUAAAACCAAAAAGUCAGAGAAUAAAAGGAUUUGGGGGGAGGUUGGAAUGCAAUCAAGUUUUCUAUAUAGAGCCCAACCUACAUAUCCCCGAAACUCAGGGAAUCAGACUGCUUGUAGUUCGACUCGAUCGAUAGAAAAGAUUGUCUUUUAUUUCAGACAAUCUUUGGACCAGGAUGAGUGACAAGUUGAUCUAGUUACGAAAAAGAGUUUUGUAACCUCUUAACCAUAAAUGUGGAGCUCUUCACAUCCAUAGGUAAGAACUUAGCUAGACAUAAUUUUCGAAACUCUAGGUGUGUUGUCACUUGAAUUUGAAAGAAAUAGAAGUUUACCCUCGGUGUGAGUUUAGAAAUAUCCCAAAGAUAAAUCUGAAACCAGAAUCCCCCAGAAUACCCACAUGCUUUCUAAUAGGGGUGUGUUUGAAUGGUGGUGGUGAUCAUCCUUUAGCUCGCGUCCAGAGAGUUUGACGUCCCUUUCUAGACUAUAUCCUAUUUUGCUGCUAAGAAAGAGUUCCACGUUAUGCUGCGUCCUAUCUGGAGUCGUUCGCACCUACGGUUUUGAUUUGAGAUUUUCAUCCUCCCGGGUGCUCUCGAUAAUGUUUCAAACAAGGAGUGUCAGUACUAAACAUAAUUUAUGAAAGAGGUAUGUAGUCUUUUACCAUAUCUCCACAUGAGUUGUUGCUUGAAGUUAUCCUCUCAUGUACCUGUUUGGAAGGAAAUAACUUGCAAUAACAGACACAACAAACCUCUUGGUUUUUGCAAAAUUAGCUCGUUUGUAAAUUGAAUAUGUCUUCAAAGUGGGGAGGCCCCUUUUGUUCACUGACGAUACUUUAUGCAUAACGGUCCCUGCAAUAUUGCGUUGACGCAGUAACCUUUUGGUCACCUAUGAUACUUGUUGUAUGAUAACCUCUCUGGUUAUAGCCAAUGGUUCUUUGUAUAUGAUCUUGGGUAAGUCUUGCGCAUCUUUUGUAUCAAUACGACUUAUUAAUUUUCCUUGAAUUGACAAUCUUUGGAUAAUAUCGCACAUUAUUUGAUGUUGGAUACGAGGUGACUUACAGAUAUCCUUAAAAUUUCUAGCCUUUAGGUAAUCCUGCAUAUUAUCCGACCUUGGAUAAGAGAUGACUUACAAAUAUCUCUCUAAUUGGUAGCUCUCAGGUAUUCCUGCACAUCUUUCGACCUUGGAUACAGUAUGAUUUAUAGAUAUCUCUCAAAUUGCUUGUCUUUGGAUAAUCCUGUACAUAAUCGAUCUUGGAUAUGACGUGGCUUAUAGAGAACCCUUAGACUUAUCAAUUUGAUCAUCUUGCAUAUUAUCCGGUAAGGAUUUAGUUGUGACUUAUGGAUAACCUUUGGACUAUCAAUUUUUUGGUAACCUUGCACACUAUUCAGUUAGGAUGUUGUUAUGGCUUACGACUGACCUAUGGGCUAUCAAAUCAUAGGUAAUCUUGCACACUAUCCUAUUUUAAAUAAUAUGAUCUAUAGAUGACCCUCAAAUUAUCAAUUUCUAGGAAAUCUCAUAUGUCGUUUGCUUUCAGAUAGCGACUUGAAGAUGUUUCUUUGAAUCAUGUGCUUUUAUGUAUUCAGAUUCUAAUUUAUAACAUGAUGAGAUAUUCUUGACGUCAACAUUGCUAUCUCGCGUGUUAACAGAUAUUAGAUGCUGAUGAUAUCCUCGACACCAGUGUAUGAUAGCUUACGCAUCAUUAGAUAUUUAAUGCAGAUGAUACCCUCGACGCCAGCAUAUGAUAUCUCGUGCGUCAUCAGAUAUAUAAUGCAGAUGAUACCCUCGACGCCAGCGUAUGAUAUCUCGCAUGUCAUCAAAUAUUUAAUACAAAUGAUACCCUCGAUGCCAGCGUAUGAUAUCUCACGCAUCAUUAGAAAUUUAAUGCAGAUAAUAACCUCGACGCUAGCGUAUGAUAUCUCGCACGUCAUCAGAUAUUUAAUGUGGAUGAUACCCUUGACACCAAUGUAUGAUAUCUUGUACGUCAUCGAUAUUUAAUAAAGAUGAUACCCUCGAUGCCAGCGUAUGAUAUCUUUCGUGUCAACAGAUAUUAGAUGAUGAUAUCCUCGAUGCUAGCGUAUGAUGUCUCGUGUCUCAACAGAUAUUAGAUGAUGAUAUCCUCGACACCAGCGUAUGAUAUCUUGCGUGUCAACAGAUAUUAGAUGAUGAUAUCCUCGACGCUAGCGUAUGAUAGCUCGCGUAUCAACAAAUAUUAGAUUAUGAUAUCCUCGACACUAGUAUAUGAAUGUAGUGUGUCAACAGAUAUUAUAUGAUGAUAUCCUCGACGCCAGCAUAUGAUAUCUCGUGUGUCAACAGAUAUUGAUGAUGAUGAUAUCCUCGAUGCUAGCAUAUGAUAUCUCGCAUGUCAAUAGAUAUUAAAUGCAGAUGAUACCCCCGACGCCAGCGUAUGAUAUCUCGCACGUCAUCAUAUAUUUAAUGCAGAUGAUACCCUCGAUGCUAGCGUAUUAUAUCUCAUGCGUCAUCAUAUAUUUAGUGUGGAUUAUACCCUCGAUGCUAGCGUAUGAUAUCUCAUACGUCAUCAGAUAUUUAAUGCAGAAGAUACCCUCAAUGCUAGCGUAUGAUAUACAUAUGUCAUCAGAUAUUUAAUGCGGAUGAUACCCUCGACGCCAGUGUAUGAUAUCUCAUGCAUUAUCAGGUAUUUGAUGCGGAUGAUACCCUCGUCGCCAGCAUAUGAUAUCUCAUGCGUCAUCAGGUAUUUGAUGCAGAUGAUACCCUCAUCAUCAUCAUAUGAUAUCUCAUGCGUCAUCAGGUAUUUAAUGUAGAUGAUACCCUCGACGCCAGCAUAUGAUUUCUCGCGUGUCAUCAGAUAUUUAAUGCAAUGAUACCCUUAACGCCAGCUAUGAUAUCUCGCGUAUCAAUAUAUAUUGAUGAUGAUGAUAUUCUCGAUGGCAGUGUAUGAUAUCUUGCAUGUCAACAGACUUUAGAUGAUGAUGAUAUCCUCGACGCCAGAGUAUCAUAUCUCGUAUGUCAACAGAUAUUAGAUGAUGAUAUCCUCGAUGCCAGCGUAUGAUAUCUCGUGUGUCAAUAGAUAUUAGAUACAAUGGCCCUCUCAAUAAUGAGAUGAUAUGAAAUGGUUCAUCCGGUGAUUUGAAAAUAGUUUCACAUGAGUUCGUUUGUCUGUGUCUUGCUUUAUACAUAUACCUGUAGUCAAGGUAGACAAUUAGUAGACACAAUUAGUAGACACAAUGUCGCUCUCACUGGCGACCAAAGUCAAGCUUUAUGACAAAUGAUGAGUAUCAUAAUUCGAAUGGCUUAUUCUGCUAUUAAUCUUCUCUUUUUGAAGAAAUGAUUAAAUAGCAAAUCCACUGGAUGCAAGUAAACGGGGCAAAACCCUUGUUUGGGGAUUACUCAAAAAUCGUUUGCUUUAUUUCAAGGUGAAUUUUGAGGAUGCCUUUCUGCUCUUCCUCCUAUUGAGUGAUCCUUUGAUUAUUGUAUUUAUUGUCCCAACUCCCUUGAAUGUACCGUGCUCAAGGGAAAUAUUUAGUAGAUACAAAGUUGCUUUUGCUAGCGACUAUUUUUUAGAAAAAUUCUAAAUACAAUAUUCGUAAAGAAGAUAAGGCGCCUUUGUUCAUCCUUCAUAGUCUCAAGAAAUGAGAUAGAUAAUUCAAAAGUAAACCCAUCUUUGGGGCUAUCCAAAAAUACCGUUCUUGGGCAUUAUGUGUUUUGGUGUGGCUCGCAACCCGCUUGGAGAUUUUUUUUUUGAAAAGGAUUUUCAUUUUUGUGUCCUGAUCCCAGCAUCCACAGAAAAUGAUUAGUUUUUUGAGUGAAACUACUCCGUGUUGACCUUCUUCAAUCUUCGGUUUGCUCCUCGCCAUCUUUUGAGUACUCUAUCAUGUUGGGAUUUCCACCCUGACUCCCCAUUUCAAUAGAUUCCUAGGCAAUUACUAAGUAAAAAGAUUUGUAUAGAUUUUUGAAAGUAGUCUUAUUUUUAGAAAAUAGUUUCGAAAGUUUCUGUAAAAGCUUUAGAAAAUCUCUGCCACUCAUGUCAUGUAUACACCCGAUGAAUAUUUUUCUCUUGGUUCUGACUAUGUCAGACGUUUUACGAAUGAUUGCUAGGGAUUCAACAUCAUUGAGGCUCUCUAUCUGUAAGACCCCACAAAGUUCCCUUGUAGUUCGAGCCUUGAGCGUGUCAAGUGAAGUGUAAUUUCGGCCCUAAAAGAUUGAGAAGAAACUUCCCAAGUGUUUGGUGUUUAAACCAUAUAGAAUUUUCUUAAAUUUGACUUUUUGUCAUGUAAAUAAUUGAAUUAUCUUUCCAACGAUACCAAUUUUGUCCAAAUCAGGCAUCAGGUGAGAAGUUAUGGUUGUUUUACUGAGAGUUAUCGAAACUGCCCAGGUGCGACGGACGAUCUAACGGACCAUUGAGUUUGCAACAGAUCUUCGAUCGGCCCAUCGUAACCAAGGUAGUAACUCCCCUUUCUGGCGCAAGUGCGACGGCCAGUGUCACACCCCUUUUUUUUCACUCUAAAAUAAAUUUGAUUUUAAGGUUUCGAAAGGAUUUUUAUUAUCAAAGUGACGAAAAAUGAAAGUUUGUUUUGAAAAAGGAUUAUUUGCAUUUUUUAUUCAGAGUUGCCACUUGACAUAAAUCGGGUGUGCCAAGUCACCUUUGAAAAUCCUUUUCAAAAACAUUUUUGACUCUAUAAUUGAUCCGCGAACAAAGAUUUCGUCUAAGGAAUUCUGUUGGCCGAGGGGAAGGUGUCAGGCAUCCCUCGAUCCCGUGGUUCUACCACGGUUUCUUGGUAAAGAAUAUCGGAUAAUUUGACAUCAACGAGUGUAUAAAAAACAAAAAAAAGCACAUAGAACAAACAAACAAAAUACACAAAAACAAAACAAUCCAAAAUUUAAUGUUCAGUCCAAUUAUACAAUCCAGAAAAAAAUGCAAGAAUAUAAACCUAUGCUAACCUAUACUAGUCCUAAACUACUCUCCCGUGCUUUACCCGAUGCCUCGGGCCUUGAUCACGAACAUCCUUUGCCAACAUAAUACGUCAUGAAUUCCCCGGUGAAUAAAUACAAUGAUCCUCGGGGCAUUCCCCGGCUAAAUGAAUACAUUCAAUGAAAUACGAUAAAACUAGAAAAGAAGCACUCGAAACACACAUUUAGACAUUCAAAGCAUUCAAUCAACAAAUCAUGCCUAAAUUUUACCUACCCGAACCUAUAUUGCCUAUCUAUUUCAUCAUCUCAUGAAUCUAUCACAUUUGUUCUCAUUCUGACUUAAACGAAAGACAACAAAACAAAAUUGAUCUAUAUCCAUCAAUGUUUUACCGAUUCCCCAAUUCUGUCCUAUCUAACUUGUCUUUAUCAAUCACUAUUAAAACUAAUCAACUUCAUUCCAUAUACCCUGAAUUCACAUCAAGACUAAAACACCAACAACAUCAAAUCAUCAUAAUCACACAGCACGUAAUCAUAGCCAUCUCAAUAAAUAAAAAUGAAGAAAAGAAAGCGGGUUAAAGAAAUGGACCUUCCGAGAUCCACUUUUGAUGAUAAUAAGAGUCAAAAGAAGUUCGAAUCCAAAAGCUCAAAUAGAAAAUCUCAACAGCGAUGAAACCCCAACUCGGUAUCGAUAAAUAGCAACCUAAAACUGACUAUAAUAUGACACGAUUGAGAUGAACAGAAGUCAAAUCCUAAACCAAUACAAACCCGAAAUAUUCAAAACAGAAAUCGUGAUAAACUCAACCCAAUCAAGAUUUUUUGUAAGAAAAUGAUUGAAAUAGGGAUGAACAAAUCAGCGCUGGUUGUAUCAAUGACGGGAACCCCAACGCUAACAAUAAAUUUUGGCAAAACUCAUCGUUUUCGGCCAGAUUCAAAUGGAAUCGACCAAAACCCAACAGUUCCAGUGAUGGGUUCGCCGAAAAACCUCAGACCCUCCAUUGUCCCUCUCGAUUCCCCCCUAUAUCUCCCUUGUCGUGACUUUCUUUCUUUCUGUUCUACCCUCUUUUUUUGUAUAUAUGUGCAAGAUUAGUGAGUGAGGUCAAAAAAUGAGUCUCUGUGUGUGCGUGUUUAUGGUGUAUUCAAUGAAGGGGGUCAUGAGUGAUGUCGAGUUUUUUUUUUCUGAAGACGAUGAUGAAGAAGCAAAAGAGAAGCCCUCUAAACCCAAUCCCUUAGAGUGUAUCCAAAAGGGAGAGAAAAUAAUGGUAUAUGCGUGUUUUCCCCUCUAUUCCAGUGAAUGGAAUUUGUUAAUAUAUGGAAUGUGCGGUCCAUGUGAUAUGAAAUUUCCUGGGAGUUGCCCUAUCUGUGUAUAUUUCUUUGUGGACAAGAAAAAGAGAAAGGGAGGUCACGUGGGUUGGGGUGGUAUUAGGUGAUUAGGUGAUAGAUGAGGGGUGAGGUGUUGUUUUUUAAUUGGAGGGGUAAGGGUUAGGUGUCUAUUUUUGAUUGGGUGGGUUGUUGGAAUCUUUAAGAUAAGACAAAAUUAGUUAGAGUUUGUUAUUUGGAUAAAAACAAAAAGGAAUUAAUAAAUAAGUAAAAGAUGAGGUGGUUAUUCAUUUGUUUUUUCUUGAAGAAAAUUGUAAGAUGGGGUCAAAGUGCGUGAUAAUGGAGUAAGAAUUAUUCUCGACGGGAAAAAAUUACGUGUCUACAUCAUGCCCCCUUUGAAUGUAAACAUCGAGUGUUUUCAUACAAAGAAGUAGAUAAUGAGAUAGAAUUUUGUCCCGAUCAUUAUUCGAGGAAAGAAACAGAAAGAAGAAGGGCAACCGAGUCUUGACGAACAUCCUACUACCCAAGCUAUGAGGGAAUCAAGUGAUCGGUAUCUUACAAGAUCGGAAGGAGGUGGACUAUACUGAGUUGGAGAGUCAAGUGAGGUUCCAUCGAGGUUCCGGUCCGCGGUUCUGUCAUUACAUCAAAAAUGAAAAUUACAAGUUAAAACAUAAAUGAAAUUAUAAAAUCCUAUCUAUGCAUCUUUCCUUGACUCUUGACUUGAGUUUUAUCACUGUAUUCUUCAAGCGGGCUCCUAACUUACUAUUUCUUUCAACUUGUUGCUUGGUUUUCCAUUGCUUCACUUCGUUGCUCGACUUUCAUUUAUUCGCCCUGCUCUUCAGGUGGGCUUCUGACUUGCCAUUUUUGUCCUUCAAUUUCAUCAUCCUGUUCUUCAAGCAAAUUCCUGACUUGCACUUUCUUCAAUUUCCCAUUUCAUCUCCCUGUUCUUCAGGUGGGCUCCUGACUUACAGACUUAUCACCUUGUUCUUCAGGCGGGCUCCCUCAAACCAAAAUAAAAACUAGAAACAAAAUUAUCCCCAACAAAGAUUAAGAUAACGAGAGACUUCACUUUUCUAAAAGUAAUGUCCCAUUUUCCAGGAGGGUCCUGAACAUAAGGUAAAUCCCAUUUUUCAGGAGGGUCCUGAACAUAAAGUAAAUCCCAUUUAUCAGGAGGGUCCUAAGUAGAGAGUAAAUUCUCAUUUUUCAGGAGGGUACUGAACAGAGAGUAAAGUCCCAUUUUUCAAGAGGGUCCUGAAUAGAAAGUAAAGUCCCAUUUUUCAGGAGGGUCCUGAACAGAAAGUAAACUCCUAUUUUCCAGGAGGGUCCUGAACAGAAAGUAAAAACCCAUUUUCUAGGAGGGUCUUGAACAAAAAGUAAAGUCCCAUUUUUCAGGAGGGUCCUGAACAUAAAGUAAAGUCCCAUUUUUUAGGAGGGUCCUGAACAGAAAGUAAAGUCUUAUUUUUCAAGAGGGUCCUGAACAAAAAGUAAAGUCCCAUUUUUCAGGAGGGUCCUGAACAUAAAGUAAAGUCCCAUUUUUUAGGAGGGUCCUGAACAGAAAGUAAAGUCCCAUUUUUCAGGAGGGUCCUAAACAUAAAGUAAAUUCCAAUUUUGUAUGAGGGUCCUGAACAGAAAGUAAAAUCUCAUUUUUCAGGAGGGUCCUGAACAUAAAGUAAAAUCCCAUUUUUAGGAGGGUCCUAAACAGAAAGUAAAAUCCCAUUUUUCAGGAGGGUCCUGAACAAAAAGUAAAGUCCCAUUUUUUUAGGAGGGUCCUAACAGAAAAUCAAGUCCCAUUUUUCAGGAGGGUCCUGAACAUAAAGUAAACUCCUAUUUUUCAGGAGGGUCCUGAACAGAAAGUAAAAACCUAUUUUCUAGGAAGGUCCUGAACAGAAAGUAAAGUCCCGUUUUUCAGGAGGGCCCUGAAUAGAAAGUAAAGUCCCAUUUUUUAGGAGGGUCCUGAACAUAAAGUAAAGUCCCAUUUUUCAGAAAGGUCCUUAACAGAAAGUAAAGUCCCAUUUUCCAGGAGGGUCUUGAACAUAAAGUAAAAUCUCAUUUUCCAGGAGAGUCCUAAACAGAAAGUAAAAGUCCUAUUUUCCAUGUGGGUCCUAACAUAAAGUAAAAUCCCAUUUUUUAGGAGGGUCUUGAACAGAAAGUAAAAUCUCAUUUUCCAGGAGAGUCCUAAACAGAAAGUAAAAGUCCUAUUUUCCAUGUGGGUCCUAACAUAAAGUAAAAUCCCAUUUUUUAGGAGGGUCUUGAACAGAAAGUAAAUUCCAUGGACAUGCUUUCCAAUGAUAGAUGAACUCAAUGAACAAAACUUUGCCCAUGUUUCAUCAAAGAAAAAGAAAAAUUUUCAGUUGAAAACUUAGCGGUGGUUUGCAGCACUUGGCUUUCCAGGCAUCAUGCUCCAGUAGUUGUUCCUUUUCUCUUUGUUUAAAAUUGCUGACACUUGCCCCUAUCUUGUCGCAUCGUUGACCCAUGCCAGAUCAGGGAAAAUGCCUUUGAUUCAAAUACUGAGCUUCUAUUUUACCAUACCUCUAAAACGCACCUUUUGACAUCUGAUACUCCCAUGAAUCCAGCAACCUGUCGGUUGAUAGACUUUCUUUACUUUGUGUUGAAUUAUGAUCCUAUUUCUUUCAUGUGCUGGUCCUUGGCUUUUCCUCAUACAAUUGGAAAAACUGGUAGCAAGUUUUGAAAUUCUUUCUUGCUUGUUUUAACACAGAAUAGACUCAAAGAGUGUAAAGAAAUGAUAAUGACUUUUCUUUUGAUAAAAGACAUAAAAGGACAAAAAUAUGAAUGUAUAAAUGAAAGAAAAGGUGCAAUGUCCCUCUUUUUAACAAAGAAGAAAACUUAUCUGAAUAUGGAAAUCAACUCCAAUGACUAUGACAUGCAUUUUGGAUGAAGCUGCCUGAUCUUCCUAUCUAAACUUCCCAUUUGUUGUUGAGUUCAUGCCUUUGCCACUGAACCACUUCUUCAAAUCCAUUGAACUCAUAUAUCUCAUUCAAUUGACGACAUCUUGAAAGACUUUCAUUUACAAAUCUCUUUUCUUUUCACAUUUCUCUUGACUCGCCAUUGCCUUACGGUGCCCAUAAGGGUUUUCACCAAUAAGACUCUCAUUUUUAUUUUUCUCAACUCCCCAUCGCCUUAUGGUGCCCGUGAUGGUUUUCACCAGUAAGACUCUCUCAUUUUUAUUUCUCUUGGCUCACCAUCGCCUUGUGGUACCCGCGAGGGUUUUCACCAAUAAGACUCUCUAAUUUUUAUUCCUUUCCUGACUUGUUAUGCUGAGGAAGACAAGUAGUACCCCACAAUGUAUCAUUAUAUCCAUUGCAUGCUUAGCCUUAACAUUAUCAAAGAUUGAUCUGAAGGUCUUUCUUUGGUUGUAACUUGAUUUUUGGAUAAGGUUGGAAAAAAAGGAUGGUAAUACGACACUUGAAGUGGGGGUGGGAUUUACAACUUUUGGAAUCAACUCAACAAUAUGUCAGCUCAUGCCCCAGUUUUUUGUUGACUGGGUGAAUCUAAAAUCUUUAUUUGGUUGGACCAAGCCCGAAAUAGGGCAGCCUACGCAUCUCACUCCCGAGAGUGGAGAAUCAGGUCGCACGUAGUUCCGUUUGCUUGCUCUUUGUUUUGGUUUAAAAUUUUUCUUUCUUUCUCUUUUUAUUCUUGUAUUUUUCAUACUUAAUUUUCUCUUUUUUUGGACACUUUAUUUUUUACUCUAUUUUGAUUCCAAAAGAAAAAUAAAACUAAGCUCAAAUGGGGUAAACAAAGGAUGACACGAUGUUUGGAUAGCAGAAUAAAAUACCUUCAUCAUAUCAACCUUCAAGAAUGCAAGUACUAAACAUGCAAUAGAACCAACAAAGGAUAAAAUAUCAUAAUAUCUUUUGACUGCAUCAGCAUUGAUAGCCAUCUAUGCCAUUUUGCCUUCAAUAUCUGUCAAAUAUAAGGCCCCAUUGGGCAACACUUUCUUCACAAUAAAGGGACCUUGCCAAUUUGGGGAGAACUUGCCUUUCGCUUCAACCUGAUGAGGAAGGAUAUAUUUCAAUACCAAUUGACCAACUUCAAAAUUCCUGGGAUGGACCUUUUUGUUAUAUGCUCAAACCAUUUUCUUCUGAUACAACUGGCCAUGACAUACCAAAGUUAAUCUUUUUUUCAUCAAUCAAGCUCAACUAUUCCAAUCGAGUUUUGACCCACUCAUCAUCAUCAAUCUUGGCUUUAACAAUGACUUGAAGAGAGGGAAUUUCUACUUCUAUAGGAAUGACUGCUUCUGUCCCGUACACCAAUAAAUAUGGAGUUGCCCCUAUUGAAGUGCGAACAGUAGUGUGAUAACUUAGUAGAGAAAAUGGAAACUUCUCAUGCCAUUGUCUAGACCCUUGAACUAUUUUCUGCAGUAUCUUCUUGAUAUUCUUCUUAGCGGCUUCCACAAUGCCAUUGGCCAUUGGAUGAUAUGGAAUGGAAUUUCAAUAUGCGAUCCUAAACUAUUGUCACACUUCUUGAAUCAAAUGACUAUUGAGAUUGUCAGCAUUAUCUGUAAUGAUCAUCUUUGGAAUUCCAAACUUACAAAUGAUAUUGGCAUGAACAAAAUCUACUACUGCCUUCUUUGUUACUGACUUGAAAGUUACUACUUCCACCCACUUUGUAAAGUAAUCAAUGGCCACCAAAACAAAUCUAUGCCCAUUUGAUGCUUUCAUCUCAAUCAGCCUAAUCACAUCCAUCCCCCGAGCUACAAAAAGCCAUGGAGCAGACAUUGCAUGCAACUCAGUAGGAGGAGAAUGUAUCAGAUCAUCGUGUACCUGACAUUGAUGACAUUUCUGAACAAAUCAAAUAGAAUCCCACUCUAUAAUAAGCCAAUAAUAACCUGCUCAAAGUAUCUUCUUUGACAAGACAUAACAGUUCAUAUGUGACCCGCAUACUCCAGAGUGUAUUUCAACUAUGAUCGUUGAGGCUUCUCUUGUAUCUACACACCUCAAAAGUCCCAGAUCUGGGGUUCUCUUAUAUAAGAUUCCCCCACUCAAGAAAAAUCCACUAUCUAAAUGCCUAACAGUCCUUUUUUAAUCACAGGUGGCGUGUGUUGGGUAUUCUUCUGAUUGAAUGUAUCGCUUGAUAUCAAAGAACUAAGGUUCUCCAUCGAGCUCUUCUUCAACUGCAUUACAGUAAACAUAUUGAUCAUGACUCUGUAUAUAUAUUGUAUCGAUAUAGGCUUUGUCAGGAUGUUGGAGUAUUGAAGACAGAGUGGCUAAAGCAUCAGCAAUCUCAUUAUGAAUCCUUAGAAUAUGCCUAAAUUUUACUGAUACAAACCGUUGACAGAGCUCCUGCAAGCAUUGUCGAUAUGGUAUGAGCUUUAAAUCUCGAAUCUCCCAAUCUCCUUGAAUUUGAUGGACAAGCAAAUUUGAAUCCCCCAACACUAAUAGUUCCUAGACUCUUAUAUCAACAGCUAACCUCAAACCCAGAAUACAUACUUCGUAUUCUGCCAUGUUAUUAGUAUAAUAAAAUUAAAGUUGCACUGUUACCGAAAAAUAUUGCCCCAAUUAAGAGAUAAUAACCGCACCUAUUCUGAAUCCUUUCAUGUUGAUAGCUCUAUCGAAGAAUAACUUCCAACCUAGAUCAGCAUCUAUAAUGACUUCAUCGACACACAACACUUUUUUAUCAGGAAAAUAUGUCUUUAAUGGCUCGUACUCUUCAUCAAUGGGAUUCUCAGCAAGAUGAUCUACCAAGGCUUGGGAUUUCAAGGCGGUUCAAGUCGCAUACACAAUGUCAAACUCGGUGAGCAAUAUUUACCACUUUGCUAAUCGACCUGUCGGCAUAGACUUCUGAAAGAUAUACUUCAAAGAAUCCAUAUGGGAGAUGAGAAAAGUAGUGUAGGACGAGAGAUAAUGGUUCAACUUUUGUGCUACCCAAGUUAAGGCACAACAUAUCCUUUCAAGAAGAGUGUACCUGACCUCAUAUAUUGUGAACUUCUUGCUAAGAUAAUAAACAACAUGCUCUUUUUUCCUCGUGACAUCAUAUUGACCUAGGACACAACCGAAAGAAUUGUCCAUGACUGAUAAAUAUAGGAUCAAAGGCCUACCAGGCUCCGGUGGUACCAGCAAGGGCAGAUUUGAUAAGUAUCUUUUGAUUCUAUCGAAUGCUUCCUGACAUUCUUCAGUCCAUUCUACCACAACACUCUUUUUCAGCAACUUGAAUAUGGGCUCACAAGUGGUUAUGAGUUGAGCAAUAAACCUGCUGAUGUAGUUUAGUCUACCAAGAAAAUUAAUCACCUCUGUCCUAUUCUUACGAGAGGACAAAUCCUGGAUGGCUUUGAUUUUUGAAGAAUCCAAUUCAAUUCCCCGACGGCUGACUACAAACCCCAACAGCUUUCCAGACGGAACUCCAAAUACAUAUUUUGCUAGGUUGAGUUUGAGAUUAUACCUGCGAAGCCUUUCAAAGAACUUUCUUAAAUCUUGAACAUGGUCAGGCUGGCUCUUUGAUUUAAUAAUCAUAUAAUAUACAUACACCUCAAUCUUCUUAUGCCUUAUAUCAUGAAACAUAGUGGUCAUGGCUCUCAUGUAUGUUGCUCCAGCAUUCUUCAAAUCGAACGGCAUCACUCAAUAACAAUAGGUCCCUCAUGGUAUGAUAAAAGAUGUCUUCUCCACGUCUUCAUCAUCAUAAUGAUCUGGUGGUAUCCGGCAUAGCAAUCUACAAAAGAGGCAACCUCAUGUUUAGAGCAGUUGUCCAGCAAAAUAUGGAUGUUCGGCUGUGGAAAAUCAUCCUUCAAACUUGCUCUGUUCAAAUCACGGUAAUCAACACAUACUCAAAUUUUUCCAUCUUUCUUUGGGAGAGGAACAACAUUGGAUAACCAUGUAGGAUAACGAGCCACUCAAAUGACUUUGGCUUCAAGUUGUUUCAUGAUUUACUCUUUGAUUUUAAUGCUUACAUCAGUUUUAAACUUCCUCAACUUCUGUUUCACAGGGGGGAAUAUCGGAUCAGUUGGCAAUUUAUGAGCCACUAAUUCAGUGCUUAAACUAGGCAUAUCAUCAUACGACCAUACAAAAACAUCCUUAUAAUCAAUUAAUGCUUGAAUCAUUCUAUCUUUUAGCUACGGCAAAGCAUGUACUCUGAUUUUAGUUUCCCUAACAUCUUCUUGAUUCCCUAGAUUGAUUGGCUUAGUUUCAUUCAAAUUAGGAUUCGGCUUGUCUUCAAACUGUUCCAACUCUUUGCUUAUUUUCUCUAGUGCCUCUUCUUCAUAAUAUUCCCCCUCUUGCUUUAUUAUAUCUUGAUUAGUUUGGAUUUUAAGAUCAGGCUAAAAAUUCUGCAUGUAUGUCAUGUCAUUAGAAUCAGCAUAAAGAGAACUAUAUAAAGAAAAAGACAAAAUCAAAAUAUAUUAGACAUAAAAUAAGGGGACAUUGCAUUUCAUUAAAAGGAAAAGAUAGGAGGGUUAAACAUAAAUGAAAAUAGAAUGUAAACAAGCUAAAUUCCAAAUUACAACCCUAGAAUAACUCGGAUAAAUAGAAAGAAAAACAAAAUAAACUACCCAAACUUCCUCCUGACAGGGAGAGGAGUGACUUCCCAAUUAUUGAGUUGGACCUUAGGACCUAUGAACUGUACGCCUUCCUUACUGAUACCAUCUCCUGGUUUAACCAUAUCAACAUCAAUCAUAGGUUUUAGAAGUCAUCAACCAAUUCAACUUCAAAUUCUACAGGCUUCGUGAUAUCACUGUUGACAAAUAAUUUACUGAGUAGCGACAUUAGACGAGGGAGUGACCAUGUUUCCUUGUUCCUUCCCUUGGCCUUCUUCAAAACUUCAGUCGUAGGUUCAAAUCCCAGACCAAAAGUGCACAUAUUCUCUCUCGAAUAUAUGGGACUAACGAUACCAUACAGAGACACUCCCAAACCCUUCCCUAGCAUAAAUCCAUAUUUCAAAACCUCACUCACCAUCAUGAUAGAAGCGGAAGACAAUUAUGGUCCUAGAAUAACCUGCCCUUCAACGAUACGAUUCACUAACACUGUAUCAAAAGUUUGAUAGACAAAUGUCUCCUCUAUAUUAUUUGCUACAAUAAGGGACAAGGGAGAAUCUUCGUAGGCGGAAAAAUCCCCUUCACCAUGAAUAACCACUUCUUGCCUGUCAUUCUAAAACUUGAUCAUUUGGUGCAAUGUAGAUGCAACUGCCUUGGCCUUGUGGAUCCACGAUCUUCCUAACAACAGAUUGUAAGAGGAGUCUAUAUUUAAUACUUGAAACUUUAUGGCAAACUCAACAGGCCCUAUAAUCAACAUUGGUUCUAUUUCACCAAUGAAGUUUGAUUUUGCACCAUCGAAAGCCCUGACAUAUACAUUGUUGGGCCUGAUCCUCUCAACACCAAUAUUUAAACUUUGCAAAGUAGAAAUAGGGUAGGUAUUUGCACCUGAACCUCUAUCAAUCAUGACAUGAGUGACGUAGAAAUCUUCGCACUUCACCAUAAUGUAAAGACCUCGGUUAUGCCCCGUACCUUCAAUAGGUAAUUCAUCAUCAGAGAAGCUGAUCCAAUUGACCUCAAAGAUUUUUCCAACCAUUUUCUCAAGAUGAUUUACUAUAAUCUCCCUAGGAACAUAUGCUUCAUUUAAUAACUUUAAUAUAAUAUCACGAUGUUCCUUGGAAUGCAAUAACAAAGAUAAGAGGGAAAUUUAAGCAGGGGUUUUCUUCAACUGAUCUAUUAUUGAAUACUCUGGAAACUUCAUCUUUUUCAAAAAUUCCUCGACUUCUUCUUCCAUGACAGGCUUUUUGAUAGAUGAAGGUCCACUCACAAUUGGCUUGGACUUCUUUAAACUUUCAAGCACGAAGCAUCUUCCUGACCGAGUCAAACCCCCUACCUCAUCUACAUCUUCCACUACUUUUUUCUCCUGAUAGGUCAUCACAGUCCGCUUAUAGUUCCAGGGAACCUUUUUCAUAUCAACUAUCGGAGGUUGGGUCACCGGUUUAAGAACAAUAGGCGCUGCCAGUGCUCCUUUCACCAUUAAGAUAGGCUUACUUGGAGCUCCUACCAUCGUCAACUUAGGUUUAUCCUAACUUAAAUCAACAUAUCUUCUGGCACCUUGCACUGUGAUCACGGGUUUCUUUGUUUUUUUUUGGGAUUUAUCUUCUCCCAUUCCUUCCUGGCUUAAUGACAUUGCUUUCAAUGAAUCUGCCAUAUUCAGUAAUUUGUCCUUAUUGGUAUGUAUUCUAAAAAUAGGCUUAUAACACCUUGACGAAUCUUUCCCAUCAUACAUCAGUUCUAACAUAUUGGUUUUAGCAUGGGUUGGCAAUGAAUUCUGGUUAAUGUUUGGAACUUCUGGGGCCUAGACCAAAAUUUGAUUUGCAUCAAUUAAAUCUUGGAUAGCUCUCUUCAAAGUAUUUCUCAAUAUCCUGCCCCAGCAUGUCAGAACAAUACGCACAUCUUAACGAAUAAUCAAGAUUUCUCAGAGGUGGAUUUGAAAGCCUUCCUUAAAUUGGGCUUAAGACCUUCAUAUUUCUCAACCUAUCAAACAAGCUAGCAUAUGACUCUCCAAGAGGUGUGAACUAAUUUUUGACCGCCUUCUCUUUCUUGUACUCAGGCCUGGGUUGGAAACCGGUUCUGGAGGGGUUUUGGUAAUUUGGAGGAGCUGAAGGAUGAUUUUGAGGAGCUUGCAUAUGCCAUUGUAGGUAAGAAGGGGUUUGAGCACAUGGCUGUGUGCUAUAUACUGGGUACGGGGGUGGUGGAAUAGAAUAUAGUGGUUUUUGUGGGGGAUAGUAAUGAUGUGGAGGAAUAUAUGGAGCUUGGCCAUAGGAUUGGGCUUAGGGUUGGUGGUAGGGGUGAGGCGGUCUUUUGGGAUAGGAAUGGGAUCCAGCUACAACGGUCGCCAUAUCCUCUUUCUUUUUUUUUUUACCUCCAAAAGUUCUAGAGUCACCUUGAAUUGCUUGGGUGGUGGCCUUUAAUGCAGGAAAACUCAAUAUCCGUCCAGUCUUGAUUUCGUCCUCUACCAUCUCUCCCAUUUUUAGGACUUCAAUAAAUGACUUUCCCAUCGUCGGAAGUAAAUGUUGAAAAUAGGUCUCAUCCUAUGCCUGAAUGAAGACCUCUACUAUCUUACUCUCCUUUAUUGGAGGCUUUACCCUGGCGGCCUGUUCACGCCACCUUAUCGUGUAUUCCCUAAAGCCUUCAGUGCUUUUAUUUUUCAUGUUGACCAAGGACUUUUCAUCAGGAAUUAGGUCAAUGCUAUACUAAAAAUGUUGCACAAACUCAGAAGCUAAGUCAUCCCAGCUGUUCCACUUGCGAUAUCUUGAUCAACAAACCAUUCUGAAGCCAGAUCGAAAAGACUCUCACCAAAGAAAGCCAUAAGAAAUUCUUCCUUCCCCCUACAACCCUCAAUUGGUUGCAAUAACAUCUCAAGUAUGCCAUGGGAUCACCGUGCCUAGCAUACUUCUCGAACUUGGGCAUUUUAAAACUGAGGGAAAGGUUGAUGUCUGGGAACAUACAAAGAUCUUUAUAGGAAACACUCUUAUAACCUCUGAUUCCCUGCAAAUUCCUCAUAGCCUGUUCCAAGCUUUUCAAUUUCUGCGCUAUGACCUCCUGUUCCUCUAUUGCGACAGGUUUCUCCGUAUCAAAUGGAAAUGCAGGUGGUUGAGUGUACCCAUACAGUUCAUUCAUUCUCAAAGUAGGCUUCGGGGCAUGAUACUGACUAUCUGAAAUCUUUAAUACUGGCUCACUGGUAGAUCGAGGAAGCACCAUUGUCGGACACACAACAUAUGUGGGAGCUUCAGGUGAUGGUGGAGCCAUGAACACAUGCGCUGCCAGUGGCACCGGCUGAGUCACAAGACUUAGUUGAGGAACUACCAGGGGCACACUAGAAGUGCCAGGGUAAUAUUGCCAUGGAGUGAAUCCUCGUGCGUGCUUCGGUGACUUAAUGGGAACAGAGAAUUGCGCCUGAGAGAGCGGUGGGCAAUUGGGGAUAUUCCCAAGAUCUUCAGGGAGUGGAGGAGGAGGCAUGCCACUAGCCCACACUCGAUGUAGAUCUAGCAAUUGUUGUCUAAGUCUCAAUAUCUCAUCAUUGCAUUCUGAACUUUUUUCCCUGGGAUCCUGAUCUGGGUCAAUGAGUGAAUUUUCAAUCUCCCUACUAGCCAUGGAAAGCUUCGCUUUUGAUCUAGUAAAGUAUGGAUGACUAGCCAGAGUGAUACAAACCAACCAUUUAUCUGAAAGAACAUGAUCAUCAAAGACAAAACCCAUUAGGAUUAGGUCAGGCAACAAGCAUAGAAAUCACAUUGUAUACAUCCUAGCUUUAUGCACAUUUCUACCGGACUUUGAGGGUAAUAAGGCCAUUUUAACAUCAUCCCAAUUUCUCCAUUACAUUAUCACACCUCAUUCUUUCUACUUUUCAUCUUCACCCCUCUAUUUUUUUGUAUCAGUCUCUGUUCUUUCCCUUUCUUGUCUCAUCAUCCUUUCUUUCUUUUCUUCUCUCACUAUCUACCUUCAUUUUAUCAUUCUUUAUGACUUUUCCUUUUCUUUAAAAGAGGAAAAAUUAUGAAAAACAACGAAACAAAGUGAUUAGAUCAAACCUAAAAGUAGGUUGCCUACGUAUUGUGUUGUACAUGAAUCAGAUCUUGCGUAGUUUGGGCCAUGCAUGCAUAAACACCACAAAGUUAAAGAUUUUUCAUUUUUGAUUCUUUUUUUGAUGAAGAACACACAAAAGGAAACAAUUCCGCAACUUCACUACAUUUCAUAAAAGAGACAACUAAAAUAAACUUCGAAUUUAAGAAAGCUUAAAAACUGAUCAACAAAGACUAAACAACAUUCUAGACCCAUAAGACAACAUGCGUAAUACUCCUAGUAAAGACUCUUAACGUUUAGAACAAACUUGACACUGACUGAACAAAGACACAACAAUACUAUGACAGAAAAAAUAAAGGACUCAAACUAAAUAAAAGAUAAGAGUUGCUCCUUUAAAUUGGUGUGUUGUGGGAUGACCCUGGCUGAGAUGGACCUAUCUGUGAAGUUCUCUUUCACCCAUUCAAACUCUGUAGCAUAUCCUGCAAAGACACCCUAAUAUUUGGGAAGAAGUUUCUGGCACGUAUCCCCGCCUCAUGGAGAGUGCACCUGGAAGGAUUGUUUUGACACCUUUCUACAGUCUUGAGCAAAUCUGAUAACUGAACUCUCAGUGUAUCCACUUUGGCCCCAACACUUUCAUCCUGACUGUCAUCAACAAUGCAUUCUUCCUCUAAGUUGCAAGGGCAAUGGCUUACUAAUACCCUGAGGUAUGGUAUACAGCCAGAUCUCAUAUCUUUAAGUGUACCCUAGAUUAUCCAAACUUUCUUUGAAAGUAUCCACUCCUAGCUUUGUUGCAUGAUUCUAGAAAUUCUUGUAUUUGCUCUCGCCUAGGGCUUGGUCCUUGAAGUACUCAACAUGCUUUAGAAGAUCCACUACUGGUGGCACAUCCUGCGACCUACCCAACUAUCGCAUUACCCUAGAAGGAGUGUAUGGUUUGGUGCAAUUAAGCCCUAACAUAACCAGAAGGAGUUGUAUCUGACAACCCAACAAGAUUACUUUUGGAUGAAGCCACAAACAGGUCCACAAAAUAUUAUCCUCAGUCCAUGAAUCGAGAAACUCAAUCCAAGCAUUGACUCCCAUAGGUAGUGAGAAUUUAUCCAAGCACAUGCUGAGGUCCAUGGCUUUCAUUCGAUUGGGCAUGCAACGAUCAAUCACAUCUGGUCUAACUAAGAAAAGUGUGUGCAAAUGCUCUAUCAUCCACAGUUGCAAUAUCAGGUUACUUCCCUAAAAAAAUCUCAUCCCUCCCUUCACCUCGGUCAAAGCCUUAUAUAUUUUUGUUAAGAUCAUGGGUACGAUAGUAAACCCAACCUUGUCCUUUUGCUUAGUGACCUUGUCCUUUUGCUUAGUGCCCUCGUCCUUUUGAUCCUUAUGAAAUAGAGCCAUCACCACAGAUUACAAACGUGUAUUAACACGUCUUUCUUCUUGUGGAAACACUAGAGUGCCUAACAAGGCGAGGGUGAAGACUUCAAGACACUUUCUCUCCCACUUCUACUUAGUCAUAUAAAAUUCAUCCCAAAAGUAGUCAAACCUUCCAAAUACCCAAAUAUCGCAAAUAAAAAAUCCAAGGAAAUCCAUGAUUGAUUCAGAAAAUCCAAAUGCCUAUUGUUACUCUUCAACCCACAACUUUGCAGAAACGUAUUGCCCGAGUGGUUCCGAGCUCGGAUCAUGCUUUUAUCAAUAUAAGGCAAAUGGAGCAGACCGGAUAGUUCUGCCAAGGUAGGCAUCAUCUCACACUUUACAAACCUAAACACUAAAUUACUAGGAUCCCAAAAGGUCAAUAUAUAGCAUCUAUCAGAUCUGGCCAGGGCGAGAUAUGCAGAAGCUCCGUAAGAUCACCUAAAACUUUAAUUAGCUCUUGUUGGUCAACGUAGUUGAAUGUGCCCCACCACUUGAUUAACUUUUUAGGCACCUUUCCAACCAUCCAGACUUUAGAAUUUGUGGAAAGAUCCAUCCUGUAAUGACACAUAAUACAUUAUCUCAAAAUUCGAUAAGAACGAAAGAUUCUCAACCCUUGGGACCUUGACGUGGACAUAUGUCGAAGGGACAGACCACUUUAUGACUUCAAUUUGCCAAACAAUAUCACUAAAUAAAAUCAGCCUACUUGGAUAAGACUUGCUAACAUCACUAAAUUAUGAGUAAAAAUACCUAGGCUAAGGCUAAGACAAAGGUAAAAAUAAAGAUUACCGGACCCACUGAGGGUUGCCUACGUAUCUCGCCCUUAGGGAUGGAAAUCAGGUAUGCGUUGUUCAUCCAAGUUGGACAAUUAAGGAAUAAAAUAGACUGAGACUUGAUUUAAGAGACGUGAUUACAGACGGAUGAUGAAAACAAAAUCUUUUUGGGAUUUUCAAUUAGACACUUCACGCAAAACUGACACCAACAACUAUGAAAGAAAAAUUCUUUUUGUAUUUUUAUUUUAUGAAAUCGACACAACUACUACCAUUUUUGAAACUUCUAAAGAAAAUCUUUUUUGGAAUUUCCGAAUUAUGAAUGCAUGCUAAUUGAAAUAAAGGGAAAGUCUUUUUGAAGUUUUCAAAUUAUGAAUGCAUGGUAAAGGAAUAAGAGAAAAAUCUUUUUGAUGUUUUUGAGACAACGAAUGCGAAAGGUAAAAGAAUUUUUUUUUUGAAUUGUGAAAAAUAAAAGACAAAGAACUCUAAAAAUCAUGAAAAAAAAUUUUUGACUCGCUUUUCUUUCUCUUUUUUUUCGACCUUUCACUACCUACACACUUUACUUUUAACACAAGUUUUUCCUAAAUCAGUCUGUCAAAUGACCAUGUUACCCUCAUAGAUACAACAUUUAGCAUGGAAGAUGCUUUAGAGGUGAGUCUCCUACGAAGGACCAAGUGGGUCCUGCUAGGUCUCAAGAUAUUGUAGAUAAUAUGACCUGAAGGCUAACCUACGCUGGGGUUUACUAACAAGACUGUUCGGGACAGCGUAUGGUCGAUAGCGUCUUGCUUUAGCUGGCCACCUACUCUAUACAACCCAACGGCUCCCCCCUAAAAUAAGAGUGACUCAACUAUAGGUCGUGUAAACACGUGUACAACAGACUUGUUGUAGAAAGAAUGACUUGGGUUAUGCACAUGAUGUCAGAUAUAAAGCGGUAACACAUAACAAAAAACUGUAAACAAAAAGCAUGGAAAUGCACAACAUUGAUAACAAUAACACAAACAAUAAUAAAAAAUAAUGUUUAUACACUCGUGAUGCCAAACAAAGCCGAUACGAUUCCAAAAGUAAACACGAAUUCUGAAAUUCCCUAGCAGAGUCGCCAGAGCUGUCACACCCUUUUUUUCACUCCAAAAUAGAUUUGAUUUUAAGGUUUCGAAAGGGUUUUUAUUAUCAAAGUGACAAAAAAUGAAAAUUUGUUUUGAAAAAGGAUUAUUUGCAUUUUUUAUUCAGAGUUGCCACUUGACAUAAAUCGGGUUUGCCAAGUCACCUUUGAAAAUCCUUUUCAAAAAUAGUUUUGACUCUAUAAUUGAUCCACGAACAGAGAUUCUGGCUAAGGAACUUUGUUGACUGAGGGGAAGGUGUCAGACAUCCCUCGAUCCCGUGGUUCGACCACGAUCGCUUGGUAAAGAGUAACAGCUAAUUGGACAUCAAUGAGUGUAUAAACAACACAAAAAAGCACAUAGAACAAACAAACAAAAUACACAAAAACAAAGAAGUCCAAAAUUUAAUGCUCAGUCCAAUUAUACAAUCCAGAAAAAAAUACGAAAAUAUAAAUCUAUGCUAACCUAUACUUGUCCUAAACUACUCUCCCGUGCUUUACCCGAUGCCUCGGGCCUUGAUCACGAACAUCCUUUGCCAACAUAAUACGUCGGCGCAUUCCCCGGUAAAUAAAUAUAAUGAGCCUCGGGGCAUUCCCUGGCUAAAUGAAUACAUUCAAUGAAAUACGAUAAAACUAGAAAAGAAGCACUCGAAACACACAUUUAGACAUUCAAAGCAUUCAAUCAACAAAUCAUGCCUAAAUUUUACCUACCCAAACCUAUAUUGCCUAUCUAUUUGAACAUCUCAUGAAUCUAUCACAUUCAUGCUCAUUUUGACUUAAACGAAAGAUAACAAAACAAAAUUGUUCUAUAUCCAUCCAUGUUUUACCAAUUCCCCAAUUCCGUCCUAUCUAACUUGUCUUUAUCAAUCACUAUUAAAACUAAUCAACUUCAUUCCAUAUACCCUGAAUUCACAUCAAGAUUACAACAACAAGAACAUCAAACCAUCAUGAUCACACAACAUGUAAUCAUAGCCAUCUUAAUAAAUAAAAAUGAAGAAAAGAAAGCGGGUUAAAGAAAUGGACCUUCCAAGAUUGACUUUUGAUGAUAAUAAGAGUCAAAAGAAGUCCGAAUCCAAAAGCUCAAAUAGAAAACCUCAACAGCGAUGAAACCCCAACUCGGUAUCGAUAAAUAGCAACCCAAAAUGGACUAUAAUAUGACACAAUUGAGAUAAACAGAAGUCAAAUCCCAAACCAAUACAAACCCAAAAUAUUCAAAACAGAAAUCAUGAUAAACUCAACCCAAUCGAGAUUUUUCAUAAGAAACUGAUUAAAAUAGGGAUGAACAAAUUAGUGCUAGUUGUAUCGAUGAUGGGAACCUCAACACUAACAAUAGAUUUCAGAAAAACUCAUCAUUUCUAGCUAGAUUCAACUGGAAUCGACCAAAACCCAACAGUUCUGGUGAUGGGUUCAUCGGAAAACCUCAGACACUCUAUUGAUCCUCUCGAUGCCCCCUAUAUCUCUCUCUUCGUAACUUUCUCUCUUUCUGUUCUACCCUCUUUUUUGUAUACAUAUGCGAGAUUCGUGAGUGAGGUCAAAAAAUGAGUCUCUGUGUGUGCGUGUUUAAGUUGUAUCCAGUGAAGGGGGUCGUGAGUGAUGUCAAGUUUUUUUUCUGAAGACAAUGAUGAAGAAGUAAAAGGAAAGCCCUCCAAACCCAAUCCCUGAGAGUAUAUCCAAAAGGGAGAGAAAAUAAUGGUAUGUGCAUGUUUUUCCCCUAUUCCAGUGAAUGGAAUUUGUUUAUAUAUGGAAUAUGGGGUCCAUGUGAUAUGGAAUUUUCUGGAAGGUGCCCCUAUCCAUGUAUAUUUCUUUGUGGACAAGAAAAAGAGAGAAGGGGGGUCACGUGGGUUGGGGUGGUAUUGGGUGAUUAGGUGAGAGGUGAGGUGUUGUUUUUUAAUUAGAGGGGUUAGGGUUAGGUGUCUAUUUUUGAUUGGGUGGGUUGUUGGAAUCUUUAAGAUAAGACAAAAUUAGUUAGGGUUUGUUAUUUGGAUAAAAACAAAAAGGAAUUAAUAAAUAAGUAAAAAAUGAGGUGGUUAUUCAUUUGUUUUUUCUUGAAGAAAAUUGUAAAAUGGGGUCAAAGUGCGUAAUAACAGAGUAAGAAUUAUUCUCGAUGGGACAAAAUUACGUGUCUACAGCUAGGACAACGGACCGUCAAGGCUGCAAUGGACCGUCGCUGAGACCGUCGCCACUGAGGCAGUGUGGUCUCAUCCUAGCCAACGUGUGAUGGAUGAUCUGAUGGACCGUCAAGACUACGACGGACCGUCACAUCGAGGCAGUGUGUUAUUUUUUUGACCGACGUUUGACGGACGAUCCUACAGACGUCUGGCUAGCGAUGGACCGUCGCAACCUCGUUCAGUAUUUUAAGUCAUUUUUAAAAGGGAAUCUUCGGUCUUUCCACUCUUUUAUCAACCAUAUAAUUCCAAAUGAAGCAAAUGUCUUCAUUCAUCAUCCAAAACACAAGAGAGCUAGGGUUUCUCCCUCAAGAUCAAAUAUAAAACCCUUCUCCAAGAAAUCCAAGAACUCACCAUAGAUUCUACAAAUUGAGUUGAAUUUAAGUUCUCCAAGUUCAUGGGUUGCAAGAACCCUCUCUAAAGAGUAAGAAUAAGAGUUUGAAGCAAGCUUGUUUAUCCAAUUUCAUAAUCUAAGGUAUGUGGGGUUUUAAACAAGGGUAAUCCUUUCACCCUUGUGCCCAAAGACUUAUUUAAACUAUAAUUUUCUGCAAUCUAUGAGAUUUUACAUGAUAUUGAAUUAGAGGUUUUCACCCAUUGUUAUUGAUUGCAAUAUCUUGAUGUUUCCAAUGAAUUGAAAGUCAAAAAACGUAAUUUUGCAUGUUUUCUUAAGAAAUUGAAGCUGGGUUUAAACCCUAUGUUGUUACUCCUUAAGAAUUUAAGAGUUUCAAUGUUCUAGAAAUUGAUGUAUAUGAGUAUGUUGAUAUUUUGAUACAAAUUACUGUAAAUUCUAGAUUUCUACAUGAAUUAUGAACCUCUAUGCUAUCUAUUAUGCAUUAUGAUGAGUUCUAACUUGAGAUUGAAUUAUGGGUCAGUAAGCCCUACUUGAGACUUGCAAUUUUAUGAACUAUUGUGCUAUAAGCACCAAUGAUUUGAGUAUUUUGAGAUUAUUGAGAAAUGUUUUGACGUAAUGGUCAUAGAGUUUUGAAAUCCACUCUACCAUAUGAGAUUACAGAUUUAAUUGUUGGGUUCUUAUGAACCAUAAGAUUAUUUUGAAAUUAGAUUUCCAUGAGAUGAGCGAGAUAAACUAAAGGGUAUAGUAUUUAGCAUCGAGUUGGGUAAGUCACCACAAUUUCUUACUCCAGAACUACGUGCCACCGUAUGUUUGAGAUUUUGGGCCUGAGGCCGAGAUGAUUGGGCUAGAGGCUGAGAUAAGUGAUCACUGAGUUGAGAUUAUACUCCUUGGCAAGAGUAUGACGCCUCUCCCCAAAGUGAGGUUUCUUUCUUAGGAGGACAAGACAUUGAAAUCCAUGUAGCUCGCAUAGUUUAUGUCGGUUAAGAGAACCUUCCUAAACUAAAGUAUUUCCCAUUGAGAUAGAAUAUUUUCCCAAAAGCUUUGAGAUGAGAUAUUUUCUAAAGUCAAUGAAUUGCUUUUGAGUAUUUUCUAAAGAAGGAAGUAGUUUUCUUUACUAAUACGAGUUGAUCACCAGUUUUCAAACCAAAGUUAUAUGAUUCCGAGUUCCAAGUGUUUGAGUUCAAAAGAGUUAUAAGUUCUAGAGCAUUAAAGAAGUUUUACUCCCCAUGAGAUAUUUGCAUGAGUUGAAAAUAUUGUUUAAAGUUUCCUUCAGCCUAUAAGUAAUGAUAACAAGAGAAGAGUACAGAUUUUAAAGCUAAAGUAUAAUGACUCAUGAGAUUUGUGUUACAUGCUUCAUUCUACAUGAUUUAUGAGCUUUACAUUUUGUCUUAUUCAAGCCAUGUGAGUCGUUCCUAAUUGCAUGCAUGAUUUGAUUGAAGAGUAUUGAUACUAUUUUUAUAUAAAUGCAUACACCCCCACAUACUCAUUACAUUCCCAAUUGUUGAUUCAUAUAUACGUCUAUGUACUACAUUGUCUUAUAAUGUAGGUUCAGGUACUUUGUCCUAGCCUCGUCAGUGAUUCCCGAGUACUUUUUGUCUAUAUUUCUCCAGUGGUGAGUCCUCAUUGUUCGAGGGCCUAUCUUUAGAAAUUUCAAUUCUUGAGUGGUUAUGUCAUCACUUUCAAUUCAGUUCGAGUUAGUUGGGGACCUGUCCCAAUGGCUCUUUAGUUCAUGGAGUAGUAAAGGCUUUUUCAGACUAGUUAUCAGACUGGGGUUGUGUUGAGAUUUCCAGUAGUGUGGUCAUUUGGACUGAGUUUUAUCUUCGUAUUUCCUUUCAUUUGAUGUGACAGUGCCAGUGUUUUUAUAUAUUUCUUAUUGAAUAAGUUAUUAUGAGAAAUAAUAGGCUCAAAGGGUUAGCUUGGGUCUACUUGUAUCCCUAAGCACCGUGUGACAUCUCGGGAGGUGAUUUUGGAUCGCUACAAACUUGGUAUCAGAGUCUAAGGUUUUAAAGGAGUCCUAGGGAAUUUGACAAGCCGCGUUGAGUAGAGUCUUGAGCAUCGGUGUGUAGCGCGCCACAUCUAUGAGCAAGAGGCUAUAAGACAUUUUAGGAAAAAGUUAUUUUUUUAUUUCAGAUUCCAUCAUGCCUGCAGUGUCCCUCUCAUCUAAUAAUUUAUGCUCUCCUAUUUCAGAAAAUACCUAUCCAAAGAGCGAAUGCCCGCAGAACCGAUAAUGAGCAACCCCAGACUGUUGAUCCCUUGAAUAAGAUAGUGUCUCAUGCUGAGUUUCAGGCGGCCUUUCAGGUGUUAGACCAAUAAGUCACCGCUAAUGUUCGGGACAAUAACCAAGCCGCAGUUACAAAUCAGCAAAGAGGUAAUAUAGCUGCUUCUGGGAUCUAUGAUUUUAUGUGGAUGAAUUCACCAGUUUUAUGGGUCCAAGGAAGGUGACGACCCAUAGUUGUACCUUGAGGAGGUGAGAAAGAUCACGCAGGUGAUGCAUGUUUCUGAGUUAGAAAGUGUUGAUGUGGUAUCUUAUAGGUUAAAGGACAAAGAUUAUGAUUGGGUUGUAUCAUAGAGGAAGGGUAGAGGUAAGGAUGCUGCUCCUAUGACUUGUCAGGUGUUCUAAGGUGCAUUCUUGGACAUGUUCUUUCAUCUUGAGAUGAGGGAAGCAAAGAUUAGGAGUUUAUGAACUUGAGGCAGGGCUCCAUGACUGUUAAAGAGUACUUCUUGAAGUUCAACUAGUUAGCCAAGUAUGCUCCUGAUUUGAUUUCUGACACUUGAGCUAGUAUGAGUAAAUUCAUGACCGGUGUUUCUAGUUUGGUGCUGAAGGAGUGUAGGACUGCGAUACUGCAUAAGGAUAUGGAUCUGGCUUCGUUGAUGAUGUAUGCAUAAUAGAUAGAGAUAGAUAAGAUAAGGGAGAGAAAUAGAGUGAGGGGUAACAAGAGGGCUAGAUUAGAGCAACAUGAGUUUAGUCAGCCUAGGUUCCAUGGAGGGAACCACUCUCAAUUUCAGAGACGUUCGUCCAUUCUCGCGCUUUCAUCAUCUAGUACUCCUAUUCCUAGAGAUAGGCAAGAGUAAGGGGGUAGGUAUUUUAUGUCUAGGUCGCAGAAUAGUGUUAGUAACAGGAUUCGCUAUCCUCCUUAUGCUAAGUGUGGUAGGGAUCAUCCUGAUGAGUGUUUUAUAUAUUUGAGGGGUUGUUUUGGUUAUGGCAAGCAGGGCCAUAGACUUAGAGAUUGUCCACAUGCUAGCCAGAGGAACAAAGAUGCCCGACCUCAGGCAUAGACUACUAGUGCACUAGCUCUUAUAUCCCAUCCUACCCCUGCUCAGGGCACUUCAUCUAGCACUACUGGCGGUCAACGUAAGAAUAGAUUCUAUGCCUUACCAUCCCAUCAGGAGUAGGAGGACUCUCCCGAUGUUGUUACUGGUAUGCUCUAUGUCUUUUGUCUUGAUGUUUAUGUGUUGUUGGACCCCGGGUCAAGUCUCUCUUAUGUGACCCCACUUAUAGCUGUGAAAUUCAAAAUGAGUCCCAAAAAGAUUCCUGAGCCUUUCCUAAUUUCUACACCCGUAGGGGAGUUAGUUAUUGCUAAACAAGUGUUUAGAGAUUGUCUUAUUACUAUUCUUCAUAGAGUCAUACUUGCUGAUUUGAUAGAGUCAGACAUGGUGGAUUUUGACCUUAUUCUGGGUGUGGAUUAGGUUUAUUCUUGUUAUGUAUCUAUAGGCUAUCGUACCCGCGUGGUCAAGUUUCAGUUCCCUGAUGAACCAAUUUUUGAGUGGUCCGGGAGUUCAGUAUCUCCCAAGAGUUAUUUUAUCUCCCAUCUUAAAGCCAAAAUGAUAAUAUCCAACGGUUGCAUCUAUCACCUAGUUAGAGUCAAAGACACUAAGUCUGAGGCUCCAACUAUUCAGUCAGUCGAUAUUGUUAAUGACUUUCUAGAUAUUUUUCCAAAAGAUCUCCUAGGGGUACCUCCCGAUAGAGAGAGAGAUUUUGGGAUUGACCUUCUUCUUAACACUCGUCCUAUUUCUAUUCUGUCAUAUUGUAUGGCACCUACUGAGCUUAAGGAGUUGAAAGAGUAACUCAAAGAUGUUUUAGACAAAGGUUUCAUAAGGCCCAGUAUUUCUCCUUGGGGUAUACCUGUUCUAUUCAUGGGGAAGAAAGAUGGUUUGUUGUGUUUGUGCAUUGACUAUCAUCAGCUUAACAAGGUUAGAGUCAAAAAUAAGUAUCCUCUUCUAAGAAUUGAUGACCUGUUUGAUCAGUUGCAAGGUGCAAGUUAUUUCUCCAAUAUAGACCUUAGAUCCGGCUAUCAUCAACUUAAAGUGAGGGAAUGUGAUAUUCUAAACACAACCUUCCGAACUCGCUAUGGUCACUUUGAGUUUCUAGUCAUGUCUUUCAGGCUAACCAAUACCCUAACAACUUUUAUGGACCUCAUGAAUUGAGUGUUCAAGCAAUAUCUUAAUAUGUUUGUCAUAGUGUUCAUAGAUGACAUCCUUGUGUACUCCCACAGUGAGCAUGAUCAUGCAGAUCACCUUAGAAUUGUCUUGCAAACUCUUAGAGGUGACCAGUUGUUCGCCAAAUUUAGAAAGUGUGAAUUUUGACUAAGGUCUGUAGCCUUUCUGGGUCAUAUUAUUUUAGCCGAAGGUAUUGGAGUUGAUCCCCAAAAGAUAGAAGUUGUAAAAAAUUAGCCUAGACUAUCUCUCCAUCUGAUAUUAGAAGUUUCUUGGGUCUAGCGGGCUACUACCACCAUUUUAUUGAAGUUUUCUCCUCUAUUACAUCUUCCAUGACCCAGUUGACCCAAAAGAAAGUUAAGUUCUAGUGGUCAGAUUCCUGUGAGAAGAGUUUUCAGGAGUUGAAGACUCGACUUACUUCAGCCCCUGUGUUGACUUUCCCUGAUGGUACAGAUGGUUUUGUGGUGUAUUGUGAUACCUCUAAAAUUAGAUUGGGUUGUGUGUUGAUGCAAAGAGGUAAGGUUUUAGCCUAUGCCUCUAGACAGUUAAAGUCGUAUGAGAAGAAUUACCCAACCCAUGAUCUUGAGUUAGCUGUUGUGGUUUUUGCUUUGAAAAUCUGGAGACACUAUCUUUAUGGUGUUCAUGUUGAUGUGUUUACUGAUCGUAAGAGCCUGCAGUAUAUGUUUACUCAGAGGGAUUUAAAUCUUAGGCAGAGGAGGUGGUUAGAGUUGUUAAAAAACUAUGAUAUGAGUGCGUUGUAUCACCCAAGCAAGGCCAAUGUAGUGGCGGAUGCCCUUAGCAGAUUGUCUAUAGGGAGUGUUGCUCAUGUAAAGGAAGGUAAGAAAGAGUUAGCUCGUGAUGUGCAUUGUCUGGCUAGAUUGGGUGUUAGGUUGCUUGAUUUAUCUGAGGGAAGUACUUUGGUGUAAAGUAGUUUUGAAUCCUCUUUAGUUUCGGAAGUAAAAGAGAAGCAAGAUAGAGAUCCUGGUUUGGUCAGACUAAAGGAGUUAGUUAAGGACCAAAAAGUAGAGGCUUUCUCCCAAGAAAGAGAUGGCGUGUUGAGAUUGUAACGUAGGUUGUGUGUUCCGUGUGUUGAUGAUCUGAGUUAGAGGAUUAUGGCUGAAGCAUAUGGCGCGCGGUAUUCUAUUCAUCCCGAUACUACUAAGAUGUACCACGACUUACGAAAAUUCUAUUAGUGGAAUAGUAUGAAGAACAAUAUAGAUGAGUUUGUAGCAAUGUGUGCAAUGUGCCAACAGGUUAAGGUAGAGCACCAAAGACCUGGUGGUGUGAUAUAAGAGUUUGGUAUACCCACUUGGAAGUGAGAGGUGAUGAAUAUGGAUUUCUUGGCUGGGUUACCUCUUUCGCGCGGUCAUCAUGAUUCUAUUUAGGUUGUUGUACACAGGAUGACUAAGUUCGUGCCUUUAUUGCCCAUGCAUAUAUCUUAUAUAGCUGAGGAUGAUGCUAAAUUGUAUAUCCGGGAGUUAGAUAGGCUAUACGGAGUUUCCUUGUCUAUCAUUUCGGAUAGGGGUACUCAAUUUAAUUCACAGUUGUAGAGGGUAUUUUAGCAGGGUCUUGUUACCCAAGUUCUUUUGAGUUCUGCUUUUCAUCCGCAGACAGAUAGUCAGGAUGAGAGGACCAUUCAGACCCUUGAAGACAUAUUGAGGUUGUGUGCUCUUGAUUUCAAAAAAAGUUGGAAUGAGCAUUUGCUAUUGAUAUAGUUCACCUAUAACAAUAGUUACCAUGCUAGUAUCACCAUGGCACUAUUUGAGGCCUUGUAUGGUAGAAGAUGUAGAUCACCCAUAGGUUGGUUUGAAGUAGGUAAAGCUGCCGUGAUUGGGCCUGAUGCAGUGUUUGAAGCUAUGGACAAAGUUAAGUUGAUUAGAGAGGUUAAAGAUAGCUCAGAGUAGUAGAGGCUUUGUAAGACUAGUUAUCAAAUUGUUAGUAUGUUGAGAUUUCCAGUAUUAUGGUCAUUUGGACUAAGUAUUUUCUUCGUAUUUUAUAGCAUUUGAUACGACAAUGCUAGUGUUUUGUUUAUUUCUUCUCGAAAUAAGUUAUUUUAUGUAGUGACAAGCUCAAAGGGUAAGCUUGGGGCUACUGGUAGCCUUAAGCACCAUAUGACGUUCCAAGAGGAGAUUUUGGGUCGUUAUAAACUUGGUAUCAGAGCCUAAGGUUUAAGGAGUCCUAGGGAGUCUGAAAAGACACGUUGAGUAGAGUCUUGUUCAUCAGUGUGUAACGCGCUAUAUCUAUGAGCAAGAGGCUACAAAAUGAUUUAGGAAAAAAUUGCUCUUUCUUUUAGAUUAUAUCAUGCCUAUAGUUGUCCCUCUUAUCUAAUAAUUUAUGCUCUCUUAUUUCUAAAAAUGCCUCCCCCGUUGAGGAAAUGCCCACAAAAAUGAUAAUGAGCAACCCCAACCUGUUGAUCCCUUGAAUGAGAUAGUGUCUCAUGCUGUGUUCUGGGCGACCUUUCAGGAUUUAGUCUAAGUAUUCACCACUAAUGUUCAGGCCAAUAACCAGGCCGCAGUUGCAAAUUAGUAGGGAGGUGAUUUAGCUGCUGCUAGGAUUCGUGAUUUUAUGUGGAUGAAUCUGCCAGAGUUUUAUGGGUCUAUGGCUGGAGAGAACCCCUAAUUAUACCUUGAAGAGGUGAAAAAGAUCACACAGGUGAUGCAUGUUUCUGAGGAAGAAAGUGUUAAGCUGACAUCUUACAGGUUGAAGGAUAUUGCUUAUGACUGGGUUGUAUUAUAAAGGAAAGGUAAAGGUGAGGGUGUUUCUCCUAUGACUUGGCAGGUAUUCCAAGAUACAUUCUUAGACAAGUUCUUUCUGCUUGAGAUGAGGAAAGCGAAGAUUGGGAGUUUAUAAACUUAAGGCAGGGCCUAUGACUGUUAAGGAGUACUGCUUGAAGUUCAACCAGUUGGCCAAGUAUGCUCCUGAUUUGAUUUCUGACACCCGAGCUAGUAUGAGCAAGUUUAUGAUAGGUGUUUCUGGUUUGGUACUGAAAAUGUGUAGGACGACGAUACUGAAUAGGGAUAUAGAUUUGGCUAGGUUAAUGAUACAUGCACAGCAGAUAGAGGCAGAUAAGAUAAGGAAGAGAGAUAGAGUGAGGGGUAACAAGAGGACUAGAUCCUAGCAGCAUGAGUAUAGUCAGGCUAGUUUCCAUAGAGGGAACCGCCCAUAGUUCCAUAGUCGUUCGUGUAUGCCAGCACCUUCAUCAGCUAGUGCUUCUGCACCUAGAGAUAGGCAGGAGCAAGAGAAUAGGUCUUCUAUGUCUGGGUCGCAGAAUAGUAUAAGUAAUAGACCCCACUAUCCUCCUUGUCCUAAGUGUGGUAGAGAUCAUCCCAGUAAGUGUUUAGUGGAUCAAAGGUGUUGUUUUGGUUGUGGCAAGCUGGGCCACAAACUUAGAGAUUGUCCGCAUUCUAGGCAGGCCAACAGAGAUUCUCGACCUCAGGAACAGACUACUAGGCAGCAGCUACUGUACCUCAUCCCACCUCUAUUCAGGGUGCUUCAUCUAGCACUACUGGUGGUCAGCACCAGAACAGAUUCUAUGCCUUACCAUUCCAUCAGGAGCAGGAGGACUCUCCCUAUGUUGUUACUGGUAUUCUCCGUGUCUUUUUCUUCGAUGUUUAUGUGUUGUUGGAGAUCGGGUCAAGUUUCUCUUAUGUGACUCCAUUAGUCGCUGUGAAUUUUGAAAUGAGUCCCAAAAAGAUUCCUAAGCCUUUCCUAGUUUCCACACCAAUAGGGGAGUCAGUGGUUGCUAAGCAAGUGUACAAAAAUUAUCCUAUUACUGUUCUUCAUAGAGUCAUAUUUGCUGAUUUGAUAGAGUUAGACAUGGUGGAUUUUGACCUUAUUUUGGAUAUGGAUUAGGUUUAUUCUUGCUAUGCAUCUAUAGAUUGUCGUACCCGUGUGGUCAAGUUUUAGUUCCCUGAUGAACCAGUUCUUGAGUGGUCCGGGAGUUUGAUAUCUCCCAAGGGCCAUUUUAUUUCCUAUCUCAAAGGCAAAAAGCUAAUAUCCAAAGGUUGCAUCUAUCACCUAGUUAGAGUCAAAGACACUAAGUCUGAGGCUCCAAAUAUUCAGUCAGUCAGCAUUGUUAAUGAGUUUCCUGAUGUUUUUCUGGAAGAUCUCCUAGGGGUUCCUCCUAAUAGAGAGGUAGAAUUUGGGAUUGACCUUCUUCUUGAAACUCAGCCCAUUUUUAUUCCUCCAUAUCAUAAGGUACUUAUAGAGCUUAAGGAUUUGAAAGAACAACUCAAAGAUCUUUUAGACAAAGGUUUCAUAAGGCCCAGUGUUUCUCCUUGGGGAGCAACUAUUUUGUUUGUGCAAAAGAAAGAUGGUUAUUUACGUAUGUGAAUUGACUAUCGUCAGCUUAAUAAGGUCACAGUCAAAAAUAAGUAUCCUCUUUCGAGAAUUGAUGACUUGUUUGAUCAAUUUCAAGGUGCGAGUUACUUCUCCAAGAUAGACCUUAGAUCCGGCUAUUAUCAGCUUAAAGUGAGGGAAUAUGAUAUUCCAAAGACAGCCUUCCGAACCCUCUAUGGUCACUUUGAGUUUCUAGUUAUGUCUUUCAGGCUAACCAAUGCCCCAGCAGCCUUUAUGGACCUCAUGAAUUGAGUUUUCAAGCAAUAUCUUGAUAUGUUUGUCAUUGUUUUCAUAGAUGACAUCCUUGUGUACUCCCAUACUAAGAACGACUAUGCAGAUCACCUUAGAAUUAUCCUGGAAACUCUUAGAGAACACCAGUUGUUCGCCAAAUUUAGUAAGUGUAAUUUUCGCUAAGAUUAGUAGCUUUUCUGGGUUAUAUUGUUUCAGCUGAAGGCAUUAGAGUUGAUCCCCAAAAGACAGAAGCUGUAAGAAAUUGUCCUAGACUUAUUUCCCCAUCUGACAUUAGAAGUUUCUUGGGUUUAGCUGGAUACUAUCGCUAUUUUAUUAAAGGUUUCUCUUUUAUUACGUCUCCUAUGAGAAGAGUUUUCAAGAAUUGAAAACUUGACUUACUUCAGCCCCUAUGUUGACUUUGCCUGAUGGUACAAAUGGUUUUGUGGUGUAUUAUGAUGCCUCUAAAGUUGGUUUGGGUUGUGUGUUGAUGCAAAGAGGUAAGGUUAUAGUCUAUGCCUCUAGACAGUUGAAGCCGCAUGAAAGAAACUACCCAACCCAUGAUCUUGAAUCAGCUGUUGUGGUCUUUUCUUUGAAAAUCUGGAGACGCAAUCUUUAUGGUGUCCAUAUUGAUGUGUUUACUGAUCAUAAGAGCCUGCAGUAUGUGUUUACCCAGAGGGAUUUGAAUCUUAGGCAAAGGAGGUGGUUAGAGUUGUUAAAAGACUAUGAUAUGAGUGUGUUGCAUCACCCGAGCAAGGCCAAUAUAGUAGCAGAUGCUCUUAGCAGGUUGUCCAUGGGUAGUUUUGCUCAUGUAGAGAAAGGUAAGAGUUAGCUCAUGAUGUGCAUUAUCUUGCUAGAUUAGGUGUUAGGUUGCUUGAUUCAUCUAAGAGAAGUACUUUGGUACAAAGCAGUUUUGAAUCCUCUUUUGUUUUGGAAGUGAAGAAGAAGCAAGAUCGAGAUCCUAGUUUGGUCAGACUAAAGGAGUCAGUUAAGGACAAAAAGGUAGAGGUUUUCUCCUAAGGGGAUAUGGCGUAUUGAGAUUGCAGGGUAGGUUGUGUGUUUCGUGUUUUGAUAAACUGAGGCAGAGGAUUAUGGCUGAAGUGCAUGGUGCGCGAUAUUCCAUUUAUCCCGGCACUACCAAGAUGUACCAUGACUUUUGGGAAAUCCAUUAGUAGAGUGGUAUGAAGAAGAAUAUAUUUAAGUUUAUAGCAAAGUGUGCAACGUGCCAACAGUUUAAGGUAAAACACCAAAGACUUGGUGGUGUGAUGCAAGAGUUUGGUAUACCUACUUGGGAGUGAGAAGAGGUGAAUAUGGACUUUGAGAUUGGUUUACCUCUUUUACGUCGUCAUCAUGAUUCUAUUUGGGUUAUUGUAGAUAGACGGACUAAGUCUGUGCAUUUCUUGCUCGUACAUACAUCUUAUACAACUGAGGAUUAUGCUAGAUUGUAUAUCUGGGAUCUAUAGGCUGCAUGGAGUUCCCUUGUCUAUCAUUUCGGAUAGGGGUACUCAGUUCACUUCUCUGUUUUGGAGAGCGAUUCAGUAGGGUCUUGGUACCCAAGUUCAUUUGAGUUCCACUUUUCAUCCAUUGACAGAUGGUCAGGCUGAGAGGACUAUUUAGACUCUAGAAUAUAUGUUAAGGGCAUGUGCUCUUGACUUCAAAGGUAGUUGGGAUGAGCAUUUUCCAUUGAUAAAGUUUUUUUAUAUCAAUAGUUACCAUGCUAGCAUCGAGAUGGUACCAUUUGAGGCUUUAUAUGGUAGAAGAUGUAGAUCACCCAUAGGUUGGUUUAAAGUGGGUAAAGCUGCUGUGAUUGGGUCUAAUGCAGUGUUUGAGGCUAUGGAUAAAGUUAAGUUGAUUAGAGAAAGGUUGAAGAUAGCUCAGAGUCGUCAAAAGUCAUAUGCCGAUGUGAGGAGAACAGGUCUUGAGUUUGAGGUGGGUGAUUUGGUGUACUUAAAGAUUUCACCCAUGAAAAGGGUGAAAAGUUUUGGUAAAAAAGGGAAGCUUAGUCCCUGUUAUGUGGGCCCCUAUAGAGUUUUGAGUUGUGUUGGUAAAGUAGCCUAUGAAGUUGAGUUGCCCGCAGAGUUAUCAGCCGUUCAUCCUUUUUUUCAUGUCUCCAUGCUUAAGAAGCAUAUUGGUGAUUCCGUUGUAGUGGAUCCUUCGGAGAGUGCUGAUAUUCAGAACAAUCUUUCAUUCGAUGAGAUUCCUGUUGAGAUCCUAGAUUUUUAGAUCCAUAGACUGAGGAACAAAGAGGUUUCCUUGGCCAAAGUUUUGUUGAGGAACCAGUUGUUGAGGGCUCUACUUGGGAGGCAGAAGAAGACAUGUGAGCCAAGUAUCCGCACCACUUUUCCGCGAGUUCAGAUCAUGCCGAAGGUAUUAUUCUUCCUUACUUCAGCCCUUCUAAAUCUAAAGUUCAGCUAUAUAUCUAUUCUUGUAUGAGUUCUUGCAAUUUUUGAAGUAUUUAAGAGUUUAGAAAGAUUUUGAGCCAUUUAGCAAAUUGCUUCAGCUAUGUGUACUCAAUUUUUCAUGUGUUCUUGGUCUAACAAGCGACAUUCGAGGAUGAAUAUUCCCAAGGGAGAGAUAUUGUAAUACCCCAGAUUUCUUUAAGUCGAGUUUCAUCUUUAAGAAGAGUAAGGGCUGAUAUCCCAAGUGAUAAAUAUAUUAAAUCGUGUAGAAUUUCUCUAAUAUUGUCUUUUUUUCAUGUAUAGAAUUGAAUUAGCUUUCCAAUGAUACCAAUUUCGUCCAAAUCCGAUAUUAGGGUGAGAAGUUAUGGCCGUUUUACUGAGAGUUGUUGGAACUGCCCAGGUGCAACGGACAGGUUGACGGACCAUCGAGUUUGUGAUGGACUGUCGGCCAUACUGUCGCAACCAAGGCAGUGACUCCCUCUUCUACCUCAAGUGUGACGGCCAAGAUGACAGACCAUCAAGAUAGUGAUGGACCGUUGCUAGGACCAUCGCAAUUAAGGUAGUGUUACUUUUUUCUGACCAACGUGCGAUGAACGAUCCGACGGACCAUCAGACUAGCGACGGACCAUCACUCCGACCAUCACAAAUCCCGUUCAUUACUUUUGUAGUCGUUUUAAAAGGACUUUUUGGAAUUUUCCCCUUUUAACACUUAGAUAUAUGCAAAACAAAGCAUAUGACUUCAUUAUCUCCCAAAACAUCCAAAGGCUAGGGUUUCUUCCUCAAGAACAAACCCAAAACCCUUCUCCAAGAAAUUCAAGAACUCACCAUAGAUCCUACAAAUUGAGUUGAGAUUCAAGUUCCCAAAGUUCAAGGCUUCAAGAACCCUCUCUCAAAGAGUAAGAAGAAGAGUUUUAAGCAAGAUUGUUCAUCUAGUUUCACAAUCUAAGGUAUGUGGGGUUUGAACAAAGACAAUUCUUUCGUCCUUGUUCCCAAAACUUGUUUUAAAUUACAAAGAUAUAUGACUUUAUGAGUUCUCCUAUGAAUUUGAAGUAUGGUUUGAUACCCAAUAUUACUAUGCGUGAGAUUUUGAAAUUUGCCAAUGUUCUAGAAAUUGAAGUACAUGAGUAUGUUGAGAUUUUAAGACAAAUUGCUGAACAUCCUAGAUUUCUAUAUGAUUUGUGUAUCCUUAUGGCAUCUAGUAUGUAUUUUGAUGAGUUUUAACUUGAGAUUUGAUUAUGGAUCACUAAACCUUACUUGAGAUUUCAGUUUCUAUGAACUUUUGUUCUAUAAGCACCCAUGAUUUGAGUAUUUUGAGAUCAUUGAAAAGUUUUGACCUUAAUGGUCAUAGUAUCUUUGAAAUAUACUUUACCAAAUAAGAUUACAGAUUUUAUAGUUGGGUUCUUAUGAACCAUGAGAUUAUUUUAAAGUGGAUUUCCCUGAGAUGAGCGUAGCUAACUAAAGGGAGUAGUAUUUAGCACCGAGUUGGGUAAGUUACUUCGAUUUCAUACCCCAGAACUAUGUGCCACCAUAGGAUUGAGAUUUAUAGGCUUGAGGUUGAGAUAAGUGUUCACUGAGUUAAGGUUAUACUCCCUGGAAAGAGUAUAACGUCUCUCCCCUACGUGAGUUUUCUUUAUUAGGAGGAUAAAACGUUGGACUCCAUGUAGCUCGCAUGGUUUAUGUCAGUUAAGAGAACCUCCCUUGAGAUAGAAUAUUUUCCCUAAAGUUUUGAGAUAAGUGAUUUUUCCUAAUAGUAAGAUUUUCAAAAUAGUUUCUUGAAGUAAAAUUUUUCCAAGAAGAAAGUAGUUUUCUCUACUAGUAAGAGUUAUAGAAUUCCAAGUUCCAAGUGUCUUGAGUUAAAAGAGUUCCAAGUUCUUGAGCAUUAAAGAAGUUUUACUCUCCAUGAGAUAUAUGCAUGAUUUUGAAAGUGUUGUUUAAAGCUUUCUUUAGUAUUUGAGUAAUGAGAAUAAGAGAAUAAUUUAGAUUUUAAAGCUAAAUUAUAAUGACUCACGAGAUUUGUGUUACAUGAUUCAUUCUACAUGAUUUAUGAGCUUUAUAUUUUAGACGUAUUCAAGCUAUGUGAGUCAUUCAUAUUUGCAUGCAUGAUUUGAUUAAAGAAUAUGGAUAUUGUUUUUUGUAAAUGCAUACACGCCCAUAUACUCAGUACAUUCCCAAGUGCCGAUCCACAUAUACGUCUAUGUGCUACAUUGUCUUAUAAUGUAGGUUCAGGUGCUCAAUCCCAGCCUCGUCAAUGAUUUCUAAGUACCUUUGUCUACAUCUCCACAGUAUUGAGUCCUUAUGGUUCGAGGACCUAUCUUUAGACAUUUCAAUAUUGUUAGUAGACAUAUUAUUGCUUUCAGUUCAGUUUGAGUCAGUUGGGGACCUAUCCCAAUAGCUCUCUAGUAGACGUGAGUAGUAGAGGCUUUGUCAGACUAGUUAUCAUAUUAUGAGUUGGUUGAGAUUUCUAGUAGUGUGGUCAUUUGGACCAAGUAUUUUCUAUCAUUUGAUACGACAGUGCCAAUGUUUUGUUUAUUUCUUCUCAAAAUGAGUUAUUUUAUGUAGUGACAAGCUCAAAGGGUUAGCUUGGGAUUACUUGUAGCCUUAAGCACUGUGUGACAUCUCGGGAGGAGAUUUUAGGUCGUUAUACAACAACCAUUCUUUUGUUAUCAAUCAACAUGAUUUUUUCAUAGUGAGCGCGAACCCAUUCUUCGUUACUUAGUUCGGCUUCCUAAAUAAUCCUUAAGGAAGGUAUGUUAGCCUCAGUAGGUAUCACAGCUUCAUUCCCAUAAAUAAGUAGAUACGGAGUUACCCUGGUGGAAGUUCGAACUAGUGUCCAAUACCCUAGUAAAGCGUAAGGCAACAUCUCAUGCCAUGAUUUAUCAUUUUCGACCAUCUUCCUCAAAAUCUUCUUGAUAUUCUUAUUGACGGCUUCCACAGCUCUAUUCAUCUGUGGGUGAUAUGCGGUUGAGUUGCGAUGAAUAAUUUUGAACUGUUCACAAAUCUCAUUCAUUAAGUGACUAUUCAAGUUUGCCUCAUUGUCAGUAAUGAUCGAUUCUGGAACUCCAAACCUGCAAAUCAAGUUAUUUUUGAUGAAAUCUGCCACAACUUUCUUGGUGACGCCUCUAUAUAAAGCAGCUUUGACCCCUUAGUAAAGUAAUCAAUAGCAACCAAAAUAAAUCUAUGCCCAUUUGACACCGGUGGUUCAAUUGGUUCGAUAACGUUCAUACCCCAAGCUACAAAAGGCCAAGGUAAACUCAACGCAUGAAGCUCAUGUGGAGGCAUUCAAAUCAAAUCUCCGCGUAUCUAACAUUUUGGGCAUUUCUGUACAUACUUGCUACAAUCAUUUUCCAUAGUCAUCUAGAAGUAACCAGUUCUCAGGAUCUUUCUAGCAACGACAAACCCAUUCAUGUAGGGCCCGUAAAUUCUAGCAUGUAACUUCUUCAUUAAUUUAUUGGCUUUCGCAGCGUCUACAUAUCUUAAGAAACCAAAGUCUGGAGUCAUCCUAAGAAGGAUUUCCCCACUUGGAAAAUAAUUCUUUGCCAAACGCCGGAUUGUCUUCUUCUAAUUGUUGCUGGCCUCUUCAGGAUACAUCCCAGAUUCUAAAUACCUUUUAAUAUCAUAGUACCAUGGCUUUCCAUCCGGCUCCUCUUCAACAUGUGCACAAUAAAUGGGUUGCUCCUUCAAGCUUAUUUCCAAAGGAUCAAUGUAAUUCUGAUCUGGGUGUUGAAUCAUGGAGGAUAUAGUGGCCAAGGAGUCGACAAACUCAUUUUGUAUCCUUGGGAUAUGUCUGAAAUCAACUUCCUUGAAUCUUCCACAUAAUUUCUGCACCAGCUCCACAUAAGGAGUAAUCUUGGAGUUCUUUACCGCCCAUUCUCCUCGUACCUGGUGAAUCAGCAAAUCUGAGUCUCCGAUGACUAGCAAUUCAUGAACACCUAUAUCAAGCGCCAAUUUGAGUCCUAGAAUAGCUUUAUAUUCGGCCAUGUUAUUGGUGCAUAGGAAACACAACCUAAUUGUUACUAGAUAGUGUUGUCUUGUUUCUAACACCAAAACUGCUCCGACUCCUGAACCUUUAAAGUUGAUCACUCCGUCAAAGAAAAUCUUCAUCCAGGAUAAAUCUCCACGAUGUCUUCUCCUAUGAAUAAAAUCUCUUCAUUUGGGAAGUAAGUUCAAAGCGGCUUAUAUUUAUCGUCAACCGGAUUCUCUGCAAAGGCUUGCCCCUUGAUUUCCUUUUGAGUCACAUACACAAUGUCGAACUCACUCAACAAUAUUUUCCACUUGGCUAGCUUUCCCGUAGGCAUGACUUUUUGGAAUAUAUACUUCAAUGGAUCCAUUUUGGAAAUGAGGUAUGUUGUGUAUGACGACAAAUAAUGCCUCAACUUUUGUGCAGCCCAAGUUAAAGUGCAACAUGUAUUUUCUACAAGUGUGUAAUGGGCGUCAUACAACGUAAACAUUUUACUCAAAUAGUAGAUGGCUUUCUCUUUCUUACCGGUCUCAUCAUGUUGCCUGAGGAUACAUCUGAAAGCAUUUUCUAAGACUGACAGGUAAAGCAACAACGAACUUCUUUCCCUUGAUGGAACCAAAACUGGCGGCGCAAACAAGUAUUCCUUGAUUCGGUCAAAAGCUUUCUGAUAUUCUUCUUUCCACUCAUUCAAUGAAUAUUUUUUCAACAUCUUGAGAAUUAGCUCACAUAUGACUAUUGACUGGGCAAUGAACUUGCUAAUGUAAUUCAAAUGAUCCAGGAAAAUCAUAACCUCUUUCUUGGUCCUCGGCGGUGGCGAAUCCUGAAUUGUCUUGAUUUUGGAUGGGUCUAGCUCGAUGCCCCUUCUGCUAACUAUGAACCCCAGUAAUUUCCUGGUCGGCACACCAAAAGAACACUUAGAAGGAUUUAACUUCAAAUUAUACUUUCUUAAUUUAUUGAAGAAUUUUUCCAAAUAGGUCAGAUGAUCCGAACUCUCGUGGGAUUUGAUAAUUACAUCAUCCACGUACACCUCAAUCUCUUUAUGAAUCAUAUCAUGGAAAAUCAUUGUCAUAGUCUUCAUGUAUGUUGUACCCGCAUUCUUAAGACCAAACGUGUAACGACCCGAAAUCGUCUCCCGAGACGUCACACGGUGCCUAAGGCUACGAGUAGCCCCAAGCUAACUCUUAGAGCCGGUUUCUACCAAUGACACUCAAUUCAAGAUAAAAAUGGACUCAACACUAGCCUAGUCAUAUCACAUGAAAGGAAAUAUGGAAAAGAUACUCGGUCCAUAAGACUACAAUAUAGAGAAAUCUCAACAAAACCAUAAUAUUGAAUCCUCGACACAUCACAAGUUUGACACUAGUCUGACAAAGCCUCUACAAAUCAAAAUCUAGAGAGCCAUUGGGACAAGUCCCCAACUAACUCGAAAUGAAAUAAAGAUAAAACAUAGUCUCUCAAACACUGAGACAUCUAUAGAUCGGUCCUCAAACUAGGAUGACUCACCACUAUAGAAAAUGUAGGCAAGGUACUCAAAGAAUCAUGGGCGAGGCUAAGACUGAGCACCUGAACCUACGUUAUGACAUAAUGUAGAACAUAGAAAUAUGGAUCAGUACUUGGAAUGUACUGAGUAUGCGGGGGGUAAUGCAUAUGAAUAAGAUAGUAACAAUCUUCUUGAAUCAAAUCAUGUAUGCAUUAUGAGACGAAUCAUAUGGCUUGAGCAAGUAUAAGAUGUAAAGCUCAUAAAUCAUAAAUAAUGAGCCAUGUAACACAAAUAUCAUGAGUCAUCAUUGUUUAACAUCAAAACCGGAAAACUUCUCUUAUUCUAAAUACCUAAAGGCAAAGGGGCCUUAAACAAUACUUUCAACUCAUGCAUAUGUCUCAUGGAGAGUAAUACUUCUUUAAUGCUCAACACUUCAUAACCAUUUAGAACUCGUAUACAUUGAAUUCGGAACCAUAUAUCUUGAAAACAUACUUGAAGGCAUUUCAUUCACUUAAGCAAAAUAUCUCAUUUUAAGCUUUAGGAAAAUCACUCUAUUUCAAAUAGAAAGUAUUCUAGUUUACGGAGGAAAUUUACCUCAAAGCUUUAUGAAAAUACUAUAACAAGGAAAGAUUCUUUCAUUUAGGAAAAUAAACCAUAGGGGAAAAAAUAAGUAUUUGAUCUUAUCGUUUGAAAGAAAAAGGGAGAUUCUCGUAAUCAACAUAAACCAUGCGAGCUACAUGGAGUCCAACGUUUUGCCCUCCUAAGGAAGAGACCCCACAUUAGGGAGGAGCAUCAUACUCUAGCCAAGGAGUAUAACCUAGGUCUAGUGAUCACUAAAUGAAACUCAGCCUCGAGCCAAAUCAUAAUCAUCAUAAACUUGGCCUCAAGCCCAACCUACGGUGGCACGUAGUUUUAGGGUAAGAAACUAUAGUAACUGCUCGGUGCUAAAUACUACUCUCUUUAGAUUAUCUGCACUCAUCUCAUAAAAAUACACUUUUGGAAAAAUCACAUGGUUCACCACGAACCCAAUAAUCAAAUCGAUAAUCUCAUAUAGUGAAGUGGAUUUCAAAGAUCAAGGACCAUUAGGUCAAUUCAUUUCUCAAUCAUCUCAAAAUACUCAAAUCAUGGGUGCUCAUAGCACAAGAGUUCAUAAUUUCACAAGUCACAAAUAGGGCUUACUAACCCAUAGUUCAAUCUCAAGUUAAUGCUUAUCGAAAGCAAUAUAUAUAGCAUAUAGAGUCAUAAAUCAUAUGGAAAUCUGGGAAUUUCAGCCAUUUCAUCUCAAAAUCUCAAUAUAGUCAUAUGCUUCAAUAUUUCAAACAUUGCAAAUAUUAGAUUCUCAAGGAGUAAAAUCAUGGGUUUAUAUCCAGCUGCAAUUUCACAAUAAAACAUGUAGAAAUCAUGCCAUUUGAGUCAUAAAUCAUGGGACAUAUCAAAAUAAUGCAUUCAAUCAUAAUGGGUGAAAACCCCAAUUCAAAUUCAUGUAAAAACCUCAUAUAUUUCAAGAAUUUUAUGAGAUAAGUAGCCUUUUGGGCACAAGGGUGAAAGGGUUACCCUUGUUCAAAAACCCCGCAUACCUUGAAUUAGAAGCUUUUAAUGAACUCUCACUUUUGGAACUCUAUUCGUGCUCUAGAAUGAGGGUUCUUGAGGUCCUUGACUUAGGAACUUUGAAUCUUGACUCAAUUUAGGAAAUCCAUGGUGGAUUCUUGAGAUUCUUGGAAGAGGUUUUGAGUACUUAGGGUUCUUGUUGAGAGAAAACUUGAUAAAACCCUUAUAGGACGCGUGCAAAUGGCUUUAGUGUUCCAUGAUUUUAUAGGCUUGAAAAAAGUCCAAAACGCCCUUUUAAAUAUCUGUGUGAAACUAGAAAAAUUGAACUGGAACCCGAUUUCCCUGGCCUCUGCGACACGCCACUAAUCGCGCUGGCUCAGUGAAAUUUGACAAUUGGGAAAAUGGCAUCCUCCGUGACGCGGAGCCAUUGCAAUUUCCAACUGGUUGGGACCUGGGACUCCUCCGUGAUGUGCCACAAUAGCAGAGUCCCACUAAAAAUUGACAAUUGCUAAAUGGACCCUCUCUGCAAUGCGCUAGGCUCUCAAAUGAUGCAGUUUUAUGAUGAAGGCUUAAAUUGGCCAUAACAUCUUACCCGGGUGUCCGAUUUGGGCAAAUCUUAUAUCGAUAGAAAUCUAAUCAGAUUUCCCAUGUGAUAAAAAGUAGAAAUUAGGAAAAUUCUAUAUAGUUAACACGUUACUCAUCUAGGAAGCAACUUCUCAAUCUUUGAGGGCCGAAAUCAUGCCUCACUCGACAUACCCUACGACUCAAACUACGAGGGAACUUUGCAGGGCCUUAAAAAAUUGCAUUACCCUAUAAUGAUAAACACCCUAGCGUAAAAUGAAAUUUGUCUUUUCAUCAUCUUCCUCAUCCAUUAAUAUCUGAUGAUACCCAGCGAAGCAAUCCAUGAAAGACUGCAUUUCUUGCUUCGCAUAAUUAUUGAUAAGGAUGUGGAUGUUAGGCAGCGAAAAAUUAUCUUUAGGACUGGUUCUAUUCAAAUCUCUAUAAUCAACACAAAUUAGAAUCUUGCCAUCCUUCUUCAGCACUGGGACAAUGUUGGCUAGCCAUGUUAGAUAUUUUGUGACCUCCACAACCUUGGACUGAAUUUGAUUUAUCACGUCUUCCUUGAUCUUCAGACUUAAAUCCGGCUUGAAUUUUUGCAUUUUUUGAUUGACUGGAUCAAACUCGAGAUUGAUCUGUAACUUAUGCAAUACAAUGUUAGUUCUCAAUCCCGGCAUAUCAUCACAGGACCAGGCAAAUACAUCAAUGUACUCCCGCAAUAAGUGAAUGAGUUCUCUUUUUUGUGCUUCUACUAAGUGAACACUGACACUUGUUUGUUUGAUUUCCUCAUGCUCGCCUAGGUUGACCAUUUUGAUUUCCUCCAGGUUGGGCUUCUCUCGAUUCUCAAAUUCUUCUAUAUCUUCUACUAACCACUCCUCAUCACCUUAUUUCCAAUCAUCAUGACAUGACAUGACAUUGGCAGAUUUUAAAUUACUGCUACUAUAAUAAACAAACAAACCAAGUUAGGUAAUAAUAAGAUAAUAACAAUAUAAUAAAAUAUAUUAAUGUAAUCAUAUUUCAAAUAACUUCUUAAAUAAAGGGAGGCCUUUUCAUUGAAAUUUGGGAAAUAAGUACAAACUAUGGCUCAUGACUAGCACAAAUACGAGCCCAUGCCUUUUUUAAAGCAGUAAAAUACGAAAAGAAAGUUUGAGACAUAAAGGGUGGAUUACGGGGCCUCCUUCGGAUCAUCACCAAUUUUAAAAACUACUAGUAACUGCCCUUUCAUCUACCGUGAUGGGUGAUGGGUUAUGAGUGACGUGGAGGUCCAUUUUUGCAAAGCCUCCCCUAGUGCAACCUUCUUUACCCCACUAGACUUUGGAAAACCAUCUGGUACAACAUUGCAUCCUUCGAACAGAUUUCCAAUCCUAUCCCUAAGACCAUCAUCAUUUGACAUCUCACGCACGGGAAAUGAUUAGUACAGGAGCGGAAGGGCCUAGAUAGACUCGCCUUUGUUUUAUCUUCAUUGUCAUCAUCCUUUAUUGGUUGGUACCCUAUCCCACGCUUAGAUGCUUUUUAUGGGACCAUAAUGGGCUCAGUAAUUCCUUUCAAAUUCUCACCCAAGAUACUUAAGGUAGCCAUGACUUUCUCUAUCUUUUCCACUCCUUUUAUCUUUUUGGAAUUUUGCGAAUCCACCUUAGUAAUAGUCUUACUAGGUACCCAUUCUCCCACUAUUUUGAUCAUGCUAAAUGUGGCCCCCUCAUGUUUAGGCAAUGGAUUAUUAGUGAUAUUUGGUGUCGGUGCCUGAACAAUGAUGAUCUUCUGAUCAAUCAAGUCUUGGAUCUUGUGUUUCAGAUGAUGCAAUCUUCAGUAUUAUGCUCGGAUACUUCUAAAUGAUAUGCACAGACUUGAUCGACCUGCAAGAAUCAGGAAUUGAGAUUGGUAGGCUUUGGUGGAAUAGGCUAUAAAUAACUAGCUUUUAUCAAUCUUCCAAAGAGCUGGGUAUAACUUUCAGCCAAUAAAGUAAAUUUUCUUGGUGGUUUCUUUUUGAGGUUUAAACGUGGGGGGUUAUAUUGGUUUUGAUUAGUGGGAAGAGGUAAGUGAUAAUAGUUUGGAGGUGCUUGAACGUUUAUUUAGUUAUUUGGAAAAGUAUCUCGAACAUAAGACUAAUAAUUUGGUUGCGAAACUUGGUAUUGAGGUAAAAUACUUGAAAGUGGAGCUUGGUAUUGGGAUUGGAUAUUUGGGAAUGGAGCUUGGUACUGGGAUUGAAUAUUUGGAAGUGGAGUUUGGUUUUGAGGAGAAAGUUGGGUGGUGGGUAGAUUCGGAGGUGGAUUUUGUAGAUUCGAGUAUGAAUUUUGCAGAUUUGGGAGCGGGUUUUAUGGGGUCAAGGAUGGAUUUUGCGGAUGGUAAGUAUCUGGGUUAUUUUCUCAAUUGGUGUUUUAGAUAAAUUGAGGAGCAAAAGUGGACGAUAUGUUAUUUGGAUGGUCCUCGAGAAUAGGCGUACUGAGGGGAGAGAUCAAGAGCAGAGUCCCAUGCCCUCCUGGAGUGAGAGCAUUGACAGUGAUGACAUGGUUAGCCAAGUCUCGAGUGCUAUUCAUUUCCUCCUGAAGCAUUUCCAAUUUUCUUGUGAGUUCAGCAAUUAUCUCACUUUGUUCUGCUAUUACAUUAUCCCUGGUGGUCAAUGCAUUUUCCUCGUCACUUUCAGUCACAUUUGAAUGAUGGUUAGGGGAUGGGAUCUUAUGUGCUUUUGAUCGGGUGAAGUAAGCAUGUUCUUCCAUCUUGUUUCAACACGGAGUAAUUUUCUAUUAUCUGUAAAGUAAAAUAAUAGAGUUGUUUGUGUCAUAGCCAAACCGAUCCACGGGAGCAUGGUGGAUAAAUUUGUCUUUAACUCAAACAAACUCACAUAGACAUAUAAGGUAGUUAUAUCACAUAAACAGUAUAACAACGUGCAUCCUAACUGGGGUGACCCUUUUUGAACCAAGGGUUUAAGCCUGACGAAUUUUGAAGAAAAUAUAUGCCUUUUUAAAGCCAAUUCAUUAUCCCCCAAAAACCUUUAUAGGUGUGACAAAAUUUGCACAAAAGGGAUACAAUCUUUAGGGAAAAGGAAAAUAACAUAAGAAAAAGAACAAUAUCCCGCACAGGGGACAGGAAAUACUAGCUCCUGAAUACUCUUCUAUCGGCCUUCGCUAUCUUAGCUUUGUCCACUUCUUGUCAUUAGUGACAUCCAUUGAUAAUCAAUCUAUUUCCGUAUAACUGUGAUCUAGAUGCUAACGUCCAAAUCGAUCAAUUUCUUUCUUGGCUUGCUUCAAUUCCUUCUUCAAUUGGUGUGUGAUUGAGGUAUCCUUACAUGAAAGUAAGCAAAGAAAGCCUUCUCCUGAUCCCCAAAGGAUAAUGGAUUGGAUUAAAAAAACAUACAUUUCUUCAACAAAUAAAUAUGAUUCAUCUAUAAUUGAUUCAGGGUCAAUAGACGCAGGGCAGGUUUUCUAAUGGGCCCAAUACCCCCUCGGGUAUUGGGUCGUCCUAGGCUUAUGCCUAAAAGAGGGUUUUGGUUUAGCUCUAUCCUAAGUGUCUAGAGUGGGUUUGGACACAGGUUCCCAAGAGGACAACUUGAGUUUGGAAACACGAACAACCUCCGACUGCCUAACAUUUCGGUAAACUAUCCUGUUUCCAAUAUUUUAUUUGGAAUUGAACAACAGUGUCCGGGACAUCCAUGAAACCCCAAAAUAUUAUAACAAUUAAUGCAGCAACAUGCCGUAAAAUGCAUUAAUUAAAUUCCACAAGAAUCAAAAAACAUAAAUACGUAAAAUAGUUAGUCGAAAGAAGACAUCAAACAUUUGUUUAGAACCUAGUUAAAUAUCCAUUUCUAUUUUGUUUAAGAAAUUUUGACUUUUUGAAGAUUCGCCACUUAAUAUUGAAAAGGAAUUAAGAAACCUUUAUUAGAUACUUUAAAUGAUCCAAAAUAGAACAAUCAUUUAAAAUUUAAAGAUCCUGAGUAAGCGGUUCCUAUUAACAUUUUAGAAAGGUUUGAGGCACCUAAAACCUCCGCUAAGUUGCGGUUAUCCAGACUGUUUGAAAACAUCUUUUGACUAACUUCAAAAAGAUUAAUUUGUUGAAAAGUGAUGGAUUUUUUAGCAAAGACUUGUGUAAAAAAGAUUUAAGCGACUUAGUAGGGAUCAUAACUAAGUCUAAAUAAAAUUAAUAAGCAAAUAAACACAUAAAAGGGGAAAGGGAGGAAAAAGUAAAAGAUUUAGACCAUUGGGCCCAAAUCGAUAAACCCUGUCCUAAUCUAGUUGGACUUUCAGUCCAUAACCUAUCCUAAACUAUUUUUUCAGGCCUGUUGGCCCAAAAUAUGUUCCACCUGUAUUAAAUUUACAACUUUGGCUUCAAGUCCGAAAUGAAUAAAUAAAUAAGUAAAUAAAUAAAUAAAGAUAUAAAUAAAUACAUAAAUAAAAAAAUAAAUAAGGGCAACAAUGAAUAAGUAAACUAAAAAUGAGACUUUCAAGUCCCCUUUUUCGCUUCAAGGAUGAGAUUGCAACUCAUUCUUCUUGCAUUGAUAUGCCAUACAAUCGACUUUUAGUUUUGAGGAUAUAGGACUCAUUGCCUCUUCAAAAAUGCAACGGGAGGAAUCCCUUGUGGACUCCAAGUAGAUUACAUACAAAUGAAAAAGAGAAAGAAGGAUGAGAUUCUAUUCGAUACACAAAUCACUAAUUUAGUACACAUACAGAACCAAAAGAAAUCAAGAAAUUUCUAUUUUUUUAUCAAUGGUUAAUCUCAAACCGACUAAAUUAGACUUUUAUUCGAGAAGGGACCCAAAUAAAAGGAGAACAACAUAAUAUCAAAUCACCUUUGGGGCAAACUUGAAUUUAUUAGGUUAGCUGGGGUACAAAAAAUCACACAUCUUGAACUUCUCAAAUCGAGCAUCUUUAGAAAGGAAAAGAGUAUGUUUGUAGACCAAGUCGUAUCAUUAAACAAUAAAACAAGUAUCCAUAGCCUUCUUGCACAAAACAAAACACUUAAAAGGCUCCAUUGAACUCACACUCCCAGUGUUUUCAUGGUCCUACAUAGAGGCUUAGAGAAAAUAAAGAGGAUAAAUAUUACGGAGGAAGAAAACAUAAAAUGGGUAAACUAGGAAGAAGGCCCAACCAACAAGAACAUUUCCUAAUUUGCAUAGAUAUGGACAAUAUUCCUACACAGAAGACAACCCAAAAGGACCACAAUCACUCCAAAGUAAUGCUAGAUGGAAUUUGGAAAUAUGAUUUCUGAAUCAAACAUGCAAAUAAACUAAACUUCAGAGAGAAAAAAGUAACAAAUAUUCAAUUGAAAGCUCUUUAGGCCAACAUAUCCCUCUCUUUCGCAAGUCAUAAAGAAUCGUGAGCCAAGAGUCCAUCAAAGAAUUUUGACAACACUUUACUCAAAAUAACGACCAGAGAAACCCCACAAAUUCUGAGUAAAAUAGGUAAACAAGAAGAUUAACUAGAAAUCGAGCAAAGAAAACUUUUGCCCAACUAAUUCAAUGCACGAAAUCUUGACUAUAAUAGUCAAAUAGAAGAUAUAGCGAUUAGGAGAGACUCUAAUAAGACAAGGAGUUCAGAAGCAAAGCUAGGAUUAACACAUAUUUGAUUGACGGACAGUAAAUCAGAUGGCAUUCAAAUUAACGAAAAAUCAAGGCAGCAUAAUGAGUUAAUAGGGAAAAUCUUGAAACCAAAAGAAACAAGAAUAAUACUAAAAUUAGCAUAAAAAUUCUCUUGUAAGAAAAGUCAUAAUAAAGUCACAAACUUUUUGCGUAAACAGCCCAGAUAAUGAAUUAAACACGACCAGAAUAUCGACACCACAUAAUGAAGGACAUAAUCAUCGUCACAAGAACCCAAAGGCCUUCAAGGCUCACAGCAAACAAUUCCCAAGCAUCUCUAUAUCUACUAACGCCACUAAUAGAUCGAUGACAAGAAAAAAACAUCAAACUAAAAUUGAUGAAUCAACGACGAGAAAAAAACGUCAAAACUAAAAAAGGAUGAUGUAUUUACCUCUUUUGGGGCAGCAAAACGAGACUCGAGCUUCUUCAAAAUAUGCCCACCACCGAAAAGUGUCGUCGUCAACUCGGGAACUUUGGUUAACUGACGAAUUUUACGGAGGAAAACUUUUAUAAUAAGAAAAUGAGACUUCUUUGCUCAAAGGUUUUUAUCAACCUUCAAGACUUUCCAUUUUCCUCCAACAACGGGCCUUAUAUAGGAAAAUUUUUGGAUGAAUCUUUAUUUUGGCGAUGUGGAAGAAACAACUUAAAGGGCGAUUUGGGAAUAGUGAAAAAAGAAGAUAACAGAGAGGUGAUCUGUAAUUCGUACUAUCUAGUAUGAAUUUAUUGAGAUUUGAAUUUGAACAUCGGAUAAGGUUGAAGGUUUAAGGGGAUUCGCAAUUGUUGUAUGUUGUGCGGGUUGACGGGUCGAGUUCGCUGGGUAAGGGUGCUGAUGGAUUUGGGUCGACGGGUCGGAGAUGGUCGGGUCAGCAACGGGUUGGUUCGUCGCUAGUUUUGGCUGGUUGUUGUUGAUGAAAUUGUUGUUGUACCCAUAUUAUUUUGUUAUGUUAUGUCGGGUAAAAGAUAAAGAGAGGUGUUAGGGAGGUUGGGCCAGGUAAGGGCUGUUGGAGCGGGCUGAAAUUGUGAAAAAUUGUAAGGAUUGUUGGGUUGUUUAUUUAGAAAUAGGAAUUAGGCUAGUGGGUUUUAAUUUUUUCUUAACGUUGGGUUAAAAAUUUGAGUUUUAAUUGAGGUUAUUUAAUAACUCCAAUUAAAUUUAAUUGGGGUUAAAAUAACCCCAAUUAGAUUUAAUUGGGUUACAAUAACCCUAAUUAAAUUAGAAAAUUGGUAGUCUUCAAAAUUAUUUAGAAAAAAUAAUCUCGGUUAGACUAAAGGUUAUAAAAAUAAUUUUAAUUAUGAUCUAGCCUAUUCUAUUUAAAUUUUGACCAAAUUAAAAGUUAAUUGACCAAUUGCAUUGCAAUUGUGGCCAAUUUAGUUUCAAUUAUGAUCAAAUUUAAAUAGAUUGGUUAAAUUGAAUUAAUUCGAUACGAAUUAAUACCUUAUUUAAUUCCGAGCUUCUUGAUUUAAUAACAUCGACUAAAUAUUUUCAAAUAAAUUAUUUCAAAUAAUAAAUUAUAUUUAAAUAAAAAUUUUAAUUAUUUAAAUUAUUUUCCAAAUAACCUUUAAUUUAAAGACCAAUUUUGAUGAAAAUAUUCAUUUAAAUGACAUCAUUUAUACAAUCUCGUAUAUGUAAAUACGAAAAUAUAUGAUUAUCACUUAAAUGACAAAUUUAGCCAAAAUAAAUAUUUUCAAAAUGCAUUUAUUUAGAAAAAAUAAUUGUUGUGAUUUUAUUUGAAAAUCAAAGAAACUAAAGAUUAAACAUAGUUGUGGAGGGCAAAAAUUAGGUGUCAAUAUAUCUGUCACAUCAGAUUAACCUCUGUUGCCACAAAUGCUCAAUUCCUACAACCAGCGGUCGACAUAUUGAGAAUAAGGAAUAAACAGAAUGAUAAUUAAAUAUUAAAUAAGAAUUCAAAAUUCAAAGUCGACCACAGAUCCGAUAUAAAAAAUAAAAUACAUAUGCUAAAAUAAAAAAAAUAACCUAAUUAUUAUUAUGAUUAUUAUUAGUAUUACUAUUAUUGUCAACCGAAUAAUUUUCAUCCGGCAGCAGUAUGGCCUUCCUCAGCCUUGCUCUGAAGUCGGCCAAAUCCGUCUGGAGUUCAUGAAUUUACCUUUGAAGUUCCCUCAAGGACUCGAUAUGAAGCUUCUUGUACGAAUCUGGAUCAACCAUAUUUGUAAGUGUAGUAGAAUGAACGAGUAAGGAGAGACCUAUUUAUAAAUGAUUGAAUUCGAAGGGGUUAGUAAAAAAGCCACGACUGUUCAUCCCUUAAUUAAAUAAAACUUGUGACUUUUUAAAUAUGUAAAUUAAAAAAAUAGAUCUAAAUACAACAUUUUAUCUUUUAAUGUAUUUUGGAAAGAAAAGAAAAUUGCUUUAAAAUAAGUCUAACAGAUGGGUAAUCUGUGGCAAAAUAUAUUCCAUCUGUUAGAAACUUAUAACAGAUUGACAAUCUGUUGUAAUAGAUGGAUAUAUCUGUUUGAUUUUUCCAACAGAUAUGCCAUAUAUUGCAAUAGAUUAAUCAUCUGUCAUAACAGAUAUUUGCAAUUAUUUGAUAAUUUAAACAGAUGUGGCAUCUAUUGCAACUUGUUAGUCAUCUAUUUAUUCAAUUUAAGUCAUAGAUGGGCUAGGAAGAAUAAGGUGCGUGCAGAUGGAUGGAUCUACUAUCAUGUUUGGGAGUUAAGUAUUACUUAUAAGGUCAUCGGAACAACACACACAAAGUACAAUGUUUUUAUGAAUGCAAUUUUUAAUCGAUUAGGCACUGAUCAUUCAAAUAAGAUCCUGUAUUGUAUAGUUAAGUUUGAUGGGUUCGAAUUGAUAAGGAUGAGGGCCCCAUGAUGAUGGUGCUGAUACACUGUUACGAAUUACUAAUGGUUGUUGCUCAUGUUUAUGUGUGUCAAGUUUUGAGAAGGGAUCAAUAUUUGGUGUCAUUGCAAAGAUCCAAUAUCGAUUGGACUUAACUUUAAGUGUGCAUUGGAAUCUGAGAAGGCCUUCGAAGCCUCGUACUACAUCAAACAAGAAUGAAAAACCAAUAGAAAUUCCCCUGGCCCAAAUUUAUAUGGAAGGGUUCUUCGAGAAGAUGAUUAUACGCCAGAAGGAGUCGAAGGAGAAUACAUGCUAGGGAAAGAGGAGGUGAUGAAAGACUUUAUCAUCUGAAAGCUAAUAGAAGAGGAGACAUAGGGGAGAAAGAAACUUCUAGCAAAUCUGAAUGAUGAAAUUGACUUAAAACAUGAGAAAUCUAAAUCAAUUCCAAAUAUGAAAGUGUAUCCGAUAAUGAAAAAUCCAUCUGUUGUUUCUCUGAAAAAAUAGCUUAGUCGAGAUUAUCACCUAGAUAAAAAAUAGCAGAAGACCAAGAAGCAAC
rnacentral:lncRNA from 1 species